rnacentral:lncRNA from 1 species
AAACAUCUUCUGAACCGAUUAAAAUACCAACAGUCACCAUUCAUUUAUUUAGACCAUUCAUUUUGGUUGAUGUUGAGGAUAGUCAUCGGCAGUAGACCUACAUCUUCUGGACCAAUUAGCAUACCAACAGUGAUUAGGCUAAGGUGGUGAUCCAAUUCCAUGGAUGAGCAGCAAGGAAGGAGGAACGUUGGAGAGAUAGAACCAGUUGGCGGCCAACCAAGCAGGAACAGUGGCCAAACUGGCCUCGAGCCUGAGGAGCAUAGGAUUGACAUUGUUGAAAUCAGUCAUAGGGAUUGGAUUGAGUCUCUCAGAACGGCAGAAGAAAGCACUCAAUGGCGAAGGAUACCAAAGGUUCCUCAGAAGCUGAGGGGGACCCAGGAUUUCAAGAAAUUCUACGAACCGAGGGUAAUUUCAAUCGGUCCUUACCACCAUGGCGAACCCAACCUUGGCCCAGUGGAAAUGAUCAAGCUUCCAUGUGCCCAAAAAUUCCUGGCUCAUAGUAACCAGGACAUUGAAGCUUUGUACACAAAAAUUCGAAGUAAAAUCGAGGCAGUGAAAAAGUGCUAUGAUUAGAGUAGUACAGAAAAGUAUGAUGAUGAGAAACUCGCCAGGAUGAUGCUUCUGGAUGGGUGUUUUGUACUACAAUUCAUCCGCUGGAAAGGUAUGAGAAAAUUUCUUAGAAAUCACCAAAUAAAUUUUGUGAUGCAGGACUUGUUCUUGCUGGAGAACCAACUUCCCUUUGGAGUCCUCAAGUUGAUUUUUGAGGGAGCAAAUUUCCAGGGUGGUCUACCAAUGGAAAAGAAUAUAAAAAAUUUCAUCACUUACUUCGGAAUGCCAGAAGGGUUGUCAUCAGAAAUACAGCUGUAAGAGGUGAACGAAGAGCCCUCUCAUCUACUCGACCUUUUGCAAAGUGCUCUCCUAGGCCAGAGUCAGCCCGAACAAGAGCAGCAACCUGAGAAAAAAGGAAAGUCGUCGUCGUCGUCUCAAGGAGGAAAGUGGGGGUUCUGUUGCCGAUGGAAAAAAAGCAUACAACGGGGCAUUUGGCAGUCUUUUCGACACAUCAAGGAGCUUAAAGCUGCCGGGAUCUAUCUCAAACCGAGUAGAACGUGUUUCUUGAGAGACAUUUCUUUCAAAUCCUACUUCUUCUUUGGCUACCUGAAACUUCCCCCAAUAACCAUUGAUGACUUCACGAAGACCAAGUUCUUGAACAUGGUAGCCUAUGAAAUGUGUCCAGAUGCCCCAGAUGACUAUGCGGUCACUUCUUACAUAUGCUUCCUUUACGACCUCAUUGAUCAUGCAGACGAUGUCAAGGAGCUGAGAUCUAAGCACAUUCUCCACAACCUUCUUGGCAGCGAUGACGAUGUGGCCCAAAUUUUCAACGAGAUCGGCAAUGACUUGGUAGAUCCCGAUGCUUAUAAAGAUGUAAAAGAUUGUAUUCAGAAGCACUACAAGAAGAGAGUGAAUACUUGGAUAGCUCAAGCCCUUCACAACCAUUUCAGGUCUCCAUGGACUGUCAUGGCUUUCAUUGCUGCUGUUUUGAUACUAUUUCAGGUCUCCAUGGAUUAAUUAUGACUGUGAUGUGUUUUUAUCCUGUUUGGUGUGUGUGAUUAGAGAAAUAAAGAUGUGUAGAUUGUUAAGUUGUAUCACUGGAUUUCAUGCAUGCAAUAUUAUGGGUCUUUUCCAGUUUUCCUCCCCACAUGAAUUUGCUAUACAAUCUCCAGCUUGCUUUUUUCUGUUCUUUUUCAUAGAGCAGGAUCAUAGAUAACACAACAUCAACAUAGAAAAUUUUCGGUCAACAGUAUGUGAUUCCGUGGAUGGGAUGGGAUUGAAUUUGCUCACACACUUUUUUAUCUAAGGAGAAAAUUGUGGAUAAAAUCAUAAUUUUGAUAUAUUUAUAAAUUGAGGAAGGGCUAUCUCUAAUUUAUUUUUAAUAUAAAAGAUAAAAUCAUAAUACAUAACUAAGAAAGGGGAGCGAAGACAUUUUUUAUUUCAUUGUUGAACUUGUUUCAAAAAAAAAAUCCACACACAGAGAUUGAGUUAGAAAUGAAGGUAGAGAAAAGAAUGAUAGAACUCGUUAAAAUUGUUUAUAUCUCAGGCACUAAAAUACAUCUUGUAUCACUUUUUAGGGUAAAAGUGUUUUUAAAGAGCAUUGCCAAUUGGAUUUUAAAUAAUCUAGAUUGUCACUUUUUUUUUUCAAUUAUAUAUAUUAUAUCAAAUAUUUCUAUUUUUUUUGUACAAAGUAAAUAAAUUAUUUAAUAUAUUCAAACAUUGUCAUUCAAUCAAUUGAUAUAAAUCUUUCUUUUAAAGUAAACAUGAUGUAAAUAAUUACGUAUAAUCAAGCAAUCAACUAUCGUUCUUAAUUUAUUUUCUUUGGUUAUUUCAUUUUUUUUUUUUUUUUUUUGCCCUUUUAUUCUCAUUUCUGUUUCAUAUAACAUUUUCUUUACUUUUCUUUCCAUAUAAAAUGAGUGUGAUAUAAUACUAUUGUCCAAUAAUAAUAUCUAAUAAUAUAAAACAAUUAUUUUAAAUAUAUAACAACAUUUAAAAUUUUAGACAAAUAAUUUUCGUUAUUUUCAAUAUUGAUGACACUAAUAAAUUUCAAUUUUAUCUUCAUACAAGCCAAAUAACUCUUAACACUUCACACAAUUUAUCUUUCAUUCACUUGAAUUGAAUUUUUCUCCAACAUCAUUUCCACUAAAAAUCAAUUAUUGCAAAAAAAUAAAAUAAAAUGACAACUAUACACGUAGAAUCCCUUACAAGUAGAAUCACUUGCAAAAAAACACCAUGAUAAGUAAAUCUAAAUCCAAAAAAUAAUAAUCACAAAUUUUUUUAUUAAAAUAUAUUUAUGGACCCCGCAUUUCGGCUUAUACGCCUCCACUCGACGGCGAGCUCGAUUUUUAUUUGAAAAUGACUUGGAGUCGCCACUCAUUUUUGUUUUAUUUUAAAAAGGGUAAGCGAAAUAAAAAAGAAAACCCUAAGUGUGACUCCUUAUUUUGGAAAAGAUGGUUUGUGAAAAACUGGAUCGGGCUUAGGGGUCAGGUUACUUAUCAGGAAGGUACGACAUAAACCGUAGCACCCCUCAAAGUCCCUAAAGUCGGGUCUCUACUAAUACAAUGAAACUGACGUAGCAAUCGACGAGAAAGUCAAUGGAUACUCACCUCAAACACGCACAAUAGGUGAAUCGGAACAUGAAUAGAGAAUGAUCAGAAUGAAAGUGUAUGCGUACCUGGGCCACGGACCAUAAUGCGCUAUCCAAAAAUGGGAUUAGCACACAAUUAAUGAAUACGGAAUAUGGCUCAUGCAUAUUGGAGUGCAAAUCGAAGAUCAAACGAAAUACACUAAGUACGACAGUUAUCAAUCAAAAGGGAUCAAACAUCGGGCCCCCACUAAAGCCCAAUUUAUUGUUCAUGAAUUAGUCUUACAAAUUCCGUGUUUAAAAUUAUGAAGACUUCACUUCUUGCUUAUGUAGAAUCAAGAAGAUCAGAAGAUUAUUUAAUAACCGAAAUGGAAUUAAAACUAUUCGAGUGAAAACUGGAUUCUUGGAGUUUAUUUGAAAAUUAGGAUCUCAAAAAUUACUUGGAAAUUGGAGCCUGGGGAACUGAAUUUAAGAAUGGGAAUUUUGGAAGUUAAGUUUCAAAAAUUGGAAUCCUGAAGAAUUAUUUAAAGAUUGAGUUUCAAAAAUAAACAAAUAAAUAAAAUAAUAAUGAUUAAAUAAAUCAAUAUGGGAAUUAAAUAUUUUGGAAAUUGGAAUCUAAAUUUAGAAAUCGGGAUUUUGAAGAAUUGUUUGAAGAUUGAAUUUUAAAAAUAAAUAAAUAAAUAAAAUAAUGAGGAUUUAAAUAAAUUGACAUGAGAAUUAAAAUUUCGGAAAUUGGAAUUUAAUUUAGAAGCCAGAAAAUUGGAACUGUUUUAAAGAAGGAAAUUUUGAAAUGGAUAGCUGGAAUAAUAAUAGUGAUGAUAAUAAUAAUUGUUUUGAAAGCUAAAUUUUAAAUAUUAAAACUUUGGUAAUUAGAUUGAAAUUCGUAUUUUUGACAAUUAACUCUGGAAGUUGAGAAUUUAAAAAUUAUUCCAAAAUGAAGACCUUGAUAAUGAGAUUUAAGAAAUGAACCCUAGGAAAUUAAACUGCGAGAAUAUGGAUUUUGAAAGUUGAAUUUGAAGAUUUAAGUAGUAGUAGUAAUAAUAAUAAUAAUAAUAACAAUAACAGUAAUAAUAAUAUUAAACUGCGAGAAUAUGGAUUUUGAAAGUUGAAUUUGAAGAUUUAAGUAAUAAUAAUAAUAAUAAUAAUAAUAAUAAUAAUAAUAAUAAUAAUAAUAACAACAACAAUAAUAAUAAUAAUAAUAUUAAACUGCGAGAAUAUGAAUUUUGAAAGUUGAAUUUGAAGAUUAAAAUAGUAAUAAUAAUAAUAAACUACGAGAAUAUAGAUUUUGAAAGUUGAAUUAGAAGAUUUAAGUAAUAAUAAUAAUAGUAAUAAUAAUAAUAUUGAACUUGAAUAUUUAAGUAAUAAUAAUAAUAGAAAUGGGCUUAAGACAAUGGCUAGAAAUGGGCUUAGGACAAUGGCUACUCAAAUUGAGCCCUUUAAUGGGCCUAGGGUGGGAAGAUUGAAUUUGAAGAUUUAAGUAAUAACAAUAGAAAUGGGCUUAGGACAAAAUGGGCUUAGGACAAUGGCUACGACUUGAGCCCUUUAAUGGGCCUAGGGUGGAAAAAUUGAAGAUUUAAGUAAUAACAAUAGAAAUGGGCUUAUGACAAUGGCUACAAAUUGAGCCCUUUAAUGGGCGGGAAAAUUGAAGUUGAAGAUUUAAGUAAUAAUAAUAGAAAUGGGCUUAGGACAAUGGCUACAAAUUGAGCCCUCUAAUGGGCUUAAGGUGGGAAGAUUAAAUCUCAAAGAAAGAUAGUGGGCCUUGGGCAUCUUGGUGGUGCAUGGAUUCUCUAUAUUGUAGCCAUAGUUUCAAGGUGAACAAGAGGGAACGACGGCACGAACCAGCUCCAGGGGUAUAACCGAAAGUGUAGAGAUGGCGCGGAGGUUGGGGCUUGAUGAACAGCAUGGGAUAGGUUGAUGGUGAUGAGCUUGUGGUACGAGAGAUAAGAUGAGCUUGGUGAUGGAAACGAGUGAGCAUGCAACUUGGAGAGGUGAGGAGAGUAGGAUAUGCGACUUGGAGCAUUAGUGGGUAUGAUUGUGGUGUAGAGAGGGAAGAGGUGGUGGGACGAAGUGCGCAUAAGAGAUUUGACACAAAGAGGCGAUAUGGGAAGAGUGGAGAUGGGUGGUAUGAAAAGUGAGUACAUGCGGAUAUGAGUGUGAAGAGGUUGGUGAGAAGCGGAGAUGUCCAUGCAUGCUUGAAAUGGGUGACAAAAUAAUGAUAUAAGGGGUAGUGGAAGGUGAUGACGGGAAGUGGGUUCAAUGAAACUGUUAGAGAGAGAAAGGGGUGCUAUUGGUAGUGAGAAGAGUGGAAGCACGAGCGUGAGUGAUGGUGAGUUUGAGUGGGUUUGGGUGAUGAUGUAGAUAUAGAAAGUGAAUAAAUAGAAGAGGUGGGUGAAGAAUAGGGCAUGAAACGUAUGAGGUGUGUAGAUGGUAUGAAAAGGUGGACAUGGUCUCCAUGGACUAUCAUGGCUUUCAUUUCAGCUGUUUUGUAGUCCACUUUCAAUCUCAUCACUUCAACACAAAUUGGGGCCAGCCAGGAGAGAGAUUUUUUGGUAGGAUGAGUUAUUGAAUAUAAAUUGGUGACGUGUCAGCAUCUUAGAGGGUCCAUGCAUGGUUUCAAUAUCAUUAUUUACGGUUCUUUUUAAUAAGAAUAAUGUUUAAACUUUGUACUCAUCCAAAAAGUAUUGAAUUAUUGGUACUAAACCGCACAUCCCAACAUUUUCCAUGAAAGGACAAUAAUUGCAUCUAAUUACAAAUAUAUCCUGGAAUCCAUCCCAUAUUUUUCUCGUGAACUAAUCUGUUUGGUUCGGAAACCACUGAAAAAAGAGAUGGAAAAUGCUAAAAAUAUAUUUUUUUAUAUUUGAUUUUGUUACAAAAAAAAAAAAAUUAACCAUGAAAGUCUGAAUAUAAUUAAAAUUAUUUAAAUUUUGUAUAUUUUUAAAAUUAUUAAUCCUUAUGUAAAAGAGUUAAAUACUUAAAAAUAAUAUUUAUCAUUGAUUUUAACUUUAAUUUUUUUUUCCUUUUACCUUUUCUCUCUAUUUUCUUUCCCUCACAAUUUCCUUCAAAAUAUUCCCUCAAUAACCUACUAAUUUAGUGUUUGUUGUUAUACUUUUUUUUUUUUUUAAACUUAAAUUUAAAUAAAAUUUAAUUUAACUUAAUUAUAAUAAAAGAAAAGGAUCAUACCACUUUUUUUUUUUUUUUUUUUUUUUUUUUUUUUUAUGGAUGUCAAGAUGGAUUUAAGAUACAUUUAUAAUAAGAUGAAAUUAUAGUCUGUUGAUGGAAAAUAUCAUUAUAAAAAAUGUCAUUUGAUCAGUGUGACCCUCUCGUAAUUGAUAACAAAUUCAAUUAUUGUCUGUCGAUGGAAACUGAAUUUCCAACCACACAAAAUUAAAUUCAUAUAAACAAUGACUUUUCUUGUUUCAAUUAUUUAUAUUAUAUCAAAUAUUUCUAAUUUUUUUGUAUAAAUAAAUUAUUUUAUUCUCUAAUUAUAGAUUCAAACAUACAAUGUCAUCCAAUCAAUAGAUACAUAAAUCUUUUUUUCAAAUAUAAACAUAAUGCAAAUAUAUACACACAAUCAAGUGGUGCGAUAUCGUUCCUAAGUUUUUACUGAAGAAUACACGUUUAUACCUAAAUACACUUCUCAUUUGGAGUGUUCUCGGGGUAAGUUUUUGUAAUUUAUAUAAGAGAUCUCACUUAUUUCUCAAUUCGCCCUCUUUGAAUCUUUUCAUUUCGAUCUUAUUUUCUUUUCUUUUAAUCUUUUUGCCCUCAUUCUCAUUUCCAUUUCAUAUAACAAGUUCUUCACUUUUCUUUGUCUACAACCAUGGAUGUAAAAUGAGUGCGGUAUAAUAUUGUUGUGCAAUCCUAACUCAAAUGAUAAUACCAACUAAUAUAAAAUAAUUAUUUUAAACCAAUAGUCAUCGGCAGUAGACUUAUAUCUUCUGGACCAAUUAGUAUACCAACAGUGAUCAGGCUAAGGUGAUGAUCCAAUUCCAUGGAAGAGCAUCAAGAAAGGAGGAGGAACGUUGGAGAGAAAGAAGGCGGCCAACCAAGCAGGAACAGUGGCCAAACUGGCCUCGAGCCUGAGGAGCAUAUGAUUGACAGUGUUGAAAUCAGUCCUAGGGUGAAAAAUUGGAUUAAGUCUCUCAAAAACGCAGAAGAAAGCACUCAAUCUCAAAGUUCAUGGCCAAGGAUACCAAAGGUUCCUCAGUUGCUGAGGGGGACCCAUGAUUUCGAGAGAUUGUACGAACCGAGGGUAAUUUCAAUCGGUCCUUACCACCAUGGCAAACCCCACCUUCAACCAGUGGAGACGAUCAAGCUUCAAUAUGCCCAAAAAUUCCUGGCUGAUAGUGACCAGGACAUCGAAGCUUUGUACACAAAAAUUGGAAGUAAUAUCGAGGCGUUGAGGAAGUGCUAUGAUAAGAUACCGACGGAUGAUGAGAAACUCGCCUGGAUGAUGCUUCUGGAUGGGUGUUUUUUACUACAAUUCAUCCGCAGCAGAAAGGACGGCAGCACAGUCGAUUUGAGUAACGUUCUUAGAAUUCACCAAAUAAAUUUUGUGGAGCGGGACUUGUUCUUGCUGGAGAACCAACUGCCCUUUGGAGUCCUCCAGUUGAUUUUUGAGGGAGCAAAAUUCAAUGAUGGUUCAACAAUGGAACAGAUGAUAAAAAAUUUCGUCACUCGCAUCGCAAGUCUACAACCGUCAUCAGAAAAACCGCUGGAUGAGCGCUCUCAUCUCCUCGACCUUUUGCGAAGUGCUAUCCUAGGCAAGAGUGCGCCCAAACAAGAGCGGCAACCUGAUAAAAAAGGAAAGUCGUCGUCGUCUUCAGGAGGAGAUGGGCGGUUCUGUUGCCCAUGGAAAAAAGGCAAACAACGAGGCAUUCGGCAGCCUUUUCGAAACAUCAAGGAGCUUAAAGCUUCCGGGAUCCAUCUCCGACAGAGUAGAACGAGUUUCUUGACAGACAUUUCUUUCAAUUCCUACUUCUUCCGUGGCUACCUGAAUCUUCCCCCAAUAAUCGUUGAUGACUCCACGAAGUCCAGGUUCUUGAACAUUGUAGCCUAUGAAAUGUGUCCAGAUGCCCCUGAUGACUAUACGGUCACUUCUUAUUUAUGCUUCCUUCACGGGCUCAUUCAUCAUGCGGACGAUGUCAAGGAGCUGAGAUCUAGGCACAUUCUCAUCAACCAUCUUGGCAGCGAUGAAGAUGUGGCCCGACUUUUCAACGAGAUCGCCAACGACGUGGUAGAUACCGGAGUUUAUGGAGAUGUGAAAGCUCGUAUUCAGAAAGACUACGACAAGAGGGUGAAUACUUGCAUAGCAGCCAUUAACGGAUUGGCACUGCUUUUACGGCUGUACAAUUGAUACUAUUUCUUACUGGUGUCCAAACCUACUACGCUCUUCCAGGUAAUUAAUGUAUGUGUGUAUGUAUGUGAUUAAUUAUCAUUGUGAUGUGCUUUUUUUUUCUUGUUUGGUGUGUUUAUGUUUGAAAAAAAUCCAACUUUCCAUGAUUGAAGUAAAUAUAUCAAUACAAGAUAUCAUUUUAUUAGAGAGUAUUAUGUAGAAGGAAAAACAAUUAAAAUUUGUAAAAUCUCUAGAUCAAAUUACCAAUAUUUGUAUCAAACCUAUCAAGUUUAAAGAUUUUAAAAAUUAAAGGAUGUUAUUCAAGAUAUACAAAUCAAGUUUUGAGUAGUCAAAUCAUAAAAAAAGUUUGAGGUAACAUAUAAAAAUAAUUUAUUAAUUAAAAUUUUUUUUCUUUCUCUAUUUUCUUUUUCUUAUAUUUUCUUUCAAACUUUUUAGGAACCAAACAUAACCUACUAAUUUAGUGUUUUUCUUUUACUUAAAUCUAAAUAGAACUUAAUUUUACUUAAUUCUAAAUACAACUUAAUAAUAUUAAGUAUUAAGUUGUUUAUUUUUAUUAUUUCAUUUCUUUUAAGUAUUAAGCAUUAAUAGGUGGGAGUUGCAUUGAGGUUGUGUUUUGGUUAUUUUAAAAGGUUACUUCUAGCAUUAAGUAAAAAAAAUUAAAUAUUUUGACUUUUUUCAUUCAAUCAAUUUUUUUUAAAAAAAAUAAGUAAUAAGUAAAAAAUAAGUAAAUCAUCUCAAGUCUGAAAGCAAAUUAUAUUCAAUAUUAAAAGAAAAAAAAAUCAAAACAACCGUAGAACCCCAUCUAGUUGCAGCUCGUUUCUUAUCAGGUGCAGCAUUUCUGAGGUUUUAUGCGUGUCAACUCGAGAAAGGCUGGGGCGGGGACCGUUUUCUGGAAACAUCAGCUGCAUGAAACGUGUGGGGAGCAACUGACCACAGCCAUAGUGGUGGUUGGGGCUCCAGACAUGCUGAGCGGGGGAACAGGGGAGUGGAUAUUGGCUUGUGAGAGGAGAAAAAAAGAAAGAGUUGCUUAUCUUCCCACCCAUUCACCUAUCCCACAUUCUCUCACGUCCGUGCAGCCCACAUGCUCCCCUCAUGACAUUCCCUUGCUCAUCCUAUCAUGCAUUUUUCACUCCCAUGUUCAUGCCAUACUCACCGCCAUCUUUUCUCUCUCUACACCGUGUCAUGCACCCAUUUGUUUUCCUAAAAAGACCACAACCCCUGUUUUGUGCUCCAUCACAGCCCAUGCUUGUGCCACCACAUAACCCUCGUUUUCACCCCCACUUUCAUACCCAUGCAACCAAUCUUUCUCACCCUCUCAUCACCCACUGAAGUGUAUGGAAGUCGUGGUGAUUUCCCUCCAUCUCGCGUUGCCUAGGCUGUCCUCAGUCCGCGUGUUUUCCUGCGCGCUUGCUUCAGAUUAAACUUCGUUCGUCGGCUUCUUUAAAACCCUUUCAACUCGUGUUGUAGUUUAAUGGAUCAAAGCCCAAAUCAGAGAGGAAGGCAAACCUGGGUUCUUGGGUGCAAGUGUAUGCCAAAGGGGAGGUGUAGGAGGGUGAAUUUCACGAGUGGUGGUGUUCAGGAAGUGGGGUUUAUUAUUAUCAUAGGAGUGGGAGGAUAUGUGGGCAUGGAUCAACCUACAGGUAUGGGCAUAAAAGUGGGCCUGAGCAUGGGCCUGAGCCUGGGGGUGAAUGUGGGCCUGAGCAUGGGUUUGAAUAUUGAAAUGUGGCAAGUAGCCCGGAUGCAACAACCAACUUUGCCUCCUGGAGGUUAUAACCUCAUGAUGGGCUCAGGUGGUUAUACUCUUUAGCAACCAACCAUAUGGUAAUGGCUACCAUUAGGAAUGCUAUACACGUAAUGGAUGCCUAUUAUUUCAAGUGAUUCCUAUAUUCCCAAUUUACGCAAUUUAAUUCUUAAAGCCCUAAUUUCUCGAUAUUCUUUCAAAUUUCGAUUUUCACACUAAUAUAUUUGAUCACUAUUACCAUUAUUUCAUUAUUAUUUGUUUAUUUCUAAAAUUCGAUCUUUAAACACAUCUUCAAAAAUUCCAUUUUUUUAAAAUUUAAUUUCUAAUCCUGAUAAUUCCCAUACUCGCUUUAAUUUAUUUAAUCAUAAAUAUUUUAUUCAUUUAUUUUAAAACUCUAUUUUUAAUCUAUUCUUUAAAAUUCCCGAUUACCGAAUUAAAUUCCGAAAAUUCCCAUACUCACUUUAAUUUAUUUAAUCACUAAUAUUUCAAUCAUUUAUUUUAAAAUUCCAUUUUUAAUCUAUUCUUUAAAACUUCCGAUUUCAAAAAUUCCAAAAUUCACGUUUAUUUAUUUAAUCAUUAUUUUCGUUCCGUUUUAAACAAUUCAUUAAAAUUUUCGACUUCCAAUUUUAAUUCCGAAAAUUCCAAUAUUCACAUUAAUUUAUUUAAUUAUUAUUAUUUUAUUUAUUUAUUCUAAAAUUCCAUUUUUAAACAAUUCAUUAAAAUUUCCACUUUUGCUAAUUCCAAAAUUCCAACAUUCACAUUAAUCUAUUUAAUUAUUAUUAUUUUAUUUAUUUAUUCUAAAAUUUCAUUUUAAACAAUUCCAACAUUCACAUUAAUCUAUUUAAUUAUUAUUAUUUUAGUUAUUUAUUUUGAAAUUCCAUUUUAAACAAUCCUUCAAAAUUCCAAUUUCUGAACUUAAUUUCCAAUUUCCAAAAUUCUAAUUUCUUUCAAAUUUAAUAUCUAAAAUUCCAAUUCUUAAAUUUAAUUUUCAAGACUCCAAUCUUCAAAUAAUUUUCGAGACUCUAAUUUUCAAAUAAAUUUGAAAAAUCCAGUUUUCUCUCGAAUAGCUUUAAUUCCACUCCGAUUUUUAAAUAAUGUUCUAUUUCUUUUGAUUUUUUUACACAAGCAAGAAUGAUGAAUCUUCAUAAUUCCGAAAUAAUGGGAUUCGCGAGAUUAAUUCAGGCAAGAUCAAUCGGGCUUUGGUGAGGGCCCCACAUAUGUGAUUUUAUGACUGACUGAUUGAUUAAUUAAUUUAUUUACCAUGCUUGUUUGAUUUAUUCUGUUACUUGACAUGCGCAUAAUUUUAUCUAUUCGUCAUUCACUAAUCCUGUUUCAUGAUAGCGCAUUCGUGACUUGAGGACCAGGUACGCAUCCACUCAUAUUUUGUUCGUUCUUUAUACAUGCUCUGCUUCCCACGUCGUGCAUGAUUAAGGUGAGUAUUCAUUGGCUUUCUCAUUGAUUGCCGCGUUAGCUUCAUUCUAUUAGUAGAGACCCGAUUUCAGGGACUUAGAGGGGUGCUACGGUUCAUGUCAUACCUUCUCGAUAAGUAACCUGACCCCCGAACUCGAUCCGGUUUUUCGUAGAUCACCUUUUCCAAAUAAGGAGUCACACUUAGGAUUUUUCUUUCUUAUUUUGUUUACCCUUUUAAAAAUAAAACAAAAAUAAGUGGCGACUCCAAGUCAUUUUCUUAAUCAAAUAAAAUCAUUUUUCAAAUAAAAAUCGAGCUCGCCAUCGAGUGGGAAAUACAUGAGCCGAAAUGUGGGGUCCACAACAACAUAAGAUUUAAAAUUCAAAAUGAUUAUAAAUGUGUGACACUAAGCUUAAUGCACGCGUGCUAAAGGUCACUAAUGUUAUUCGUAGUUUUCCCAUGGCAAUUGGUAUGUUUCACAAUCUUUCUUGGACGUGGGAGGGGCUUGGGUUUUUGAAUGAGAAUGAAGCUUUUUGAAAGGUUUGUAAUAAUAAAAUAUAACAUCAAAAAUAAAAUGAGGUAUUUAUGUAAAAUAAAAAGAAAAUUGUCUAAAAAAAUUCAUUAAGGCUGUGUCUCUCUGGUUUAAAAAAUUUGAGGGAAAGAAAAUAGAUAAAAAAAAGUGGAAGGAAAAAAAAUGAAGGAAAAUAAAAAAUAAAUUAAAAGUCAAUAAAUUAUUUUUAUAUUCUUCUUCAAAUUUAUUUCACUUGCUCUUCUUCAUUAUAUAAAGAUUAUAUAAUUUUAAAAUGCAUAUAUUUUUAACUAAUUUGAAUUAUAUUUGAUUUUUUUUUGUAUUUUUUUUAUAGUAAAACCAAAUAUAAGAAAAUCAUUUUCCUUAAUAUUUUUUCAUUUUCUUAGUACUUUUUGAAAACCAAAUAUAACCUAAUUCUUAAUUAAUUUAAAUUAUAUUUGAUAUUAAAUAUUUAAUUAUGUAAAUAUUAAAAAUAAAUAAAAUCUAAUAAUUGUACUAAUAUUUUAUAUUUUCAUUUUCUAAUUUUUACUUUAUUUUAAUAGAUACUAAACAUGAUUUUUAAAUUUUAAAAAAUUUUUUAAUUAUAAAAAUAAGAAUGGAAAAAUAAAUAUCGGAUAGCUAAUUUUGACAGACAUGUAAUUUUGAUAGUGAGUGGUGUGAGGAGGGCUUUUUUGCCCAAAUUUUUGUGUUUUCCAAAUCUAAGCCAUUUCCUUGCCUACUUUUUUUCUCCAUGUUCCAAGUAAACAAGGGUAAAUACUUACAAUAAAAAAUUAAUGAAAGACAAAAACCAUACAACUAUUUCCUCCAUAGAUACCAACAUGGAUUCGAGAUUUAAGAUACAUUUAUAAUUAGACGAAAAAUGGCACGAUGAAAAAUAUCAUUUGAUUAAGGUAAGGUGGAAAAAUAAGGGCUACAUUUAAAGUACUCGAGUAUAUUAUAUAUGCUCCCUUUAGGGUGAUUCCCAUAUCAUUUAUAUAUUUCUUUUUAAUUCAAUUUGAAAUUUGAAUUCAAUUUUAUAUUUAUAUUGUAUAUAUUUAUAAUAAUAUAUAUUAUAUAUAAUUAUUUAUAAUAAAAUAAUAAAAAUUAUAAUAUUAAUUAAUUUAAUAGGAUUAAAAAGGACUAAUUUUUUUUAAAUUAUUAUAUAUAUAGGUCUGAAUGGAAAAAAUAUCAUCCAUUUAUUUAUACUCUUAUAUGUUGAUAUCAUUAGUUUGUACCCUCAUUCUAAACAAGGGUACCUUAUCUUGAUCUCAUGCAUUGGUUUGUGUUUUGGAAUUUGAAAGGUUUCCUUAGGUUUAUUUAAGUUUUGACAAUAAAUAAUUAGUAAAAGAAAAGGACCAUACCACUUUUUCCUCCAUAUUCCAAGUAAAUAUGGGAAAAGACUUACCACAAGAAAUUAAAGAAAGGAAAAGAACCACACCACUAUUUCCUCAAUAAAUGUCAAGAGGAUACAUUUGUAAUCAAUGUUGGGAAAUGUCAACAUGGAAAAUAUCCUUUGAUCAAUGUAAGAUGGAAAAGAUCAUUUGACAAGGGCUACAUUUACAGGACUCAAAUAUAUUUUUUUCAAUAGGUAUGAAAAAAACAUCAUCAAUCAAGUGGUGUUAAAUAUAUAUUUUUUAAUCUCAUUAUUUGUACCACAAUCCUAUUUAUUUAUACUCUUAUACCUUGAUAUUAUUAGUUUGUAUCUUCAUUCUAUCUUACCUUGAUCUCAUUAGUUUGUUUUUCAAAAUAUGAAAGGCUUCCUUAUGUUCAUCCAAGUCCUUAGACUCCUUACAAUAAGGAAUUAAUAUAUGAAAAUGAUCGUACCAUUUUUUUCUUGAUGGAUGUCAGGAUGGAUUCAAGAUACAUUUAUAAUAAGAUGUAAUUAUUAUUUAUAUAUUGAGAUUGAAUAUUAAGAUUAUUUUAAUUUUUUAAUUAUAAAAACAAGAAUUGAAAAAUUAAAAUUGGAUAGUGUCAACCCCUUAGCCUUUUGACCCAAUUUUGGAGAAAAGGGUCUCAUGGGUAGGCCUUGCACCCAUGGGAGCCUAGAUAGAGAGCAAGAAUGGCCUGGAGGUUUGGCGGUUCAAACCCCAAGAGUUAUAAUGAGAAGGCCAUGUUUGAGCCAAACGUGCACCACAUGCGAGCUAGAUGCGUACCGCGUGCACACUACAGACAAGCUAAACAGGCACCGCACGCGCACCUCGAGUGAGCCAAACAGGUACCGCGCAUACACCAGGCAUAUGUUGGCUAUGGAGUUGGUGUAGUUGGAGGGCGAGGUUUAUUUUGAAAUAUAAUUUAUAAUUAUUUAAAUGUUUCAUUAUGUCUCCUCCAGACAUCUUGAUAACGAUCCGUAUUGCUCUUUAAGGGGGAAAGGGGAUAGGUAAUUCGAGGGGGCACCAAGGGAAGGCCUUGAUCGCACCAAGGGAGCACCAUGGCACGACUCGUGGCGUGCCUAGGACACACAGAUAGACACUCAAGCACACACACAUGGGUUCCACAAUAUGUGUGGCGUGCACCCUGUGGCUGCAACAGCCCGGGGUCUGGUACAACCUACCUCCUCCCCGCACAGGCAUGAAGGGGCCUAAGCCUUGUGCAACUAGCUAACUGAGGAAGCCAUGGUUUGAUGAGGCACUAGACAGACAGUUGGCUUGUACCCAUAAUGCUUACGCACGACACAGGAGCGCAAUGCCAUAGUUCAUUGCUAUAGAGCUUGACCUGACAGUGGGAGAUAGACAUAGGCCCAUACCAUGGGCACCUUGACAUGGCAUGGACUGACACGUCAGUGUGGGGAAGACACACUGAUGCACCAAGCACCUGGUCAGUUGGUUGGUGCAUGUUGCUAGUUCAGAUGACAGCUAGCUAGUGGUAGCAAGUGUGUGAUCCGGACAAUAGUCAGUUUCAAGGGAUUGACAGAUGGUUGGUGCGAAGAGACGCCUUGGACUAAGGGAGUGUCUCCAGCUAGGUGGUUACAUGAGCAGUUCACCAGUUGGGUGGUUAUGCAAGCAGUUUAUGGGCGAUUGUGGCAGUUGCAAAACCACCAGAUUGGCUCCUUGGUUUUGAAUUUUGAAAUUUGAAAUUGUAACUUGCAGGCUGGUCAUUUAAAAAGGGGCCUCUUCCAUCUUUGAGAUAGAGGAUGAGAGCAUGGGAUAUGUCUUUGAAUGCUUAAGGGUUCUAAGCAUUGUACUCUGACUUAGACCAAGUGUUGAGACACUUUGGAAAACGAUUUUAUAUCUUGUAGUGACUGAAAUAAUACAAGUUAGGAAGGGUUCCCGUAAUUGUUGUGUCAUGUUACUUUGUUUUUCUAAGGGUUGGGAAGAAAGGUUAGCUAAGGAAAGGUCCUUAGUACUGCACACUCGAUGAAAAAAUUAAUGCAAUUAUCAGGGGUGUGAUAGAUAGCUAGUAUUUACAGGCAUAUGUAAUUUUGAUAGAGAUGAGAAGAGAAGAAUGAGUGGUAUGAGGAGUGCAUUUUUGCCCAAAUUUUUGUGUUUUAGGAAUCCAAAGCAUUUCCUUUCCCACUUUUUUCUCCAUGUUCUAGGUAAUCAUGGGAAAAAAGUUGCAAAAAAAAAUUAAUUAAAGAAAAGGAAUAUACCACUAUUUCCUUGAUAGAUAUUAGGAUGUAUUUAAGAUUUAAGAUACAUUUAUAAUCCGCAGUGGAAAAUAUCAAGAUAGAAAAUAUCAUUUGAUAAGGACUACAUUUUUAGUACUCAAAUAUACUUCUUUUUAUAGGUAUGAAUGGAUGAAAAGAUAUCAUCAAUCAAUCAAGUGGUGUCAAAUUUAUAUUUUUAAGUAUUAUUAUUUGUGCUCAAAUCCCAUUUAUUUAUACUCUUCUACCUUGAUAUUCUUAGUUUGUACCCUCAUUAUGUGGAAACAAGGGUACUUUACCUUGAUCUCAUUGGUUUUAGUUUGAAAAUUUAAAAGGUUUCCUAAGGUUUAUCUAAGUCCAUACAAUAAGGAAUUAAUAAUAAAAAAAAGGACCAUGCCACUUUUUCCUCCAUGUUCCAAGUAAAUAUGGGAAAAGACCUACAACAAGAAAUUAAUAAAAGAAAAGGACCAUACCACUAUUUCCUUAAUAGAUGUUAAGAUGGAUUCAAGAUACAUUUAUAAGUAAUGGUGAAAAAUGUCAAGAUGGAAAAUAUCCUUUGAUUAAGGUAAGAUCGAAUAAAUCCUUUGCUAAGGGCUAUAUUUAUAGUACUCAAAUAAGCUCUUUUUUGAUACGUAUGGAAAAGACAUUAUCAAUUAAUUGGUGUCAAGUAUAUAUUUUUAAGUCUCAUUAUUAAUGGACCCCAAUUCCAUUUAUUUAUACUCUUAUACCUUGAUAUCAUUAAUAUGUAUCCUCAUUAUAAGUGAAAAAGGGUACCUUACCUUAGUCUUAUUUAUUUGUAUUUCAUAAUCUAAAAGAUUUCCUUAGGUUUAUAUAAACCCUUACAAUAACGAAUUAAUAAAAGAAAAAGACCAUACCACUUUUUCCUUGAUGGAUGUCAAGAUGGAUUCAAGAUAUAUUUAUAAUUAGAUGUAAAUAUUGUCUGUUGCUGGAAAAUAUCAUUAUGGAAAAUGUCCCAUGAUCAAGAUAACCCUCUUGUAAUUGAUGUCGAAUUCAAUUAUUGUCAAUCGAUGGGAAUUGAAUUCCCAACCAUACAAAAUUAAAUUAAUAUAAAUGGUCACUUCACUUUUCUUAUUUCAAUUAUUUAUACCAUAUCAAAUACUUCUAAUUUUUUUGUACAAAAUAAAUAAAUUAUUUGUUAUCUAAUUAUAGAUUCAAAUAUACAAUUGAUGUCAUUGAAUCAAUUGAUACAUAAAUCCUUCUUCCAAAUAUUAACAUAAUGAAAAUGCAAACACACAAUCAAGUAAUGCAAUAUUGUUCCUGAGUGUUCAUAUAAGGAUACACGUGUAUAUCUAAAUACACUCCCCAUUUGGAGUGUUCUUGAGGUAAGUUUUUGUAUCUUAUAUGAAAAAUCUCACUCCCUUCUUAAUUCAAUUUCUUUGGGUCCUUUCAUUUCUCAUUUUAUUUUCUUUUAUUUUUUUUGCCCUCAUUCUCAUUUCCAUUUCAUAUAAGAAGUUCUUAACUUUGCUUUCUAUACCACCAUGGAUGCAAAAUGAAUGAGAUAUAAUAUUAUUGUGCAAACGAAACUCAAAUGAUAUAUAAUACUCAAUAAUAUAAAAUAAUUAUUUUAAACCUAUAAAAAUACUCAAAAUUUUCAAUAAAUAAUUUCCAUUAUUUUCAACGUUGAUAUAUCAUUAAUAAAUUUCAAUUUUAUCUUCCUAACACAGUCCAAAUAAUUAUAACACUUCACACAAAUAUUUAUCUUUGAUUAAUAUGAAUUGAAUUUUUCUCCAACAUAAUUUCCACUAAAAAUCAAUUAAAAUUUCAUAUAAUCGUAAAAAUAAUUAAAAUAACAACUAUAUACUUAGAAUCACUUGCAAAAUAUUAUCAUAAUAAGAGUUUGUUUGAUAGUGAUCAUAAAAGAUGCUUUUAAUAUUUUUAACAUUUAAAAUUUUUUACCAAAAGAAUUGUUUUAAGUACUAGAAAAACUAAACACGUUUUCAAAAAUCACUAUCAAACAAGUUGAAAGAACAUGUUUGAUAUUAUGAAACCCUUUUAACCUUCCCCACAUUUGAAAAUUUUUAGCCAAGUAUUUGUAACCUUUCUAACCUUCCGUUUGGUAGGAAGCGGUGGCAGUGAUUGUUAGUAUUAGUAAUAAUCACUAGACGAAGUCAUGGGCAGUAGACCAAGUCAUCCCUCUUGGUAGGAAGCGCUUUUAACACCAAGCCAUCGGCAGUAGACUUACCUCUUCUGAACCAACAUAUUAACAGUGAUUAGGCCAAAGUGGUGACCCAAUUCCAUGGAAGAGCAGCAAGAAAGGAGGAACGUUGGAGAGAUAGAACUAGAAGGCGGACAACCAAUCAGGAACAGUGGCCAAACCGGCCCCGAGCUUAGGGAGCAUAGGAUGGACAUUGUUGAAAUCAGUCCUAGGGUGAAAAAUUGGAUUGGGUCUUUCAAAAAAGCAGAAGAAAGUACUCAAUCUCAAACUCAAUGGCCAAGGAUACCAAAGGUUCCUCAGAUGCUGAGGGGGACCCAGAAUAUCAAGAAAAUCUACGAACCGAGGGUAAUUUCAAUCGGUCCUUACCACCAUGGCGAGCCCGACCUUGGCCCAGUGGAAAUGAUCAAGCCUCCAUGUGCCCAAUAAUUCCUGGCUGAUAGUAACCAGGACAUCGAAGCUUUGUACACAAAAAUUGGAAGAAAUAUCGAGGCAGUGAAAAAGUGCUAUGGUUGGAGUAGUACAAAAAAGGAUGAUGGUGAGGAACUUGCCUGGAUGAUGCUUCUGGAUGGGUGUUUUUUACUACAAUUCAUCCGCUGGAAAGGUAUGAGAAAGUUUCGUAGAAAUCACCAAAUAAAUUUUGUGGUGCAGGACUUGUUCUUGCUGGAGAACCAACUUCCCUUUGGAGUCCUCAAGUUGAUUUUUGAGGGAACAAAUUUCCAGGGUGGUCUACCAAUGGAAAAGAAUAUAAAAAUAUUCAUCACUUACUUCGGAAUGCCAGAAGGGUUGUCAUCAGAAAUACAGCUGGAAGAGGUGAACGAAGAGCCCUCUCAUCUCCUCGACCUUUUGCGAAGUGCUCUCCUAGGCCAGAGUCAACCCGAACAAGAGCAGCAACCUGAGAAAAAAGGAAAGUCGUCGUCGUCUCAAGGAGGAAAGUGGGGGGUCUGUUGCCGAUGGAAAAAAUGCAAACAACGGGGCAUUUGGCAGUUUUUUCGACACAUCAAGGAGCUUAAAGCUGCCGGGAUCUAUCUCAAACCGAGUAGAACGUGUUUCUUGAGAGACAUUUCUUUCAAAUCCUACUUCUUCUUUGGCUACCUGAAACUUCCCCCAAUAACCAUUGAUGACUUCACGAAGACCAAGUUCUUGAACAUGGUAGCCCUAUGAAAUGUGUCCAGAUGCCCCAGAUGACUAUGCGGUCACUUCUUAUAUAUGCUUCCUUUACGACCUCAUUGAUCAUGCAGACGAUGUCAAGGAGCUGAGAUCUAAGCACAUUCUCCACAACCUUCUUGGCAGCGAUGACGAUGUGGCCAAAAUUUUCAACGAGAUCAGCAAUGACUUGGUAAAUCCCGAAGCUUAUAAAGAUGUGAAAGAUUGUAUUCAGAAACACUACGACAAGAGAGUGAAUACUUGGACAGCUCAAGCCCUUCACAACCAUUUCAGGUCUCCAUGGACCAGGGUUCAAAGUCGCAGUAUCGGUCAUUGACUCGGGAGGUCCUGAGACACAUCGGUCUCGAUAUCUCGGAUCGGUAUCGGGUGAUACGCAAAAAAUUUUAAUUUAAGAGCUCAAAAUAAUUUUCAAAAAUUAUGAAAAUUAUUAAAAAAAUAAAAUACAAAUAAGAAGAGUAAAAAAAUUAAUAAAAUAAACUUCUAUUAUAUUAAAAUUAUUCAAAUUAUAAUAAAAGCAUAUUUUUGGGAUGAUUUAUAAUAAUAUUAAAAAUCUUUAAAAAUAUUUUAAUUUAAUUACUUGAUGAUAAAUAUUUCUUAUUGAAGAUGAAAAUAAUAAAAAGUAAAUUUUUUUAAUAAAAAAUUAUUUAAAUUAAAUAUUUUGAAUUUUUUUAAAAAUGUUUUCAAUUAUUAAAAAAAUAAAACCAUGAUUCAUCUUUAAAAAAAUAAAUAUAAUUUUUCUUAUAAAAUGUAUUCAUUAAUUUUAAUUUUUAUAUAAAUAUUUAUUUGAUAUAAGUCUAAUAUUUAUUAUUUAUUUUUUAUCAUUAUAAUUUUUAUCAAAUUAUUUAAAAUCCAUAUCCCAUCAAAUACUCAUAAUCUAAUUAAAAAAUAAAUACAAAUUAUUUAAACCUAAAUCCUCCAAAUAUCCAUAACCCUCCGGCGUGAAAUGGUUUUGGAAAGCGAUUUGAGAGUGAGUUAGGACAGCAUGCCUUCGGUGAAAAGCUUGGCCUCUGCCCCUCUGGAUUGUGGUGCCUCAACAGGUGAUUGUAGAAGUGGGAUGUCAGCCUACAUGAUCACCGGAGGCAAAUCCUUGCAGAAGUUCCAUAACACAGUCUGUCCCGACUGCAAACCCAUCAGGACCGUUGAUGAUAACAGCGGUGCCGAAGUCCGGCGACUCUACUCCUCAUGUCGCUCAAAUCCAUCUCCGGCGGGAACUUGGGCGAUCCGAACAAGCAGGCGUGCUUCUUCAACCUCGCCGGCGACUCCAAGAUGCAAGGUUCUAACUCUGUAUUUUUCAUUUUCGUGGGUUUUGAUCCUCUCAUCUGAUCUUCUCCACAAUUUCUACUCCAACUCGGGUAUCGGUCCGGUACCGACCAUGGUCGAGGCGGAUACGACUCGGCCGAGUCGUACCGGUCUCGACCGAGAUUUUGAACCAUGCCAUGGACUGUCAUGGCUUUCAUUGCUGCUCUUUUGAUACUAUUUCUUACUGGGUUCAGACCUACUACGCUCUUCCCGGUAAUUAAUAUAUAUAUAUACAUAUAUAUAUAUAUAUAUAUAUAUAUAUAUAUAUAUAUAUAUAUAUAUAUAUAUAUAUAUAUAUAUAUAUAUAUAUCUGGAUUAAUUAUGACUGUGAUGUGUUUUUAUCCUGUUUGGUGUGUGUGAUUAGAAACAAAGAUGUAUAGAUUGUUAAGUUGUAUCACUGGAUUUCAUGCAUGCAAUAUUAUGGGUCUUUUCCAGUUUUCCUCCCCACAUGAAUUUGCUAUACAAUUUCCAGCUUGCUUUUUUCUAUUCUUUUUCAUAGACCAGGAUAAUAGAUAACACAACAUCAACAUAGAAAAUUUUCAGUCAACAGUAUGUGAUUCCGUGGAUGGGAUGGGAUUGAAUUUGCUCACACACUUUUUUAUCUAAGGAGAAAAUUGUGGAUAAAAUCAUAAUUUUGAUAUAUUUAUAAAUUGAGGAAGGGCUCUCUCUAAUUUUUAUUUUUUAUUUUUUAUUUUUUUUAUAAAAGAUAAAAUCAUAAUACAUCACCCAAGGAAGGGGAGUGAAGGCAUUUUUUAUUUCAUCGUUGAACUUGUUUGAAAAAAAAAAAACCCCACUGUAGACCCCCCCGAGGAGCUGAGAGUUUUUUUUUUAUGAUUAUUCUUUUUGCUAUUUUUCUGACUCCUCUGAAGUGGGCUGCUCUCGGGCGGCAGAUGGGACGGGGGUAAGGAGAUGGCUUGGAGGAGAAGCUAAAAAAGAAAAGAGGAAAAGGAAAGAAAAGAAGGGGAAUCCAGAGAGAGAGGGAGAGAGCUCGGAGGGAACAACAGAGUAAGCUGAAGAGUAUUCUCAGGUAUGAAUGUAACAGGUUCAUUGUUAGAUUUAGAUCCUUGCUAUCCCUCCGCAUUUUUUUCUUGUUGAUAUUUUGGAUAUUUGUUGUUUUGCUUGGGGUGGAUUGUUGCUUGUUGAGAUAUAACCUUGAAUUCAUGCUUGCCAUCAUCCAUCUUAAUAUGCUCUGUUUCUAUUGUGAUUGCGGAAUGCCCGAGAAACCCCUCCAAUAUUUACACUUGAUGCUGUUUUUCUCACCUAAUGAGAAGAUUCACUGAUGAUUCAUGAUGUGAAGCUUCCUUUGAGAACCUUACUAUUUGUUUUCUGCUAUGCUCUGUUCCAUGUUUUUUUUUUCUUUUUUUUUCUUCUUUGUUUUGACUACUCUUUGUCCUUGGACCGUGUUCAAUGCAUAGAUGGUGGGAGAGGAGCAACUCUUGGCUUGAGGAGAGCUUCCCAGAAAAACGGGCAGAGAAAACUUUUCGGGGAUGGUCCGAAACAAAGAAGAAAGGAGAAAUGAGCUUUUCUGACGCUUAAGAGGAUUCCGAAAAUUUUUCGAGGCUGGUGCUGGUGCUGGCUGGUGCUGGUGCUGGUGCUGGCUGGUGCUGGUGCUGGUGCUGGCUGCUGGCUGGUGCUGGCUGGUGCUGGUGCUGGCUGGUGCUGGUGCUGGCUGCUGGCUGGUGUUGGCUGGCGUCGCCGCUGCCGCCGCGGGGAGGUGGUGAUCGUGCUGGAGCCAGGCGGGAGGAGGAGCUGUGGAGAAGAUGAAGUUUGGGCUUGGGCUUGAGUUGGGGUACUAGGCCCAAUUUUGUGAUGAAGCCCAGGCCCAAGUGGAAAGAUAUAAAAAAAAGAAGAGAACGAAAGAAGGUCUAAGGCUUAAGUGUUUUUGCUAUUGGCUUUGGGCUUGAUGGAAAUGGGCUCUUUUUAAUAAAAUGGACAUGGGCUUAGGCUUAUAGAUUUGGGCUUGAUGGAGAUGGGCUCUUUUUAAUAAAAUGGACGUGGGCUUUAGGCUUAUAGACUUGGGCUUAAUGAUAUGGAUAUUAUUAUUAUUAUUACUAUUAUUAUCAUGGUUAUUAUUAUUAUUAUCAUUCUUAUUAUCAUUAUUAUUAUUAUUAUUAUUAUUAUUAUUAAUUCAACUUUUAAAAUCCUAUUAUUAUUAUUACUAACCCAACUUUCAAAAAUCUCAUUACUAUUAUUAUUAUUAACCCAACUUUCAAAAUCUCAUUAUUAUCAUUAUUAUUAAUUCACACUUUCAACAUCUAUUUAUUAUUAUUAUUAUCAUCAUUAACCCAAACUUUCAAAAAUCUCAUUAUUAUCAUUAUUAUUAUUUCACACUUUCGACAUCUAUUUAUUAUUAUUAUUAUUAUUAUCAUUAAUCCAAACUCUCAAAAUCUCAUUAUUAUUAUUAUUAAUUCACACUUUCAAAAUCUUUUUAUUAUCAUUAUUAUUAAUUCAACUUUCAAAAUCCUACUAUUAUUAUUAUUAACCCAACUCUCAAAAUAUUAUUAUUAUUAUUAUCAUUAAUUCAACUUUUAAAACCUUAUUAUUAUUAUUAUUAUUAUUACUAUUAUUAUUAUUAUUAAUUUGAUUCUCAAAAUCUUAUUAUUAUUAUUAUUAUUAAUUCACAUUUUCAAAAUAUUAUUAUUAUUAUUAUUAUUAUUAUUAAUUCACACUUUCAAAAUAUCAUUAUUAUUAUUAUUAUUAUUAAUUCACGCUUUCAAAAUAUCAUUAUCAUUAUUAUUAUUAUUAUUACCUCAACUUUCAAAAUAUUAUUAUUAUUAUUAUUAUCAUUAAUUCAGACUUUUGAAAUCAUAUUAUUAUUAUUAUUAUUAAUUCAAACUCUCAAGACCUUAUUACUAUCAUUAUUAUGAAUUCAACUUUCAAAAAUCUAGGGUCUCGCAAUUCAAUUUCCUAAAGUCCGUUUCUCAUUUUCUUUAACAAAUUUCAAUUUAAUCAUCGGAGCUGUAAUCUUCAAAAUUUAAUUCCAAAUACUCCAAUUUUCAAAUAAGCUCCAAUAAUUCGAUUUUCACUCGAAUAGUUUUUAAUCACAUUUCAGUUCCUAAAUAAUCUUUGGAUCUUCUUGAUUUUACAUGAGCAAUAGCGAUUCCUUCAUAAUUCUAAAACGCGGGAUUUGUGAGUUUAGCUCAUGAAUAAUAAAUCGGGUUUUGUUGGAGGCCCUGUGUUUGACCCCUUUUGACUGUCAAUUAUCGUGCUUACUGUAUUUUGCUUGAGUUUCAUUUUGCACUCCGAUAUGUAUGAGCUAUGUUUUGUAUUCAUUAAUUGUGCACUAAUCUCGUUUCUUGAUAGCGCAUUGUGGCUCGUGGCCGAGGUACGCAUCCACUCCCUUUUCUAGUCAAUCUCUAUUGCGUGUUUUGAUUCCCAUAUUGUGCAUGAUUUAGGUGAAUAUCCACUGACUUUCUCGUUUGAUUAUCACGUCAACUUCAUUUUAUUAGUAGAGACCCGACUUUAGGGGCUUAGAGGGUUGCUACGGUCUUUAUCGUACCUUCCCGAUGAGUAACCUGACCCCCGAACCCGAUCCGGUUUUCACAGACCACCUUUUCCAAAACAAGGAGUCACACUUAGGGUUUUUCUUUCUUAUUUUGUUUACCCUUUAAAAAUAAAACAAAAAUAAGUGGCGACUCCAAGUCAUUUUUUUAAUCAACAAAUCAAUUUUUCAAAUAAAAAUCGAGCUCGCCAUUGAGUGGGAAACGCAUGAGCCGAAAUGCGGGGUUCACACCCAUGCACAGAGAUUGAGUUAGAAAUGAAAGUGGAGAAAAGAAUGAUAGAAAACAUGUCAUUCAAUCAAUUGAUAUAAAUCUUUCUUUUAAAGUAAACAUGAUGCAAAUAAUUACAUAUAAUCAAGCAAUGAACUAUCAUUAUUAAUUUAUUUUCUUCGGUCAUUUCAUUUUUUUUUUUGGCCCUUUUAUUCUCAUUUCUGUUUCAUAUAACAUUUUCUUUACUUUUCUUUCCAUAUAAAAUGAGUGUGAUAUAAUAUGAUUGUCCAAUAAUAAUAUCUAAUAAUAUAAAACAAUUAUUUUAAAUAUAUAACAACAUUUAAAAUUUUAGACAAAUAAUUUCCGUUAUUUUCAAUAUUGAUGACACUAAUAAAUUUCAAUUUUAUCAUCAUAACACUUCACACAAAUAUUUAUCUUUCAUUCACAUGUAUUGAAUUAUUCUCCAACAUCAUUUCCACUAAAAAAAUCAAUUAUUGCAAAAGAAAAUAAAUCCAAAAAAUAAUAAUCACUUGCAAAAAGACACCAUGAUAAGUAAAUCUAAAUCCAAAAAAUAAUAAUCACAAUUUUUUUAUUAAAAUAUAUUAUAUGAAAGUUUUGGGGAACAAACUAUUCUAUCAAAAAUCGAGAAUCUAAUCGAUAAUUUUGAAAUUAGACUUCAUGAUAUUUCUCACAUAAAAUAAAACAUUCUCCUAAAAUUUCAUACAAAAAAUCAAAUUUAUUUGCUUCAUCAAACAGCCUUCUGAAGAUCUAUGAUACUGAAUGCUCAGUCUUUUUUUUUUUUUUUUCCUUUUAAUUCAUUCUACACCUCUCUUUCUCUCUCCUAAUACUAGACUUUUUCUUUCUGUUUAUUAUUAUUAUUUCCCUUAGUUGAUUUUUAUCGUUUCUCAUUCAGGAUUUCACACCACUUUCAUAUCAUAAUAAAACUGUAUUUUACCAUAUUCCCAUUUUAAGCUUUUAUUUUUUCAAAUAUAUCAACUUUAGCUAAUAAUAUAAUAAUCCACUAACCUUCGUUCAAUUUACAAUAAUAAGAUUCUUAAUCCUUUGAAAUGACAUUAGUUUAAUUUACUUCUUUUAUUAAAUAUACUUCAAUUAAAUCAACCUUUUAAAAAUUAAAUCUACUAAAUGAUAAUAUUCAUAUUUAAUUAAUUUACCUUUUUAUAUAAAUUCAUAAAUUUACAUAACAUAAUUCAAUUUUAAUUUCAUUUUAUUCAAUUUUGUUUUGUGUUUUUAUAAUUUAUAAGGUUGAAUUCCCAUUAUAAUUAAAAAUUAAAUUGUUUUAUUAUAAUAUUAAAUUAAAUUAAAUAUCUUUUGAAAAAAUUAUUAUAACCAUACAACAUAAUACAAAUUUCACCAAGUUUUUCUAUCAAGGGUUUUCGGAUCAUUACCUUAUAAUAAUAAAAUUAAUUUUUACCAUAUAUGUAAUAUUUGAAUUUCAAAAAUCCAACCACAAAUAAUUUAAUAGUUAAAUUUAAAUUUAAUUUUUGAAAUUCUUAAUUUCGAAAUGUGACUUGGCAAGAAUAUAAACUUUCUAUUAGCUUUGCAAAAAUUACACACAAUUAAAUAAAACGUUGACACGUGAAUGCUUAGUAACAUCAUGGCAGUAGAUUGACAAAUAUAUGAAUUUUGGAUGAUCACGAGGGAUAGUCAUCGGUAGUAACAUCAUGGCAGUAGACUGACAAAAAGCCCAACAUUUUCCAUGAAAGGACAAUAAUUGCAUCUGAUUAUAAAUAGGGAGAAUUACCCUUAAGGGUAGGCUGGGGAAAAAAAUUACUGAAAAGGGUGGGUAGAUUUGAUAAUUCUUAUAAAGGCCUUAUAUUUUUAUUAGACCAAUUUACCCUGAUUUCUCAAGUCCAUUUACCUAUUGAAAAGUACAUCUUCUUUCUUGAUAAUCAUAAAGUAUAAGUACAAUACAAAUGCAAUAAAGUUACAAUGAAAAAAUAUUAACAUUACAAUACAUUACAAUAUACCAAAAUGACAAAUUAUUGAAUUCGUUUUUUUUACUGAACUAGUAUUUCUAGGCUAUCAUGUUAUAUUCCUAUCAUAAAGCAUCCUUGCAAGCCAAAAUUAUAAAAAGACAAUAAAAAUACAUUAUUAUAAUUUUAAUACAUAAAGUUAUUCAUGGUAAUCCAAUGAUAUAUAUAAAAAAAAUCUAUAAAAUUAAUUUUUUAUAUAAAAAUAUAAAUGUACAAUAAAAAUACACUACGAUUAUAAUAUAAAUACAAUAACAUUACGAUAAGGUAAAAUUUUGAAAAUUUCAAAUUUCUUAUGAAAUUGGGCAGUUGUCUAAUAUACAUGUCUAAUAUACAACAAAUAUUGUUCUUUAUUAUAUAAAAUAUGUUUCAAUUGAUUAUAAUUUUUAGUUUUCAAUGAAAAUCCGAAUAUGUUAAUAAAUACCCAAAUAAGCAUGAAACAACUGAGAAAUUUUUUUAUUCUGCCAUGCCAAACAAGUCUCAACAACAAAAUUAAAGUGCAAACCUUUUCAAUGGAAAUCAAUAAUAAUCAUAUCAAACAACCCACCCAGAAAAUAAAUUAAAAAUAAAAACACAUCUUCAAUAUGACCAAAAUAAUAUAAAAAAAUUCAAAAAAAAAAAUUUAAUAACAUUUUACACAAAAAAAAAAUGUAAUUUCUUUCUCAAAACCUCCUUCAAUAUUUCAGAUCUACAUUGUUAAAAUUAUUAAUAGUUCUUUCCUUCAAUCCAAAUUUUAAAUUAUUUAUUUAUUUGCAUAAACUAACGUAUUUUUUUUUUUGGCAUUUUUUUUUUAAAAAUCUUACAUUUAAUGGAUUUCUUGCUAGAUUCACACAAAAAUACAAGCUUUGUGGAGACGGUUCAGAUCAUAACCUGAAGUGCUGGAGUUUUUUCCUCUUUCCCUUUUCUUCUUCAAUACCGAUAAGCUACAGUUGGAUUAAAAGAAGAUUUUUUUUUUUAUGCAUAUUUUUUUUAAAUCUUACCUUUAAUGGAUUUCUUGCUAGAUUCACACAAAAAUACAAGCUUUGUGGAGACAGUUCAGAUCAUAACCUGAAGUGCUGGAAUUUUUUCCUCUUUUCCUUUUCUUCUUCAACAUCGAUAAACUACAGCCGGGUUAAAAGAAGAUUUUUUUUUUGUUUGCUGGCUUUUCACUUGUUAAGGGUAGUCUUGGCAUUUAAACAAAAUAAAGCCUUUGAAAGAAUUAUCAUAAUUCCACCCUACCCUUCAUAAGAAUUAUUAAAUAUACCCACCCUUUUGGAUCAUAUGUUUUCCCAGUCCACCCUUAACAGGAAUUCUCCCUUACAAAUAUAUCCUGGAAUCCAAUCCCCAUAUUUUUCCCGUGAACUAAUCUGUUUGGUUCCAGAAACCACUAAAAAAAAAAAAGGAAAAUGCUAAAAUUAUAUUUCUUUAUACUUGAUUUUGUUACAAAAAAAAAAAAAAAAAAAAAAUCAAAGAAAGUCUGAAUAUAAAUAAAAUUAUUAAAAUUUUUGUAUAUUUUUUAAAUUAUUAAUCCUUAUAUAAAAGAGUUAAAUAAUUGAAAAAAAGUUUAAGGUACUAUAUACUAUUGAUUUUAAUUUUUAAAAUUUUGAUUUUAAUUUUUAAAAGUUUAACUUUUUUUUUUUUAAUCUUUUCUUUUUAUUUUCUUUCUCCCGUGAUUUUCUUCAAACUUUUUUGGAACUAAAUAUAACCUAAACAACCUAUUAAUUUGAGGUUUGUUGUUGUUGAGUUUUUUUUUUACUUAAAUUUAAAUAAUAUUUAAUUUAAUUUAAUUCUAAAUAUAACUUAAUACUAUUAAGUUGUUUAUUUUUAUUAAAUAUUAAGUAUUAAUAGGUGGAGUUGGGUUGAGGUUGUGUUUUAGUUAUUUUAAAAAGUGGUGAUCCAAUUCCAUGGGAGAGGGGCAAGAAAGGAGGAACGUUGGAGAGAAAGAAGGCGGUCAACCAAGCUGGAACAGUGGCGAAACUGGCCCCGAGCCUAAGGAGCAUAGGAUUGACAUUGUUGAAAUCAAUCCUACGGUGAAAAAUUGGAAUCGGUUCAUCCAAAAAGCAAAAGAAAGGAUUCAAUCUCAAAGUCAAUGGCCAAGGAUACCAAAGGUUCCUCAGAUGCUGAGGGGGACCCAGGAUUUCAAGAAAUUCUACGAACCGAGGGUAAUUUCAUUGGGUCCUUACCACCAUGGCAAUCCCCACCUUCGCCCAGGGGAAAUGAUCAAGCCCCUAUUUGCCCAAAAAUUCCUGGCUGAUAGGAACCAGGACAUCGAUGCUUUGUACACAAAAAUUGAAAGUAAUAUCGAGGCAGUGAAGAAGUGCUAUGAUUGGAGUAGUACAAGCGAGUAUGAUGAUGAAGCACUCGCCUGGAUGAUGCUUCUGGAUGGGUGUUUUUUACUACAAUUCAUUUGCGGUACAGGUAUGAAAAACUUUCUUAGAUAUCACCAAAUAGGUUUUGUGGAGCUGGACUUGUUCCUGCUUGAGAACCAACUUCCUUUUGGAGUCCUCAAGUUGAUUUUUGAGGGAACAAGUUUACCAGUGGAAGAGACGAUUAAAGAAUUCGUCACUAACACCAUAAGGCCAGAAGGGUCGACAUCAGAAAUACAACUUAAAGAGGAGUACAAAGAGCCCUCUCAUCUCCUCGACCUCUUGCGAAGUGCUCGCCUAGGUAGGUAUAAAAAGAUUAGCAAGCAAGAACUAGGGAGUCAACCGGAACAAGAGCAGGAAGCUGGAAAAAAGGGAGAGUCGUCGUCGUCUCGAGGAAGAGAUGGAGGGUUCUGUUGCCCAUGGAAAAAAGGCAAACAACAAGGCAAUUGGCCGUCUUUUCGACACAUCAAGGAGCUUAAAGCUGCCGGGAUCCAUCUCCAACCGAGUGCAACGAGUUCCUUGACAGACAUUUAUUUCAAUUCCUACUUCUUCUAUGGCUACCUGAAACUUCCCCAAAUAAUCGUUGAUGACUCUACGAAGCCCAAGUUCUUGAACAUUGUAGCCUAUGAAAUGUGUCCAGAUGCCCCAGAUGACUAUGCGGUCACUUCUUAUGUAUGCUUCCUUUACGAGCUCAUUGAUCAUGCAGACGAUGUGAAGGAGCUGAGAUCUAAGCACAUUCUCUACAACUGUCUUGGCUGCGAUGAAGAUGUGGCCAAAAUUUUCAACGAGAUCGGCAAUGACUUGGUAGAUCCCGAUGCUUAUAAAGAAGUGAAAACUAGUAUUCAGAAACACUACGACAAGAGAGUGAAUAUUUGGAUAGCUAAAGGCCUUCACGAACAUUUCAGGUCUCCAUGGACUAUCAUCGCUUUCAUUGCUGCUGUUUUGAUACUACUUUUUACUGGGGUUUCGACCUACUACGCUCUUCCCGAUAAAUCUUCUUAUCGGGUUUCAGACCUACUUCGCUCUUCCCGCUAAAUCCAAGUGAGUCAUGGUAAUAUAUAUCUUCAAAUUGAUAAAUGGUAGUUUUUUCUAUUCAUUCUUUCAUUCGUUCAUGUACAGAGAAUAUAUAGAGGGUAAUCACCAUUCUAAGAAUGGGAAAGAAUGAUACAAGGAAAGAAUGAUAUAGGAAAUAACAAUUAAUAUUCUAAUAUCUCAACUUUCCUAAUAUCUCAAUAUUCUUAAUAUCUCAACUUUCCUAAUAUUUAAACAUUCCUAAUAUCUCAACACUAAAUAAUAUAAGGAAAGAAUGAUAUACGGAAAACAUUCCUAAUAUCUCAACACUUCCCCUCAAGUUGGUGCAUAGAUGUCACACAUGCCCAACUUGUCUAAAAAUUUUGAGAACACUUGACUUGAGACAACUUUGGUGAGGAUAUCGGCCAAUUGAUCUUCUGAUCGAAUCUUAGGCAAUUCCACAAUCUUAUCAUCCAAAUUUUCCUUAAUGAAGAAUCUAUCCACCUCGACAUGCUUUGUACGAUCAUGUUGUACUGGAUUAUGAGCAACGUCACAUGCGACUUUAUUGUCACAAAACAAUCGAAUUGGUCGCCUAGAUAAGUAACCUAAAUCCUGUAAGAGAAGUCUUAGCCAUAAUGCCUCACAAAGUCCUAGAGUCAUACCUCUAAAUUCUACUUCUGCACUUGAACGAGCGACGACAUUCUGCUUCUUACUUUUCCAUGUCACAAGAUUACCACCUACAAAGGUAAAGUAACCAGAUGUAGAUUGCCUAUCAUCCACUGCACCGGCCCAAUCAGCAUCAGUAUAUACUUCUAUACUCUGAUGAUUAACAUUUUUAGCGAACAAAAUUCCCUUCCCAGGAGCAUUCUUCAAAUACCUCAAAAUACGCAUAACUGCAUUCAUAUGUUGCUCUUCAGGAUUAUGCAUGUAUUGACUCACUACACUCAAUGCAUAAGCAAGAUCUAGUCUUGUAUGAGCUAAGUACAUUAAUCUCCCUACAAGUCUCUGGUAUCUUCCCUUAUCCGUUGAUACUUGAUUAGGCUCAACACACAAUUUCAGACCUUCUUCUAUUGGUGUAUUAACAGGUUGACAUCCCGACAUUCCAGUCUCCUGUAAAAGAUCUAAGGCAUACUUUCUUUGAGACAGAAAAAUUCCUUCACUUGAUCGAUAAACUUCAAUCCCAAGAAAGUAUUUCAGAGGACCUAGAUCUUUCAUUUCGAAUUCUUUAGAUAGAUAAUUUUGGAGAGCUUUUAUUUCUUUAGGAUCAUUUCCUGUAACUACCAUGUCAUCCACAUAUACGAUGAGUGCGAUAAUCUUACCAUGUUGCUUUUUCAGGAACAAAGUAUGAUCUGAAUUACUUUGAUGAUAGCCAAAAGCUCUCAUUGACUUUGUGAACCUUCCAAACCAUGCUCUCGGGGAUUGCUUCAACCCAUACAAUGACUUCUUCAAUUUGCACACCUUCUGACAUUGCUUUUCUGACACCAUGCAUCCUGGUGGAAGAUCCAUAUAUACUUCUUCAGAUAACUCGCCAUGCAGAAAGGCAUUUUUCACAUCGAAUUGUUGUAAUGGCCAAUCUAGUUUUGCAGCUAAAGACAGUAAUACUCGAACUGUGUUGAUCUUAGCUACAGGUGCAAAUGUCUCUGUGUAGUCAAUUCCAUAAGUUUGAGUGUACCCUUUUGCUACCAGUCUUGCUUUAAAUCGUUGAAUACUACCUUCUGCCUUGUACUUCACAGUAUAGAUCCAACGACACCCAACUGGCUUCUUUCCUGGUGGACAUUCUACGAGUUCCCAUGUUUCAUUCUUCUGCAAUGAUUUCAUCUUUUCAUUCAUGGCUGCUUUCCACCUUGGAACAGCUAAGGCUUCCUGCACACUGUUAGGAAUAGCUACAGUAGAUAAUUGAUUUACAAAUGACUUAUUUGAUUCAGACAAACGAUGGUUAGACACAUAGUUGCUCAUUGGAUAUUUGACUUUGGUAGACAAUUCAGGUUCAUAUGUAGGUUUAGGAAUACCUCUAUUAUGACGGUGUGGUAACUGUUUCAUGAAUGGAUCAGGUUCCAAAUUAAGAACACCUUCAACAGACGACGAUUGGUUUGGUAUUUCAGUAAAGACAUUUUCGAACCCAAAUUGUUGACCACUCAUAUCCAACUCACCCGCUUCUUGGUUCACUAGUUUAGAUUGUCCAGAUUCAUUCUCCUUAGAGAUAUGAUAAUCAUAAUCGAGAGUCUGAAUUUCCUUAUGGUACUCCCCCUGAAGUUCAGACUCAGAUGAAAAAUACAUCGAAUCUUCAUGAAACACCACAUCCAUUGUAAUAUACAUUUGUCGAGUUGGAGGAUGGUAACAUCGAUAUCCCUUUUUGUGCAAUGCAUAUCCAACAAACACACAUUGCAAUGCAUGGGAAGUUAAUUUGGUGCGUUGGUGUUUGUGUAGAUGCACAAAUGCCACACAACCAAAAACACGAGGAGGUAGAUUUGGGACAGUUGGGGCAACUACGAUAUUAGUAAGAGCUUAGAGAGGUGUUUGGAAGUUAAUUGAGUUAGAAGGUACCCGAUUAAUCAAGUAUGCGGCAGAUGUGAUUGCUUCUCCCCAAUAAGAUAUCGGUGUUUUUGCUGCUAUCAAGGAAGCACGAACAACCUCUAACAAGUGCCGAUUUUUUCAUUCAGCGACUCCAUUUUGCUGGGGUGUAUUGGAACAAGUAGUCUGAUGAAUGAUGCCAUGUCCUUCCAAAUACUUUUGAAGAUCAAAACUUUGAUAUUCUCCACCAUUAUCACUAUGCAGAACCCGAACCUUUGCAUUGUACUGAGUUUCAAUCAUUUUAUGAAAAUUUUGAAACAACAAGUUCACUUCAUCUUUGGUCUUCAUCAAGCAUAGCCAUGUCAUUCUGGUACAAUCAUCAAUAAAAGUAACAAACCAACGUGAGCCACUCAAAGUUGGGACUUUGGAUGGGCGGCCCCAAACAUUAGAAUGUAUAACCAUAAAAGGAAACGGACUUUUGUUCAAAAUUAACGGAAACGAAACACGAUGGCUUUUAGCCAAUUCACAAAUAUCACAAUGGAAACCAGAAAUAUCACUCUUUGCAAACAAACUAGGAAACAAUUUUUUUAAAUAACCAAAGGAAGCAUGUCCCAGACGUCGAUGCCACAACCAAAUUUCAGACUUUUUCUUCUCCCCCUCAGAUCCAUCUGCCAUCAAGGCUUGUUGCAACUUAUUUGAAUCCUUUGACUGCAAGUCCAAGUAAUAGAGUUUUCCCCGCUUAAUACCCCAACCAAUCGUCUGUCUUGUUUGGAUGUCCUUAAUCACACAAAAUUCAGGCCAAAAAAUGACAAUACAAGAUAAGGCUGCGGUGAUUUGAGAAACUGACAAAAGAUUGUAAUUUAAAGAUGGAACAACUAAGACAGAAUCCAAAUUCAAAGUAUCAGUAAGAGUUAAGGAUCAUUCCCCAAUGACUGGGGUUAUGUUACCUUUGGCUGUGGAAACAAUUUUUUGUGAGGAAGGUCUAAGGGGUGAAACCUGUCUAGAAUCAAAAGUCAUAUGAUCUGUAGCACCAGAAUCAAUUAUCCUUGCACUAUUAAUAACAGGUGUAAAAGUAUUUAAAAACUUACCACCAUGAUUUGUAGCGGCUACCAAUGUAGAGGCUUUCUCAGCAACAUUAGCCUCUGUUUUUAUUUCGGCAACAGUUGCAAUCGAGGUUUUCUUGGAAUCCUUCUUCCGUUGAUCAAGAUUAUUAUCAUUAAUAACAAAGUGUUGAUAGCCUAAACAUGAUCUAAAGGUCCAUAGUUCAAACCCUCGGUUCCUCAUUGUUUUCCUGGUCAUACCAAGAGUCGUUGCUUUGAAAUUGUGGCAUAUCCAGAUUGGUGGGAUCAAUCUUAUUGUAGUGAGUGCAUUUGAAGGUUGACUUAUCAACAUUAGGGCUUGUCUUAGGAUGGAUGAUCGCUGUCGGACUACCAUAGCGACAAAAUAUCUAGGAUUUCAGUUCCAUGGCUCUGAUACCAUCUUCAAAUUGAUAAAUGGUAGUUUUUUCCAUUCAUUCUUUCAUUCGUUCAUGUACAGAGAAUAUAUAGAGGGUAAUCACCAUUCUAAGAAUGAGAAGGAAUGAUACAAGGAAAGAAUGAUAUAGGAAAUAACAAUUAAUAUCCUAAUAUCUCAACUUUCCUAAUAUCUCAAUAUUCCUAAUAUUUCAAUAUUCUUAAUAUCUCAACUUUCCUAAUAUUUAAACAUUCCUAAUAUCUCAACACUAAAUAAUAUAAGGAAAGAAUGAUAUACUGAAAGCAUUCCUAAUAUCUCAACAAUAUAUAUGGGUUAAUUAUGAAUGUGAUGUGUUUUUUUCUUGUUUGGUGUGUAUGAUUGUUGUAUCACUGGAUUUCAUGGACGCAAUAUUAUUAGUCUUUUCCUCCCCAUGAGUUUGCUAUAAUCUAUAUAAUAUAUGUUUGAACUCACAAUUUCCAGCUACCUUCUUUGUAUUCUUUUUCAUAGACCAGCAUCAUAGAUAACAAACUAUCCACAUAGAAAAUUUUCAGUUAACGGUGUGUAAUUCCGUGGAUGGGAUUGAAUAUUCAACACACAAUUGUUUUUUCGAAUAAGAAAAUUAUGGAUAUAUUAAAAUCAUAAUUUUGAUAUAUCUAUAUAUAUAUAUAUAUAUAUAUAUAUAUAUAUAUAUAUAUAUUUAGAAAAGCAAUUAAAAACUGCAUUUUUUAAUGAAGUCUUCUGAUUUUUAUUGAUUUUUUUUUUUCAAAUUUCCAACUUUUUUAAGAAAUCUUCUAAUACUCUUGAAUUCUUCAAGAGAUUUUUAAUCUUCUAUCUCUUUAAGGCUCUAGGACAUUUCUUUAUAAAAAUACGUACAUUCAUUUGGAGAUCAACUAGGGCUCCAUUAGACCCUAUGUUGGUCUAAAUAUUCAUUUUGCGAACCUUGGGAAUGGAUUUGAGGCAUUUGCCUACCUUGAAAUGUGAUUUACAAUCCCCACACAUUAUCCUUAAGAAAAAUAUAUACAUUCUUCACAAAAAUACAUACACUUUUUUGGAGGCUAACCUUGAUCCCAUUAGAUUCUAUUUAGAUCUAAAUAUUUAUUUGGGGAUCUUUGGAAUGAAGUUAAGUCAUUUUUCUAUCUUGAAAUGUGAUUUAGAACCCCAUGUACAUCUUUAAGAAAAAUAAGUAUAUUCCUCACAAAAAUACGUAUGUUUUUUUAAAAGCCAAUCGUGACCUCAUAGGCCUUAUUUGAGUCUAAACAUUCAUUUGGGGAACCUUGGGAAUGGAUUUAAGCUCUUCGUCCACCCUAAAAUGUGAUUUGCAAUCGCACGUAUAUCUUUAAGAAAAAUAUAUACUUCUUUUAAAAAAAAAGUGUGUACAUUCUUCACAAAUAUAUAUAUAUAUAUAUAUAUAUAUAUAUAUAUAUAUAUAUAUAUAUAUAUAUAUAUAUUUGAUAGCCAACCAAGGCUCCAAUAAUCCCUGAUAAAAAUAUAUGUAUUUUUUAAAAUGAUGUAUGUAGUUUAACAAAUAUAAGAAAAAUUAAUUAAGGGGAAAUUAAUGUAAAAUAUUAAAUACAAUUUUUUUUUUUAUGAAAAAUAUAUUUUCUUUUAUAUUUUAUGUUAAUAAAAAAUUAAAGGUUUUAACAAAGCAAAAGGUUAGAACCAGAAAUUAAGUUAAAACCAUAAGAAAAAAAAAAAUAAAAGCACCAUCACUUACUAAUAUUUGAUUUGAAAAAAUAAAAAUAAAAAUAAUAAAAAUAAUAAAAUAGUGUUACAAAGAUAUUCUUACUUUCACAUGUAAUAAGAUUUAAAAAAUAAAUAAAUAUUUUAUUUGACAUUAAUAUAAAAAAUCUUAUAUCAUAAACCUCUAAAUAAUAAAAUAAAUUUUCUAAAUUUAAACCUUAAACCAUUAAAUGUAUUAUUAUAAUUAAUAUUUAAAAUCAUCAAGUAUAUUACUUUUGGGAUAAUAUUUUCAUUUUUGUUCAUUAUAUAUUUAUGUUUUUAUUUAAUUUCUUAUUAUUAGCUAUUUAUUAUAUAUUAUUAUUUUAAGUUUAAUAUAUCCAAAAAAUAAUUAAAAUCAAUAAAUACGGAGAGUGAAAAAAUUUGAAAUUAAAGAGGUUUUAUAAGAGAAUACAUGAGCAUAUUAAGAGAAAUGGUAAAAGAAAGAAAGAAAAAUAACAAUAUUUUUAAAUGUGAUAGGUGGCAAUUGAUAGGAUGGUUAAGGAUGGUAAUGAGACAGGUUUUUUCGGAUACUCGUCCUGUCCAGGCCCUAAUGGGACGGAUUUGAAAUUUAAAUAAACGGGUUUGAGAUAUUUUUAAAGCUUGAGAUAAGUUUGGGGCAAGUUCGGGUAUUAUCUUGUCCCAUCCCGUCACACCUUGAUUAUAUAUAAAAUUAAUUUUAAAAAUUAAAUUAAAUUAAUUUUUAUUUUCUUAUUUUUAAUAUAUAGAUAAUAAUAAUAAUAAAUUUUCAAUAAAUAAGUUUUAAAAAAAUUAUAAUAAUUCAAUUAUUUAUAAAAUAUAUUUAUUUUAAUGUUUUUUAGAAAUUAAAAUAAUUUUUUUAAAAGAAUUAAAAUUUUUUCAAAAAAGGGUUAAAUGGGUAAGGCGGAACGGGUAUGAGAAUUUCUCAUACCCGCCCGCAUUAUUUAAUUUUUUUAAUGGGACAACGAUGAAAGUUAUUUUGAAUAAACGAGACAAGGUUGGGAUGAGAGCUACUCAUCUUAAACAUGCCUUGUUGCCUUUCCUAGUGAAAGAGGAAAAAAAAAAAAAAAAACAAAAGCCAAAAAACAAAAAAAGGAAAAAAGUAGGAACAUGUUUUUUUCCCAAAUAGAAAACGUAAAAGUAAAGUCCAACAAUUUUUUUUUUUUUGGUUAUAUAUAUAGCAUGGUGGGGAGGGUAUAUUCCAUAUUACAUGAGACUUCCAUGGCGGGGAAGGUAUAUUUCAUAUCACAAACUUACUCAAUUGUGUUUUUCCUUUUAGGAUAUGGAAGGGCUUUCCUUAUGCCCAAGAAAUGCAUAGAUUCAAUUGAAGAAAUUGAGGAAUAUGGUUGUUCUUUUUUUUUUUUUUUUUUUUUUUUUUUUUUUUUUUUCUUUUUUUCCUUUUUUCCUUUUUUAAAAAAAGAUGAGCCAAGGUGGAACUCAGGUGGAACACAUUGGUUCCAGUCAUUUUCUUGGGCAAAGAUAUGUCCAGGAUAUGGGAAAGGGGCAUUAAAUUAAAUAUCUUUUGAAAAGUUUAUUAUAAUCAUUUCACACAAUAUAAAUUUCACUAAAUUUUUCGAACUAAGGUUCUCUGAUAAUUACUUUAUAAUAAUAAAAUUAAUUCUUACAUUACAUGUAAUAUUCAAAUUUAAAAAAUCCAAUCUCAAAUAAUUUAAUAGCUAAAUUUAAAUUUAAUUUUUGAAACUCCAAGUUUCGAAAUGUGACUUGGCAAGAAUUUAAAGUACUGAUUUUCGACUAACUUUUCACAAAUUUUGCCUAAUUAAAUAAAAUAUUAGCAUGUGAAUGUUCACUAACAUCACGUAAUUCAUUGAUUUAGAGGAUUCAAUUUGGUUGAUGUUGAGGAUAGUCAUCGGCAGUAGACUAACAUCUUCUCGACCAAUUAACAUACCAACAGUGAUUAGGCCAAAUGUGGUGAUCGAAUUCCAUGGAAAAGCAGCAAAAAGGGAGGUGCGUUGGAGAGAAGGAAGGCGGUCAACCAAGCAGGAACAGUGGAGAAAUUGGCCUCGAGCCUAAGGAGCAUAGGAAUGAAAUUAAUGAAAUCAGUCCUAGGAUGAAAAUUUGGAUUGGGUCUGUCCAAAAAGCAGAAGAAAAGACGAAACCUCACUAUCAAUGGCCAAGGAUACCGAAGGUUCCUCUGAUGCUGAGGGGGACCUGGGAUUUCGAGAAAUUCUAUGAACCAAGGGUAAUAUCAUUCGGUCCUUACCACCAUGGCAAGCCCCAACUUCACCCAGUGGAAAUGAUCAAGCCUCUUAUGUGCCAAAAAAUUCCUGGAUGACAGUAACCAGGACAUCGAAGCUUUGUACACAAAAAAUGGAAGGAAAAUCAAGGAAGUGAGGAACUGCUAUGAUUGGAGUGGUACAAACGAGUAUGAUGAUGAGGCACUCGCCUGGAUGAUGCUUCUGGAUGGGUGUUUUUUACUAUAUUUCAUUCACUGUGUAGUGAGAAGAAAUCAGAGUAAGUUGCAUGGUUUGAAUGUUAAAGAUUAUAUGAUUACUUUUGUGCACCAGGACUUGUUCUUGCUUGAGAACCAACUUCCCUUUGGAGUCCUCAAGUUGAUUUUUGAGGAAUCAGAAUUCAAUAUUGAUGGUUCACCAAUGCAAGAGAUGAUAAAAAAAUUCGUCAUUGACACCGGUAGGCCAGAAGGGUCGACAUCAGAAAUACAGAUGGAAGAGCCCUCUCAUCUCCUCGACCUCUUGCGAAGUGCUCUCCUAGGCGGGUCUAAAAAGAGUAGCAAGCAAGAAGCUCAGGGGUUCUGUUGCCCAUGGAAAAAAGGCAAACAACAGGGCAAUCGGCUGUCUUUUUGACACAUCAAGGAGCUUAAAGCUACCGGGAUCUAUCUCAAACCGAGUAGAACGAGUUCCUUGACAGACAUUUCUUUCAAUUCCAACUUCUUCUAUGGUUACAAGGAACUUCCCCCAAUAAUCAUUGAUGGCUCCACGAAGCCCACGUUCUUGAACAUGGUAGCCUAUGAAAUGAGUCCAGAUGGUCCAGAUGGCCCAGGUGGCUAUGCGGUCAGUUCUUAUAUAUGCUUCCUUGACAACCUCAUUGAUCAUGCAGACGAUGUCAAGGAGCUGAGAUCUAAGCACAUUCUCUACAACUAUCUUGGCAGCGAUAUAGAUGUGGCCCAAAUUUUCAACGAGAUUGCCAAUGACUUGGUAGACACCGAAGCUUAUGAAAGUGUGAAAGCCCGUAUUCAGGAACACUACGGCAAGAGCGUGAAUACUUGGAUAGCUGAAGCCCUUCACAACCAUUUCAGCUCUCCAUGGAUUCUCAUGGCUUUCAUUGCUGCUGUUUUGAUACUACUAGUUCCUAUGCAUUUGAUUUCAGAAUUUAAAUUGUUUUUUUCUUUUUACUUUUUCAUGAAUUAUUAUAAACUUUUGAUCGAAUAGAAAAAACCAAAAUAUUUGACUUUUUCUAAAUGGAAAAAGUAACAUAUUGGUUUUUCUUUACUAUUUUAAUGUUUGAUAGAUGAUCUGCACCCAUCGAGUUAAUCAAUUCAAAAAGUGUUGUUCAACAGUGUUGGAAAAUCAUCUAAUCCUGUCUCCUUGUAGAACAACUUGAACAAAAAUUUAUUGCUUACAGUUAGCAACCAUUGUGGGGCAUCCUGGCUGCCCAAACACACAUUUUCUGUUGGAAUGUGAUGCAUCAGAGACAACACUUCUUUAAUUCCUUCCCAAUCAUGGGAGUCUCUAAUAAAAUUAGGAUUCCGAAGCUCUGCAUCCUCGUCCUGUACAGAAUGGUCUGCCACACAUGCCUCCUCAUUCACCAGAAUUAUAAACUAAUUUAGGAACCUCAUCUUAAGAGAUCCACCCAUAGACCAAACAUCUUAACCAUAAAUCACAUUUGAGUCCUUUCUAUGAUUUUAUUGGAAACUUUAUAGCCUCAACAACACAUAACCAUUUGUAAAUCAAGCCCUUCACUAUUGCCCCAGUCAACAUCUUAUUCAGCCUCAACAUUAUGCUAAUAGCACCUUCAACUACAAUUUCGACAAUGCCACUCCUUACUGGUGUGGUUGUAGUCUUUUGUGCACAUGACCAGUUGUAACUUUUCUCUAACUACUGAGCAUUUCUAUCACAAAGGAUUUAUUGAUUUAACAUCCUGUUGAAAAAACUUCUCCUUCAGUCGAGGUAUGCAUAGAUCAUACAUAAUCCCACAUUCCACAAACACCUUUCCACUUCAUUCCUUCCAUUCUAAUAUUAAUGCACAAAGAAGUUGCAUGCAGAACAGAGAAUCUAAAUGUCAGAGGGUCUACCUGAUCAUCAACCUUCAUAUGCUUUUAGAACAGAUUGGCAUCAGGGCAUUCUCUAGUCAAUGGUCGUAAGCCCCUACCAUAGCACAAAGUAUUUUUAAGCGGCAAGGUACUCAAGAGAAAGUAAAGAAAAAGAAAAGGAGAAAAGAAAAAGGACAGAACAAUAGGUUCCUUAUUAUUUGUACACUUCCAUUAUUAUAUAUCACAAUGUUGCUUGGUGUUUAGCAAUAGUAUUCCCACCAGCAUCUUGAGUCUGCCAGGGAGAAAUAAACGUACUCGGGUCUAGAACUUACAAAGCUCCCAACUUGCUAGUGGAAACUGGUAUAGAACCAACCAAAUUAUUUCUGUAUCCUAUGAAGAUUUGAAAAUUAUAUAAUCUUCCUAUGUCAGAAGGGAUGACACCAUUGUGAUUGUUGUCAACAAUGCCCAGCAUCAGCAAGCCAGUGCAGUUACAAAUGCUUUCAGGAAUGACACCUUCCAAAAAGUUAAGUCCAGAACCUAGAAAUGCAAGAUUUCCAAGGAAUGUUGAACAAUUCUACAUGGAAUGGUACAACACUAGUUGCUUCAUAGUGCCAAGAUUAUGGGGGAUGCCCUCAUUGGAGCCAACUAUUGGAACAAAUUAGCAUGCUAUUGACAACUACUCCACUGUGUUGCCUGCAAAUUAAAUUUUCCAUUGGUGGUCUUCUUCCACAUAUCUGGUGCCACACAGCUCUUGAUAUAGCAAGGAUUGCUCUAGACUUGAUGAGUACCUCAAAAAAUGCCAAGGAAAGUACAGUGAUUAAUCUAACAUGCUUUAAGUCAGAGGCUCUUCCUCCCAUCCAUGACCAGGGAGUCUCUUUGAUUUCAACCUUUUUAACACUCAAUAUUAGUUUUCAAUAUUUGUUUCAUCUUAUAGUAUAGAGUUACUGAAACAGAGUAACUUGCUUCAAACAUAUUCUUAAGAGACUCACAGGCGAAGACGGCACAAACCUAGAUUACCUCAAAGUGUUGGAUCCCUGCCUGUAUGCAAACACCCCUUCAUAAUAUAAGAUCUAUCCAACUAAGCACCAAAAAUCCAUAUUCCUAUACAUGACCAAAAUAGUAAAGCUAAUCCAUACAUUUUUAGGCACAUAUAUCAGGUAAAUAAGAACUAAGAAUCAAAAGAAUAAACCUAAACUAGAUGAUUCAACAGGACGUAAUUCAGAAGUGAUAUUUCACGAAAUGUGAUUUAGAGAAUUAAUACCCUGAAGGUGGUAGGCCAAACUUAGGUUCUGCAUAAAGGGAUACACCAAAAGACAUUCUGUUGGUCUUGUGUCUGGAAAGCUGCAUCUCCACCAGGACUUUCAUAAUCUAUUAAUUGUUUCACUGCAACUUUGGUGUUAUUUGCAAGCACUCCCUUAUGAACUUUUCCAAAGCAUCCCUGUCCAUGAACAUUUUUCUCACUAAAAUUGUCUAUAGCUAGCUGUAACUCCCUCCAUGCAAAUCUUCUCAAUUGGCCAAAUGCAAUUCUUUGGUCAACUUCACCUGAAAACAGAUGGAAAGAUGUCUAGAAAGAAAAUUUCCAAGAGAAUCAAAUUUUGCAUCAAAUCCUUAAAAUCUGUCCAAGUAUUUAAAAGAGAUAAAAGCAUAGUUCUUUUCAAUACAGAACUAUGGCAUGAUCUGUAAAUCUCUUCAAACUUUUUGUACUUGUAGGCAUCCCAAGAUAACAUCCAAUUGAGAACAAGCCUUUGAAAAUCUAACAAAAACUUGCUUUGAUGCUAUUAUCACCUAAAAAAGAAGAAGAAGAAAGCAUUGUAGCCAUUGCACAGAACCAGUCCCAUUCAUAAGGGUGGACGGGUGACACACCCAACCUUCACCAUUUUUUGCAUGAUUUGGUCAUACAUAAAGCAAUCAAUAUAUACUUGGUUAAACAUCAAGCUUAAUUUUAGCCUAAUCAAUUGACUAAAGCUGCAAUUACACUUAAGUUUAAACUACCAAAAGUUCACCCAUUUUCACAACAUUAAAAUUAAGCUAAAAUUACAGUGAAAGUGAUAGAACUUCAAGCCAAAAUUUAGGUGGAGAAAUGAAUUUAAUUUGUCUCAAGAGCUGAAUUACAAUGAAGUCAAUAAAUAAUAUUAUCUUCUUCGGUUCAUGAACACCAAACUGAAAUUACAACAAAAUUGAAAUCAACAUUUUGCAUCAAAUUAACCUAAUUUCACUCAUCUUUUAUCUUAAACUAAAAUACAUCUUGUAGCACUCAGUGAUCAAAGCCUGUUUUUCUUCCCCCUUACUUCCUGUUUAGACAUGGAGAGGUGAAACAAACUUUGAGAUAUUCAAUGAUUCAACAAAGCUUUAAUCAAAUACUAAACUGCUUGCUUUGAUGGAAGAGUUAGUUUCAUGAGGGAUGUGCCCAUCUUCCUUGAAGCUUGUACCUAUGCACUUACGAUUGGUAAAAGCCAGGCACCAUAAACAUAAGAGUUUUUGAAUUUUUAAGGGAAAAUCAUGCUUUCAAACACUAAUAAAAAAAGUACAUCUGUUCCUAGGGGAACUAGAACCCCUAUAUCCCCAAUCAUGAUCUAUAUAUUCCUUUGGGAACCCUCAAUAAGUGAUUACAGGUCCUCCUUAUUCCCAAAAUGAACUUUGGAACCUCAAGUACAUCCUUAAAAAAAAUAAGUACAUCUGUUUCUAAGGAAACCGAGACUCCUAUCCCCCUUAUAAUGGUCUAUCUAUUCCUUUGAGGACUCUCGAGAAUUGAUUAUAGGUCAUCCCCAUACCAAAACGGACUUUGGAACCCCAAAUACAUCUUUAAGAAAAAUAAGUACAUUUGUUUUUAGGGGAACCAAGACCCCUAUCUCUUUUAUCCUGGUCUAUAUAUUCCUUUGGGAGCCUUCUAGAAGUGAUUGGAAGCCCUCCCCUUCCCCAAAAUGGAAUUUGGAAUUUUAAGUACAUCAUUAAAACAAAUAAGUACAUCCUUAAGAAAAUUAAGUACAUCUAUUCCUAGGCAAACUAGGGUCCUAUCUCCCUUAUCAUGCUCUAUAUAUUCCUUUGGGUACUCUUUGGAAGUGAUCGGAGGUUCUCCCUAUCCUUAAAAUGGAAUUUGGAACCCCAAGUACAUCCUUAAGAAAAAUAAGUACAUUUGUUCCUAUGGGAAUCGAGACCCCUAUCUCUUUUAUCAUGGUCUAUAUAUUCCUUUGAGGACCCUUAGGAAUUGAUUGGAGGUCCUUCCUAUCCUUGAAAUGAACUUUGGAACCCUAAGUACAUCCUUAAGAAAAGUAAGUACCUCUAUUCCUAGGAAAAUCAAGACCUUUGUCUCAUUUAUCAUGGUUUCCAUAGAUUUCUUUGGGGACCCUUGGGAACUAAUUGGAGGUCCUCUCCAUUCUUGAAACGGACUUUAGAACCCCAGAUAUAUCCUUAAGAAAAAUAAGUACAUUUAUUCCUAAGAGAAUUGAGAUUCUUAUCUCCCUCAUCAUGGUUCAUAUAUUCUUUUAAUGACCCUCUAGAAGUGAUUUGAAGUCGUCUCUCACCCUGAAAUGGAUUUUGGAACCCUAAGUACACCCUUAAAAAAAAUAAGUACAUCCUUAAGGUUAAGGAAAUGCAUAUUGUUAGGAUAUGUAGAUGGAGUGAAAAUGUACAAGUUAUGGUGCUUAGAUUCAAAAUUCUCUAAUUUAUAAUUAACAGGGAUGUGGCUUUUAACGAGUAUGAAAUGUUGAGUCCAAGAAAGGAGCAACUUCAUGUAGAAAACAACCCUAGUAUGAGAGAAAAUGUGGAGUUUGUGCCUAACAUAGAAAAAACGAUUUCAAAAAAGCCAAAUGAGGAAGAAGUGCAACAUCUUGAUGAUAAAGAAAAGACAUCACAAUAGCAACAAUAUUAUUUGGCUAGAGAUAGAACGAGGAGGCAAAUUAAACCACCACAAAGGUAUGCUUAUGUAGAUUUGGUUACUUAUGCACUUGGUGUGGCAAAGAACAUUGAAAAAGAGGAAUUUCAAACUUAUCACUAGUAGAGAGUCUACACAAUAGAUUGUUGCCAUGAAUGAGGAAAUUGAAUCUCUUCAAAAGAAUCAUACUUGGAAACUAGUUGAGAAGCCUAAAAAUCAAAAGAUUGUUGGUUGCAAAUAGGUCUUCAAAAGAAAUUAAGGGAAGGAAUUUCAAGAGUAAGGAUGACAAGUUUAAAGCAUGCUUAGUGGCAAAGGGUUACACACAAAAGAAAGGAGUGGACUUCAAUAAAGUUGUCUCCAGUUGUGAAGCAUAGCUCAAUCAAAGUGUUACUUGCUAUGGUUGCUUUAUUUAAUUUAGAUUUAGAGCAACUUUAUGUCAUGACUGUUUUUCUACAUGGUAAGUUGGAAGAAUAGAUUUAUAUGAAUUAACCCGAGGAAUUCAUUAUUUCAAAAAAGACCAUGUUUGUUUGUUGAAGAAAUCUCUUUAUGGCUUGAAGCAAUCUCUUAAGCAAUGGUAUAAAAGGUUUGAUACUUUUAUUAUUGGCAAUGGCAACCAUAAGAGUGAGUAUGAUAAUUAUGUUUAUCACAAGGAAUUGUUUGAUGGUUCUUUCAUUUAUUUAUUGUUAUAUGUUAAUGACAUGUUAAUUUCCUGCAAGAAUAUGUUUGAUAUUAACAAGUUGAAAACUCAACUCUAAGGAGAGUUUGAAAUGAAAGACCUUAGAGUUGUGAAGAAAAUAUUAGGUAUGGAUAUUCAUAGAGACCAAAAAGUAGGGGAAUUGUACUUUUCACAAAAAAGUACAUUGAGAAAGUGUUAAAAUGCUUUGGAAUGCAAGGGUCAAAACCUAUGAAUACUCCAUUAGCAACUCCAAACUUUCAAGUGCUUUUGUUGGGAACCCUAUAUUACUUCGUUCCCAUGCCCUAGAUCUCAUAGGGUGCAUGCAUUUAUCCCUAGACAUCUCUAAACCUACUGUAGCGAAAAACUAAGUAUUCAAAAACCAAUAUUGAUACCAUAGAAAUCUUAGAUCUAGAGAAAAAAAAUCACAUACCUUUGAUUCAAAUGUUCUUGAAUUGAUUCCUAUUGAUGUAGAUAAGUCCAAAGUCAUAAUGGAUCUUGUAACACCAUGAUCUUCCGCCCGAUAACUCUUUAUUGUGUCUAGGCACUGAAAUGGUUGACAUCUUAAGGGUGGAGGUUAGACUUCUCUCUUUGGACUAUAUGGAGAAAAUGGCAAGACAUGGAAACCCUAACCCUUAACGGGUAUUUAUAGGCUUCUUAGUAAGCUUAAGUGACUUAAGCCCACCCAAAAAGGUUGCUAAUUAAUUAAUUAGUUAACAAUACAAGAUCCUAAUUAACCAAUUAGCUUAGUUAAGAGAUAUCACUAACUUAUCACCAUGCAACCUUGCAUAAUCACUAAAAUAUCCUUAUGCACAAAAAUGAACUAAAAACCUUUCCAACCCUCAUAAACUAUACCAUCAAGGAAUAUGAGCUCAAAGUAGGGACCACUAGGACCCAUAGGAGUACUAGCUCCCUUAGAAUAAAAUUCUAAAAUUGACUCAACAUCUCACUAUAGAAAGUCAACUGCACUCUAGUACCUUAUGUGUAUUACAACGAGACACCAAGUGCUCGGGUUCGUGACCUACAAUCUACUACAUGCAAACUCUCCAUGAACUGGUGUUUGUAGUCUAACAAAGUAGUGCUAUCACUUAUUAAGAUUAUCUCUCAAAUCCUUAAGUUAUAGAUUCCAUUUUUUUUAUGUGAUCAAAUGACAUACUCUAGCUCAAAGAAGGAUUUGUCAAAUUCCACUAAAUGAAUUAUUGUGGCCACAUAUUUCAUGAUUACAUAUCCUUUAGAUCACCCAAGGAGACGCGCUGUCUCAAUCCCAUGAGAUAUCAUGGUGCCUCUAUUGAGAAUACUUGUUGCCACCAACCUCCAUCAACAAUGACCCAAUCCAUGGGGAUAUGUGACCACUUUAGGGUCUCAUCCAUAAGUUAAAGUCUCUUAUUGAUUUCAACAUAUGCUUAAUAUUCUCUCAAGGUUGAGAGUCCAUGUAGUAUAGUCACUUAGUUAAUCAUAAAAUUUGAUAGUCUUGCAUCAUGAUUCAUCGUAGGUCCUAUCCAGUGUGCACCACAUAUACUAGCGUACUCACCAUAGGAAUCCCAUCCUAACGACCUAGAUAAGCAAUCCCUCCGAUUAGGAGGUGGUGCACUAUAGUCUCUACUAGAUUGUCCAAAUCCAUGAACCAAUUGUGGACAACUUAUCUAUUUAUAAGAAACCCAUGACUUGUAACUUUUGUGCAACUCCUAAUAUACCAAAGUCAUGUACAAUGUAAGAGACAUGUGUUGAAUGUUCAAAUCAAUAUUAAUACACCAAAAGGAUAGCAAGAGGAUGGUUAAGUCUGACUUUGUUACAUUAUGUUAUGCUUUUAAGGGCUCAAUCCCAACAACUUUAUCACCAUAGAUCAAAGAAGAAAUGGAGCACAUGUCACAUGUUCCUUAUGCUAGUGUAGUUGGGAACAUUAUGUAUGUCAUGGUUUGCACUAGGCUAGACAUUUCACAUGUAGUUAGUGUGGUGAGUAGAUAUAUGGAUCACUCUCGAAAGAUCCAUUGGCAAGCAGUGAACAAAUAUUUCGAUAUUUGAGAGAAACAUCACAUGUUGGCUUAACAUAUGAUAAAAGUAGUGACAUCUCUGAGAAAAUUGUUGGUUAUGUUGAUUCUAAUUAUGCUAGAGAUUUGGGGAAAAGAAGAUCUCAAACAAUUUGUGGUAGUGUUAUUAGUUGGAAAGAACCUUUGCAAUUUAUAGUUGCUUUAUCAACCACUGAAGUAGAAUACAUGGCGGUCAUAGAAGCGGUGAAAGAAGUUAUUUGCCUUAAGGGCUUGGUUGGAGAUUUAAGCUUACAAUAGGAGUUGAUUGUUGUGUAUUAUGAUAGCCAAAGUACCAUACAUUUGACUAAAAAUCAAAUGUUCCAUAAGAGGAGCAAACAUAUUGAUGUCAAUGCAUUUUAUUAUGGAUGUGAUCGCAAAGGGUGCUAUUGCAAUGAAAAAAAAAUCCCUAUAGUGGAGAAUCUUGCAGAUAUGAUGACUAAGUUCGUUUUUACAGUUAAAUUCAGGUAUUACUUGGACUUAAUUGAUGUUAAUAGUAUCUAAAGACUCCUUUAGGGUGUGGGAGUGAAGAAACAUGGAAGACUUUCGAGUUUGUUUGAAUCUUGAGAAUUUGAGCCAAGGUGGAGAUUAUUGAAAAGUGUCUCAGAUUCUAUUUUUGAGUCAAUUGGAAAGUUAUAGAUAGUUUCCUAAUAAAAAAAUAUUCUUGUAAGUGGGUUUCCUAUUAUUAUAGAGGAAAUAUUCUUUUAGGAAAAAACAUUUUUGAUAAUUAUACACUUAGUUUCCUAUAUAGAAUCUUUCUAUGUAAUUAGAGAAAUAUGUAUAAAAAGAUAUUUUGACCAAAAUAGUGGAAGUUUUUUUUUUGGGUAUAAUUGGGACUUUGGGAUUUGAAAGCUCUAAGAUUGUAAUAUCCUUCAAUAAUAAUGGAAAUUAUUUUUUAUCUUCACCUGUGGAUGUAGGUUUGAGGUCGAACCACAUAAAUUGUUAUGUACUUUGUGUGUUUUGUUUUUGUUAGGAAUUUGAGGCUAAUCCAAACUAUGGUAAUCACCUUGGGGGGGGGGGGGGGGGGAUAAAUAGGGUGAUGGUCUCUUUUUCACAAAUUUAAACUAUGCAAAAAUAAGAGUCAAUUAUAUGCAAAUAUAUAAUAAACAAAAUAAACACAAUUGCAUAUAAUUUAAAAGAGUUAGGGAAGAGAGAGUGCAAACAUGAGAGUUUAUAGUGGUUCGGUACUUCCUUGCCUACAUCCACUCUCCUCAACCUCCUAAUCGAGUGAGGGUUCCACUAUCUUGAAGCUUCAACCAAGUUUCCAAUCUCUUUACAAUUGGAUUAUGGUUCCAAUUCACCCUCUUGGACUUUUGGCUCCAAGCACCCUUUACACUUCUUCAAGAGAUAUCCCUCUCUUGAAUAACCUCUCAAGUGAUACCCCUCACUUGAGAAAAUCCCUCACAAAGAUAUACAAAUAAUGAUCUCACAAAAAUCCUAGUAAUAGAACUUUAGGCUCAAAGAUACAAGAAAAACUAGGAUUGAAUGGUGCACUAAAGAUAUGCAAGUUAUGAAACAAUGGUGCACUCAAAAACACUCUUCCAAGGCUCAAAUAUAAUCAAGAAUGAUUUGGAAAGGUUAAGCUCUUGAAACAAUGAAGAUUGGAGCCUUUUUAUAGAAGAGAAAAUCCAAACUAGCCGUUUGGGGGUUCGUCCGGUCGAGCUAUGGGUCGACUGGUUGACUAGCCAUUAGCAUUAAAUGCUUGGCAGGUGACCGUUGGGCCUUAGCCGGACCUCGACCGGGAAGAGAGUUACCUUGAUCGGGAAAAGAAGGCCACUAGGAGAGAGAGAAACUUUUGGCCUCCCUCGACCGGUACUCGACCGGACGAGCACAACUGGUUGACCGGUUCCUCGACCAGUUGAACUGGUUGAGCCAUUUUUUGGCUCAACACCCAACCCUUUUCAACUUAAAACCUCUUAACACAAGUUUGAAAAUUAUUUAACACAAGGUUUUAGUUGAAAACAUGAAAUCAUCCAAUUUUAAAGAUAUUUAAAACAAUAUUACUCUUGGAUGAUUUUGGUGCAUAAAUAAAGAAUGAAAUGCAUGAAAGUCCUAGUGCACCAACAACCUUACAAAGAGAUCUUAAGAAGUUUUGGUCUUGAAAAACUCUUCUCUUUGAGGUGGUCUUCUUCUUCGUGAUUUCUCCUUGGCUUGAUUUGUCUUUGGAUUGACACUUUGGAAGUCGUCUUGCCUAAUCACACUUGAAAUAUAAUCAUUAGUUCUAAACCUUGUUUUGUUAUCAUCAAAAUCAAGAUUAACCAAACCUUGGUUUCACAGUUUUCAUUUUUUUUUUCUCCCUAUUAUUAUUACUAUUAUUAUUAUAUAUACACCCAUGUGACUUGCAUGGUGGAAAGAGAAUAUUUCAUAUUCCAGGCAAGAAGCAAAGGUUACUCAAUUGUGUUUUUCCUUUUAGAAUGCAGAAGGGGUUUCCUUAUACUGAAGAAAUGCAUAGAUUCAAUUGAAAAAAUUGAGAAAUAUGGUUGUUCUUUUUCUUUUUCUUUUUCUAAAUCAUAGAUGAGCCAAGAUGAAACCCAUGUGGAACACAUUGGUUCCAGGCAUUUUCUUGGACAAAGAUAUGUCCAAAAUAUGGGAAAAUGACAUUUUAAAAUUAAAAAUGAUUUUAAAUUUUAAAUUUCUUUUUUUAUAUGUUUAAAAGCUUUUCAACUAGUAGAUUCGAAUUAUAACUUCCAAUUUAAUCGAAGAUUAAAAAUUACAAUAAUGAGAUUCUCAAUUCUUCAAAAUGAAAUUAAUUUAAUCCAUUUCCUUUGUAAAUUAUACCUCAAUUCAAUCAACCUUUCAAAAAUUAAAUUUACUUAAUGAUAAUAUUCAUAUUUAAUCAAUUUACCUUUUUGUGUAAAUUCCUAAAUUUAUAUAACAUAAUUUAAUCUUAAUUUUAUUUUGAUUCAAUUUUGUUUCACGUUUUAUAAUUUUAUAAGGUUGAAUUCUAAUAAUAAUUAAAAAUUAAAUUGAUUUGUUAUAAUAUUAAAUUAAAUAUCUUUUGAAAAUUUUAUUAUAACUAUUUGACAUAAUACAAAUUUCACCAAAAUUUUUAAUUAACUUUCUCUAAUGAUUACUUUAUAAUAAUAAAAUUAAUUAUUACAAUACAUGUAAUAUUCAAAUUUCAAAAAUUCAAGCUCAAAUAAUUUAAAUUUAAUUUUGAAGUUCCUAAUUUCCAAAUGUGACUCUCGACAAGAAUUUAAACUAACUUUCGACUAUUUUUUCACAAAUUUCACCUAAUUAAAUAAUAUAUUGACACGUGAAUGUUCACUAACGACACGUGAUCACGAUUCAUUUUGGUUGAUGUUCAGGAUGGUCAUCGGCAGUAGACUAACAUCUUCUGGACCAAUUAACAUACCAGCAGUGAUUAGGCCAAGGUGGUGAUCCAAUUCCAUGGAAGGGCAGCAAGAAAGGAGGAACGUUGGAGAGAAAGAAGGCGGCCAACCAAGCAGGAACAGUGGUCAAACUGGCCCCGAGUCGAAGGAGCGUAGGAUUGACAUUGUUGAAAUCAGUCAUAAGGUGAAAAAUUGGAUUGAGUCUCUCAAAAAAUGCAGAAGAAAAGACUCAAUCUCAAAGUCAAUGGCCAAGGACACCAAAGGUUCCUCACAUGCUGAGGGGGACCCAGGAUUUCAACAAAUCUACGAACCGAGGGUAAUUUCAAUCAGCCCUUACCACCAUGGCAAGCCCCACCUUCACCCAGGGGAAAUGAUCAAGCCUCUAUGUGCCCCAAACUUCCUGGAUGAUAGUAAGCAGGACAUCGAAGCUUUGUACACAAAAUUGAAAGUAAUAUGAGGCAGUGAAAAAGUGCUAUGAUUGGAGUAGUACAAACGAGUAUGAUGAUGAGGCGCUCGCCUGGAUGAUGCUUCUGGAUGGGUGUUUUUUACUACAGUUCAUCCGCAGCAAAGAAUACGACAGUAAAGUCGAUAUGAGUAACGUUCAUAGAAAUCACCAAAUAAAUUUUGUGGUGCAGGACUUGUUCUUGCUGGAGAACCAACUUCCCUGUGGAAUCCUCAAGUUGAUUUUUGAGGGAGCAAAAUUCAAUGAUGGUUCACCAAUGAAAAAAAAGAUAAAAAAAAUUCGUCACUAACACCGCAAGGCCAGAAGGGACAUCAGAAAAAGAGGUGGAAGAGUUGGACGAAGAGCCCUCUCAUCUCCUCGACCUUUUGCGAAGUGCUCUCCUAGGCGGGUCUAAAUAGAUUAGAAAGCAAGAAGCUCAGGGGUUCUGUUGCCCCGAUUGGCCGUCUUUUCGACACAUCAAGGAGCUUAAAGCUGCCGGGAUCCAUCUCAAACGGAGUAGAACCAGUUUCUUGAGAGACGUUUCUUUCAAUUCCUACUUCUUCUAUGGCUGCCUGAAUCUUCCCCCAAUAAUCGUUGAUGACUUCACGAAGCCCAUGUUCUUGAACAUUGUAGCCUACGAAAUGUGUCCAGAUGCCCCAGAUGACUAUGCGGUCACUUCUUAUAUAUGCUUCCUUUACGACAUCAUUGAUCAUGCAGACGAUGUCAAGGAGCUGAGAUCUAAGCACAUUCUCUCCAACCUUCUUGGCAGCGAUGAAAAUGUGGCCUAACUUUUCAACGAGAUCGGCAAUGACUUGGUAGAUCCCAAAGCUUAUCAAGAUGUGAAAGAUCGUAUUCAGGAACACUACAACAAGAGAAUGAAUACUUGGAUAGCUUAAGCCCUUCACGACCAUUUCAGUACUCCAUGGACUAUCAUCGCUUUCAUUGCUGCUGUUUUGAUACUAUUUCUUACUGGGGUUCAGACCUACUACGCAAUUCCCGGUAAUUAAUAUAUAUAUAUAUAUUGGGUUAAUUAUGUCUGUUGUGUGUUUUUUUCUUGUUUGGUGUGUAUGAUUAGAGAAAUAAAGAUGUAUAGAUUGUUAAGUUGUAUGACUGGAUUUCAUGGAUGCAAUAUUAUUAGUCUUUUCCUUCCCAUGAGUUUGCUAUCUAUAAUAUCUGUUUGAACUCACAAUUUCCAGCUACCUUCUUUGUAUUCUUUUUCAUAGACCAGGAUCAUACAUAACACAACCACAUAGAAAAUUUUGCGAUUGAAUAUUGCACACAAUUUUUUUUUGAACGAGAAAAUUGUGGAUAAAAUCAUAAUUUUCAUAUAUUUAUAGAUUGAGGGAACAAUCUUAAUUAUGCCCUUUGAUUUUUUAUUUUUUAUUUAUAAAAGAUAAAAAUAUCUUUUUAGGCAAUUUAAAUGCUUAAUUUUGAAUCAAACGAGAUUUCAUUAAUAAAUAUGACAUUUUUAAAUGAAGUCUUCCAAUCUUCAUUGAAAGAAUCUUCAAGUUUUCAACUUCUUUAAGAAAUCUUCAAAUACUUUUCAACUCUUCAAGAUAUUUUUAAUCUUCUUGAAUUCUUUUUAAGAGCUCUAGGGCUUUUCUUUAGUCUUCUGCCAAAAUACAUCACUGAAUGAAGGAGAGAACAAAGGCAUUUUUCAUUCAUCACUGAACUUGUUUGAAAAGAAAAACACACACACACAGAUGGAGUUAGAAAUGAAAGUGGAGAAAAGCACUCGACAGUUUUGCAUACUGCAUGAUAGAACUCGUUGAAAUUGUUUAUAUCCCUGGCACUAAAAUACAUCUUGUAGCACUUAGUGAUCAAAGCCUGUUUUUCCUCCUCACUUCCUGUUCAGACAUGGAGAAGUGAAACAAACUUUGAGAUAUUCAUUGAUUCAACAAAGCUUUAAUCAAAUACUAAACUGCUUGCUUUGAUGGAAGGGCAGAGAUGAUGGUACCAGGAAUUAGUUUCAUGAGAGAUGCGCCCAUCUUCCUCCAAGCUUGUACCUAUGCGCUUGCGAUUGGUAAAAGCCAGGCACCAUAAACAUAAGAGUUUUUGAAUUUUUAUGGGAAAAUCAUGCUUUCAUACACUAAUUAAUAAUAAUAAAAAAAUUCUCCAUAUUUAAAAAAAAUAUAUAUAUAUCAAGACCACUGUAGUUUUCCUUUUAAAACUUUUUUAAUUUCAAUUUUUUAAUGUUUUAUCUUUUCAUAUUUAUUGGUUUCAAUCAUUAUAUUGAACACAUUAAACACAAAAUGAUAACAUUAUUGAGAACAAAUAAAAUAUAACCUAAAAUACAAUAGACAAACAAUUGAAGUUUCUUAGUAAUAUCUAAUUUAUAAUUUUCAAGAAUAGAAGAGCGAGUAUAUGAAUACUCUUGAGAAAAAAAUUAUUAUUUUAUUAAAAAAAACAAGUACUUUUAUUGUUCUUUAUGAUUAAAAAAUAAUAUUUUAUUUUCCUCCAUUUUUUUUAAUAUAAUCUAUUAAAUUAUAUUUGUUGUUGUCAAAUUUCUUUGUAUUAUUAUUAUUUUAAAAUUUGCAAGUCAUGCAAAUUUGUCAUAAUCUCAUAACAAUAAUUAACAUACAUGUUAGAUAUAAUUUCUAAGUUUUUUAUGUUCGAUAUAGAAAUUUUUUUAUGUUGCAUAAUAUAUUUUUAUUUAAUAUAAUAAAUUUAGAAGUAAUAUAUUAAUAAAGUUGAUCAUACACCUUCAUGAAAUAAAAUAUUCAAAGAAUAUUAAAAUUUAGAUGAUCCUGUCACUAUAUCCAAUUAUGUAGGAAAAAUGUGUACAAUCUUCAUCAAAAUAUAUAGGUACAUUCUUUUAGGGGGAAUCGGGACACUCACACUUGUUAUGUCCUAAAUAGUCAUUUGGGAGACCUCGAGGAAUGAUUUAUGACCUUACCCCAACUAGAAAUCAAAUUUUGAACCUUAUACACAUCUAAAAGAAAACUACAUACAUUCUUUUUAGGGUGAAUUGGGACCCCAACCACUCUUAUUACAUCCUAAAUAGUCAUUUGGGGGACCUCGAGAAGCGAUUUGAUUCCCCCACCCCAAAAUUAAAUUUGGAACCCCAUAUAUAUCCUUAAUAUAUGUAUACACACACACACACACAUAAUUAAAAAAAUACGUAUAUGUUUUAUAAAAAUAUAUGCAUUUUUUGAAGGGUGAACCGGGACCCCAAUCACACUUACUAUGUCCUAAAUAGUAAUUUAGGGACCUCGAGGAGUCAUUUGUAACCUUCUCUCACCUCGAAAUCAGAUUUGGAAUGUCACAUAUAUUCUUCACAAAAAUACAUACAUUUUUUUAGAGUGAAUCCCAAUCACCCUUAUUAUGACCUAUAUAUUCCUUUAGGGACCAUCAGGAAGUGAUUUGAGGUAUUCCCCCACCCCAAAAAGGAUAUUGCAACCCCAUAUACAUCCUUAAGAAAAAUAAGUACAUUUGUUCCUAAGGGAACUAGGACUCCUAUGUCCCUUAUCAAUGUCUAUAUAUUCUUUUGAAAACCCUCGAGAACUGAUUGAAGGUCCACCCCAUCCCCGAAACGGACUUUGGAACCUUAAGUACAUCCUUAAUAAAAAUAAGUACAUAUGCUCCUAGGGAUAUUGAGACCCUUAUCUCCAUUAUCAUGGUCUAUAUAUUCUUUUAGGGACCUUUGGAAAGUGAUUGGAUAUCUCAUAAACUCGUAUACCUCUUAAGAAAAAGAGGUGUUACAUAGUCUAUAGGACAUAUCCCCAAAAGAAUAUGAGAAAAGAUGAAAAACCUUUCCACGAUCUCACUUAGUCCUUCAAAGUUUGAUAUCUUUUUUCCAUCUUUCCAUUUUGCAAUGGAGACUCUAGUGCACAUAACUAGGAAAUAAUCUCAUGCUCCAACAAAGAGAAUCAAACUUACUAGACAUAUCACCCUGAUAUAAUCAAAGUGCCUUGAUAUCCGACUCCACCUUAAAUUCAAUGAAUUUAUCCCAGUUAUCAAAUUCUUAUACACAUAUUCAAACCUAGACUAAUCAUCACUAAAAAGUGAUGAAGUACACAUACCCUCCCCAUGCAUGAAUACUAAAAGAUCCAUGCAUGUUAGUAUGCACUAACUCCAAACAUUCCUUGGCUCUAAUCCUCUUGGCCAUUUUACCAUCUAUAUAAAAUUCACAAACUAGAAGAUCCUUUGAAUAAAAAAGUCCAAACCUAACUAGUCUUUAAAUCCUACUCAAAUUGAUAUGACCUAGGUCUUUAUACCAAAUGUUUGAUUAGUGCUAAGUUCAAUCUUAAGAUCUAACUAUUCUCAUCAUUUGCCAAAAUGAUAAUGAAAUACAUAUAAAAAAAAAAAAAUUGGAAGAUAUUACAUUCCACUGACCUGCACAACUAACUUUGCAAUUGAAGUUAAGGUAAAUAUAAUCUCAUCAUUUAACCUUCUCACUUGUUGAAUAUCCUGUAAAGACUACAUAUUGUAGGCAUAUAAUCUAUUCACCAUAAAUGGUAAAAUCCACCACUAAAUAUUCAACAAUGAGAAAAUGAUGCAUAUUUUUUUUUCUUUUAGGUAAACUAAGCAUUUCUUUUCUAGUGUCCUAAAAGAAUACAAAGGAAUCACCUGCCCUUGAACUUGCUUUCUUAUUUCUUCUCUUGAAUUUUCUUUAUUUGGUAUUGUUGUUCUUCUUCUUGGCUAAAAAAAAUGUAAAGAACCUUUUACUUCCAUAUGAACACCCUUAUAAUCUUUAAGAUUCCCCUAAACCAUCCCAAGGGAAACUAACAAUGUCUCUAAGAUUAUAUGAACUCUACUGUUUAUAAUAGUCCUAAGGACAACUUGUUAAAGUUGACCUGCCUUUAUCACCAAAUAGCCUUUGCAAACUAGAAAGAGAACAUCAAAGUCCUUGGUAAUAGAUAUGUGUUGCUAUUGCAACACAUUAUCCAAAGAUCUAAGUACGAGACACUUGGUCUUUUGAUCCAUCUAGCACCACCUUUAAUAUACCUACUUUUUCCUUUUUUACUAGGUUGGUUCAAAAGAAAUAGCUUGUUUUGCCUAAACUAGUUUUUAUGCAAUUAGUUACUAUAUCCAAAUUAGUUCAAAUGAUUAGUUGGGUUUGGUCUAUUGUGAGAAAGAUAGUGAUAAUAAAACCAACAUGAUAUCUUAACAAAGAUUAUAACCAUGCAUAUGACAUAAUUGAGCAUUCAAGGCAAUUGGUAAUUAAUUUAGCAAAAAUGUAGUGCUCUCAAACUACAUGUCAUUUCGCAAGGUAUCUUAGUGUCAUAAGAAUCAAGCUUACAAUGGGGAGGUCAUGAUUUUAUUACUAGUUAGAGACCUUCUCAAAUUGACCUCUUUGUCUUAACCAUGAAGGUAUCUAAAGGCAAGAUUAACAUACAUUUUUAUUUGGCUCAUGAACUAUGCAAAUGGGACCACAGUGCAGGCGUUUCAACAACUUCAAAUCCACUGAUAAGUGUAUAACCAUUGUCCUUGAACUAUCAGUGUCACCAAGUAAGGAACCCCACCAGUGGGAUGGUUUCUCCCACUACAGACAUGUCUAGUCUCAUCCUAAUGGAGAGUUCUUAUCCUUUGAUUCUUAAGACCUAACCUACCGUGGGGGUGGUGAUGAGCCCAAAUCUAGAUGGGCUCGAUAAUGGAGGCAUGGGCUUUCCUAAGGCCCUCUCCCACUUAAUUUUUUGAGAUAGAUGACCAUUUUAAAACAUUGUAAUUCCCUUGAUGAAUAAAUUAUCUACUUUGAGAAUUUUCAAAAAUAUUUAUUUCCUAAUUGGAAACUUAGUGUAAUAGGAGAAUAAAUUCUCCUUCUCUUACACAAAUCCAAUUAAUAAAUAUUUUAUUUAGGAAAUGUCUCAAAGAAAUUUAUUUCCAUCAAAUUACUAAGCCUUUUGAUAAUGAUUUUUUAAUGAAAAAUUAUCUUUAAUGAAAAUUUCCAAAAUGUUUAUUUUCCAAAUUGGAACUCUAGUGUAAUGAGGAAAUUACCAAUUUAUGAGAUUUUGAAAAUCUUAAGAGCACCUUAUCCAGGAAAUCAACUUUUGCUUCUCAUAUUCAAAAAUACUUAUAAGAUUUACUUAUUUCUUUUGCUUCUCAUAUUAAAAAAUCCUUAUAAGAUUUACUUAUUUCUUACACCUUUCCAACUUAAUAAAUAUUUCCAUGACAAUUUUAUAAUAAUUUAUUCCAUUAAAUAAUACCAAAAAUAGAACCUUUUAGUAAUUCCUUAAAGGAUAAACUAUUCUCUAUGAAAAACUCCUAAAAAUGCCUAUUUUCAAAAAAGGAAUUAAAUAAUUCAUUUUGGAAAGUAUUUUCAAAAUAUUUUAUAUCUCCAUUGAAUUACUAAAACUUUCCAAAAAUUAUUUUGAUAACCCUUCCUAUCAUAAAUUAUCCAUCAUGAGCUAAGACUCCUCUGCUAGAAAAAUUACUCUCUCAAUCCUUAUUCUUGAAUGAUCCAUAUCCAAACUGAAUGGUUUCCUUAUUUUAUUUUAUUUUUAGGGGGGAGAGCUUGGAGGAUCAUUAUAGAUGUAGUUCUCCUUCUCUCGAGAUGGGGGGUUGGGAAGCCUAGAGGACCACCUAUAUAAAACCAAGUAGAUAGUUCCAAAAAGAAUAACAUUAUUCUUAGCAACAACCAGUUUAAACAAAUAAUCUUUGGAAAAUAUCUUCUCAUGAAAAUUUACUAAGAAUACCAAAAUACUUAUUCAAAAUUAACACUUAUUUUGGUAACCUUCUUAAUUAUAAAUUAUCUAUCAUGAAUUUUCAAAAUUAACUUAUUCUCUUUAACUAAAAAACUUAUGCAAAAAGGAAAAAUAUUAUUUUAUAAAGAUUUGGAACAUCAAGAGCUUUUUCUUAAAAUAUUAUUUUUAGAGAUCUCAAAGAUUUGAGAAGAUUUUAAAUAAAAUUAAAAUCUAUAAGAAUUAAUUUUAAAAAGAAAAGAAAACUUUUAACCCUUUUUCAACUUAUCUUUUCUUAAAAUAAAAUUUCUCAACCAUUCACAUUCUAAUUUAAAUAAGUUUUCCAAUUUUGAAAAAUCCAUGAAAAUUUUUAUUCAAUUGAGAAUAUCAAAAUAAUUUAAUGUCGCAUAUGCAAUAAAUAAAGAGCAUAUAUAAACAAGGAAAUAAAUAAGCAAAAUUUCCCCAUGGCCUUUAGGGAUCCUACUGCGUAGUCUAGUAAUACAUUUCAAUAAAAUCCAAAUCACCAAUAUUAUCAAAUCAAACCUACAACAAAUAAAGGGUUAGAAAAAAGGAAAAACCCUUCAUCAGUAUGCCAAAAGUGCCAAUCUAUUGUCACUUGUGCUCGAGCGCCCAAAAAUUUGAAGAAAAUGUUAGAUACAACUUGCAUUGUGAUUACUACUCAAAAAAUACUCUUUUAUAGGUUGAAACUAACUGUUUUAAACACUUUUGAGUGGUAGUUAAUACCUUUUAACUCAAUUGGCACAUUAAGUAACCUAGCAAGGGUUACUAAUCAGUUUUGGCAAGUUUUGGUGUUUUUGGUAGCUAUUUGAUCAUUGAAACAAGCCAAGAAUGAGGGAGAAUUUUGUGAAAUCCAUGGCAAUGCAAGUUGAAGCUCAAAUACAUGAAGAAUCCGAGCUUUGGAGCACUUCAUAGCCCUUUGCCAAGCUUGGCAAUAGGUUGCCAAGCCAAUCAGAGAUGCAAGGAAGAAAACUAGAGGAAAAGUCCAACAACCAGCAUUUUCGCAUAGCAUGCGAAAUAAAGAGGAAGAGCAGCUGCAGGAAUGAGAGCAGGAUUGAGUGAAAGACAAUUUCGCACACCAUGCGAAACCACAAGAAGCAGCCAAAGAAUUUCGCACACCAUGUGAAAUUUCGCAUGGUAUGCGAAAUCCUCUUGUGUACCGACUCCGUUAGAUUUUUAUCUCCAGAUAUUUUGUAUAAUUUCCUAUUUUCUCCUUGUAAUCAAGCUAGAUAUUUUCAUGUAUAUCUUUUCUAGACAUGAAAGAAAUUCAUUCAUGAAACACUUGUAAAAUUCCCGUAGAAGAAAUAUAUAGAGAUUUUGCUCUGUCUUUCCUUCUCAUUUUGUUUUCACUUUUCUUUCUAGCCAAACAACCUCUGAGGAUGAUUUCUCAGGGGAUGAGUGGCUAGGUUUUACAUUUCUUGGAGUGAUGGAAACUAGGUGAAGGACCCGAAUGCAAAGAUGGGAGUUGUCCUUGCUUUAAAUGAAAGUAGUUGUUAACGUGAGGAAAAGAUCCAAAAUCUCCCUUUUUGCCUAAGGAACCCGAUCCUAGUGACCUAAAGCUCCAAGAGACCUUUUCUUUGUAGUUAACUUCACUAAUUAUUUUUGCUUAACUUAAAAUCAAUCUUUGCAACCAAAAUUCCAUUUUCUUUAAAAACUAAUUUUCAUAAGGAAAAACACCAUUUUAUUUCCUUCACUAAUGUGAACUGUAUGAUGAAAACCCAUCCCUAUGGAUGAUCCUAGAGCCACUAGACUAAGUUAGCUAUGCUAUCCUAGUGUGAGGUGAUUUAGGUUUGAUAAAUUUUGUUGAUAACACCUGCCUGAGCCAGAAUCAAAUGGCAUGACUGUAAUGAAGACGAAUCAAGUAUGCAUACUUGAAAGAAGACAAGCAGUGCCAUGUUGUUAUAUCUUCAGCUCUUACCAUUCAUUAGGAGGAUUGUCUACUUGAAGUCCUUAGAAGAUGUAGGAAGGAAAUAGGGUGGCAAAUUUCUGAUUUGAAAGGGAUCAACCCUUUAGUCUGCACCCAUCAUAUUUACAUGGAGGAUGAAGCUAAGCCAGUUUGUCAACCUCAGAGAAGGUUGAAUCCUCACAUGCAAAAGGUGGUGCAAACUAAAGUUCUUAAGCUACUUCAGGCCGGUAUUAUCUACCCCAUAUCAGAUAGCCCAUGGGUGAGUCCUACUCAAGUUGUGCCAAAGAAGUCUGGGAUCACGGUGGUGCAAAAUGAUAAGGGAGAAAAUGUCUCUACACGCCUCACUACAUGUUGGAGGGUGUGUAUCGAUUACAGGAGAUUGAAUGCGGUGACAAGGAAUGACCAUUUCCCGUUGCCCUUUAUUGAUCAAGUGCUUGAGAGGGUCUCUGGGCAUCCUUUUUAUUGUUUCUUGGAUGGCUACUCCGGGUACUUUCAGAUAGAAAUUGAUGUUGAAUACUAGGAGAAGACCACUUUCAUAUGCCCAUUUAGAACCUAUGCAUACAGGAGAAUGCCUUUCGGCUUAUGCAAUGCACCCGCAACUGUCUAAAGAUGCAUGUUAAGCAUUUUUAGUGAUAUAGUGGAGCGUAUUAUGGAAGUCUUUAUGGAUGAUAUCACCAUAUAUGGAAGUGCAUUUGAUGAAUGCUUGAUCAACUUAGAAGUUGUUCUGAACCGAUGCAUUGAGAAAGACUUAGUGCUUAACUGGGAGAAGUGUCAUUUCAUGGUACAACAAGGGAUUGUCCUUGGACACAUCAUCUCCAAGCAAGGCAUUGAAGUAGACAAAGCAAAUGUUAAACUCAUUGUUAAGUUACCAUCCCCAACAAAUGUCAAAGGAGUAAGGUAAUUCCUUGGCCAUGUCAGGUUCUAUAGGAGGUUUAUAAAGGAUUUCUCUAAGCUUGCAAGGCCUCUUUGUGAACUAUUGGUGAAGGAUGCUAAAUUCAUAUGGGAUGAUAGAUGCCAAAGGAGUUUUGAAGAAUUGAAGCUAUUUCUGACAACCGCACCAAUAGUGAGGGCUCCCAACUGGCAACUGCCCUUUGAGGUAAUGUGUGAUGCCAGUGACUUUGCUAUAGGAGUUGUUCUUGGCCAAAGAGAAUAUGGAAAGCCCUAUGUGAUCUACCAUGCGAGCAACACAUUGAAUGAGGCGCAAAGAAACUACACAACCACUGAGAAAGAAUUGUUAUAUGUGGUUUUUGCCUUAGAUAAGUUUCGUGCUUACUUGGUGGGGUCUUUCAUUGUGGUUUUCACUUAUCACUCUGCUUUGAAGUAUCUGUUGACUAAGCAAGAUGCGCAAGCAAGGCUGAUUAGAUGGAUUUUCUUGCUUUAAGAGUUCAAUCUCUAAAUCAAAGACAAGAAAUGAGUGGAGAAUGUGGUAGCAGACCACCUUUCAAGGCUAGCUAUAGCACAUAAUACCCAUGGUUUGCCCAUUAAUGAUGAUUUUCCAAAGGAGUCUCUCAUGUUGGUGGAAGUUGCCCCUUGGUAUGCUCACAUUGCGAACUACCUAGUCAUAGGAGAAGUUCCAAGUGAAUGGAAAACACAAGAUAAGAAACAUUUCUUUGCAAAAAUUCACGCCUAUUAUUGGGAAGAGCCAUUUCUAUUCAAGUAUUGUGUGGAUCAGGUAAUAAGGAAGUGCGUUCCUGAAGAAGAGCAACAGGGGAUCCUCAGCCAUUGCCAUGAAAAUGCAUGUGGAGGCCACUUUGCUUCUUAGAAGACAGCCAUGAGGGUGUUGCAAUCGGGUUUCUAUUGGCCAUCACUUUUCAAAGAUGCCCACACCAUGUGCAAGAGUUGUGAUCGAUGCCAGAGGCUUAGGAAAUUGACACGCAGGAACAUGAUGCCUUUGAACCCCAUUUUGAUAGUUGAUCUUUUUUAUGUUUGGGGCAUUGACUUCAUGGGACCUUUCCCUAUGUCUUUUAGCUACUCUUACAUCUUGGUAAGAGUAGAUUAUGUUUCUAAGUGGGUUGAGGCAAUCCCAUGUAAACACAAUGACCAUAAAAUGGUUCUCAAGUUUCUCAAGGAGAACAUCUUCUCAAGAUUUGGGGUGCCCAAAGCCAUAAUUAGUGAUGGGGGUACUCAUUUUUACAACAAGCCUUUUGAAACUCUCUUGGCCAAGUAUGGGGUGAAGCAUAAGGUAGCUACACCUUACCACCCUCAAACUAGUGGGCAAGUUGAGUUAGCGAACCGGGAUAUUAAAAACAUAUUGAUGAAGGUGGUGAACACAAAUAGAAAAGAUUGGCCAGUCAAGCUCCUUGAUUCACUAUGGGCAUAUAGAACAGCUUAUAAGACCAUUCUUGGAAUGUCUCUGAUUCGUGCCCAGUAGGGUAUUUUAAUCAAAAAUAUUUAUAAAUCCUAUGACCUUAUACUAGCGUAGCAAAGCUACUAUAGUACAACAGCUCUAGGGUCGAACUCUGGGAUGGGUUUUCAUUCUACCAGUGAUAGACUCAAGAUUAGAAAUUGAAUCUGAUGAUUUCCUUUGUCAAAAACUUAAAGUUUAAAAGAAAAUAAAAUUUGUUUUGAAAGUGGUGUUUGAAACUAAACUAACAUAGAACUAGGUAAAAAUGGAAGAAAGAAAGUCUCCCGGAGCUAGAGGUUGCUAGGAUCAAGUUCAGAAUGCAAAGUGGGAAAUUCCGGAUUUUUCUCCUCGUAUUAGGGACAACUGAUUACUACUCAAAAAGUGCUAUUUGAUAGCUUAUAAUUAAUCCUUUUAAACACUUUUGAGUAGUAGUUUAGGCCUUUUAACUCAAUUGGCAUGUUAAGGAUCCUUUAAAGCAAUUUUAAUCACUUUGUGCAAGUUUUGGUGUUUUUGUUAGUAUUUUGAUCACCAAAGCAAGUCAAGACUGAGGAGAGCUAUGAGGAAUCUUGGGCAAAGCUUAGAAGUCAUUUUCCAAGAGUGAAUCCGGAUUGCAAGGAGAAAAAGCAAAGAGAAUCUACCAUAGAGCAUAUUCUUGAUGACAGUCACAGAGGCCACUUUUGGAGCACUUUCUGAAGUCCAAAUAAUGCAUGCUAUAUACCAUUUCAAAGCUCAGGAAGUCAACAAUCUAAUGCUUCAAACGGUGUGCAAUUCGGAGUUGAAACGAAGAAGUUGCAGCCAUUACAAGCCAAUCACUCCGAGUUGAAGGAAGCAUUUUGCAAAGUGCUGCGAAAUCACCCUUUUGUUGCGAAGUGAUUUCGCAGCAUUUUUGUACAGUAAGUUGUUUCUCCUUCUGAUGAUGCACGAUUUAUGCCGCGAGAAGGAAGCUAGGAACCUCAAGGUGGAAGCCAACUUCGCAGCCCUGUGAAGAUAGCUUGGUGUUGCGAAAAUAUUUCGCAGCCCUCUUGAGUGUCUGCGAAAUCUCGCAGACACCAUUUUUCUCCUGCGAAAUGGUUCCUGAAGCCUCCCGAUAUUUGCUACCGACAUUGGGAGAUAUUUUCCAUUAGAUUUUUGUUGUCUAAAUCCCAAAAUACUCCUUGUAAACCUCCAAUUACAAGAUUCCUUAGCUUUUAAGUUAGUAAAAAGACUAAAUAUCUUUGUAACAAUUAGUUUUAUAUUAUGUUCAUAUAUAUACCUCUCGGGAGCCUGUUCUCGGAGAGGAGUUCCUUCUGAAAAAGUUUGGGUAAGCAAGUAAAGUCUAUUUUCUUUCUACUGCCUUACCUUAUCACUUUGUAUUUUCAUUUCAUUUCUAAGUUAUGAAUUCUCUGAGGAGUUUUCCCCAGAGAAUGAGUAACUAAACCUCUAGUUCCUUGGAGCUAAGGUUGCCGGGGAAGGUUCCAAGUGCAAGAAUGCAAAGCUUUGUGGUUUUAGCUUUUAAUGAAGAGGAAGUGAAAUCCUUUAAUGAUUUCUAUGUUUUUAGUUAACUUAAAACACCUUAGAGUCACCUGGGCCAACACUUGGUAAGGCAAGUGAUUUCCAACCAUGGAAAUGCACUAGUUUACCUCUUGCGAGCCUCUGGGAGGUGAUUUCAAGGUAGGAUUUUCUGGAAUUACCAACACUUGGUAAGCUUUUGGACUCCUAGGAGACAUCCAUUAGUUAUCUCUUGCGAGUUUGUGAAGGGAAGUCCAAGGUUAAAGAUCAUCUUGAAUGGUAAGUGCUCGUGAGAGGCAUGAACCAUUGCAAGUUGCAUCAGUGAGAGAAUUAAAGUGAAAUCUAAUUGAAGGAAUCUCUGUACAACACCGGUUAGAGAAUUGACUAUAUGUUGAAUCUCUAACGCGAGGAAAUGAACCAUCUGACCGGAGCUAUGUCUUUUGCAUGAGGAAUCACCCCAGUGAACCUAACUCUCCAGGGAAUGCUUUUCUUCCUAAAUUAUUCCAAACUUCUGUUAUGUUAGUUAGUUUAAGUAUAAACAUUUACCAAUCAAAGUUUGUGUUUUACUUCUUAAGCUAACCGUGAAAUGAAACAAGACCAAUUCACUUGGAAUUGGUAUCAUUGAUAGCUUGCUAAUCCUUCCCAGUGAACGAUCCUAGAGCCGCUAUACUAUAGUAGCUUUUUCUUUGCUACCCUAGUAUAUGGUGUAAUAGGUAUAAAUUUUGUUGAUUACUCCCUCAUCCAAGGAGCACCAGCUGGACAUGAAUCAGCUGAGACACCAAUUGGGCACGAAUCAAAUGGCGCCGUUGCCGGGGAAGAUGUCAAGUUUAUAUUGAUACCAUUUUUGAGCACUUGUGAUUUUCAUCACAAGCUGGUAACGUUUCUUUCACUUUACUAAUUUUCAUUCUUUCUUUAUGUAUUCAUAAUCUAAGUUUAUCUUAUUAAAUUUAGCCUAGUUUAAUUUUGCUGUUGUAGCCUUGUUUCUCUUGUUGUCCUCUGUUUUUUUUUUAAGUUGUAGAUAGAUACUAGUUGUGUAUGCCCAAGUGGAUACGAGACAGUGGAGGAAGGCUUGUUAAGUGUGAUACACCUCAGAGGGGAGAAUUUGAAGUAAUCUUGAAUAUCAUGGAAGCUACACCUGAAGAUCAGCAUAGUCACCAAGGUCGUCAAGACAAUCUCAAUGAAUUCAGAUCAAUGAGGGACCGUAUGCAUCCACCUCGUAUGAGUGCACCAUCAUGCAUAGUGCCCCCUACAGAGCAGCUAGUGAUCAGACCGUAUCUUGUUCCACUUCUACCAACUUUCCAUGGGAUGGAAAGUGAGAAUCCGUAUGCACACAUCAAGGAAUUUGAAGAUGUUUGUAAUACAUUCCAAGAGGGAGGAGCUUCAAUUGAUUUGAUGAGGCUUAAGUUAUUUCCUUUUACUUUAAAGGAUAAGGCCAAAAUUUGGCUUAAUUCUUUAAGGCCAAGGAGUAUCCGCUCUUGGACUGAUUUACAAGCUGAAUUCCUCAAGAAAUUUUUUCCUACUCAUAGAACAAAUGGCUUGAAAAGGCAAAUUUCAAACUUCUCAGCUAAAGAGAAUGAGAAAUUCUAUGAGUAUUGGGAGAGAUACAUGGAAGCUAUAAAUGCUUGUCCUCACCAUGACUUUGAUACUUGGCUAUUGGUGAGCUAUUUUUAUGAUGGUAUGUCUUCCUCAAUGAAGCAACUCCUCGAGACAAUGUGUGGAGGAGAUUUCAUGAGCAAAAAUCCAGAGGAAGCUAUGGAUUUCUUGAGCUAUGUAGCUGAUGUUUCAAGGGGAUGGGAUGAACCAACUAAAGGAGAAGUGGGAAAGAUGAAGUCUCAGUUGAAUGCUUACAAUGCAAAGGCUGGGAUGUAUACUUUAAAAGAAGAUGAUGACAUGAAAGCAAAGUUGGCAACUAUGACAAGAAGAUUGGAGGAGCUGGAACUGAAAAGAAUACAUGAAGUGCAAGCUGUUGCUGAAGCACCAGUGCAAGUGAAGCUGUGUCCUAAUUGUCAAUCAUUUGAACAUUUGGUGGAGGAAUGCCCUGCAAUUUCAACUGAAAGGGAGAUGUUUAGAGAUCAAGCAAAUGUUGUUGGACAAUUCAGGCCCAAUAACAAUGCGCCAUAUGGAAAUACCUACAACUCAAGUUGGAGGAAUCAUCCAAAUUUCUCAUGGAAGGCCAGAGCAACUCAAUACCAACAGCCGGAUCCACCAUCUCAACAAUCUUCAAGUAUUGAACAAGCAAUAGCCAAUCUCAGCAAGGUAAUGGGAGAUUUUAUUGAAAAGCAAGAAGCCACUAAUGCUCGAGUCGAUCAAAGAAUUGAUAGAAUGGAGAGUAUGUUGAAUAAAAGGAUGGAUGGAAUGCAAAAUGAUAUGAACCAAAAGUUUGACAACAUCCAGUAUUCAAUUUCAAGGCUUACAAAUUUGAAUACACUGCAAGAAAAGGGAAGAUUUCCUUCUCAACCUCACCAAAAUCCCAAGGGUGUCCAUGAAGUGGAAAGCCAAGAGGGAGAGUCAUCACAGAUGAAAGAUGUCAAAGCCUUGAUCACUCUAAGGAGUGGUAAGAAAAUUGAGCAGCCAAUACCCAAGCCACAUGUUGAGAAAGAAGAAGAGAUAAAGAAAGGGAAUGAAAUGGAAGAUAAAGAGUGUGAGAUCAGUGAAGAAAAGAAGGACUCUGAUUCAACAAUGAAAGCAAUUCCAGAGAAAGAGCUUCUGAAGGAAGAAAUGCUGAAGAAAUCAACUUCUCCACCUUUUCCCCAAGCAUUACAUGGGAAAAAGAGGAUUAGAAAUGCAGCUGAAAUCCUUGAAGUCUUGAGGCAAGUGAAAGUUAAUAUUCCACUGCUGGAUAUGAUUAAACAAGUUCCAACAUAUGCAAAAUUCCUAAAGGAUUUAUGUACUAUCAAAAGAGGGUUAACUGUAAACAAGAAAGCCUUCUUGACUGAGCAAGUAAGUGCAAUCUUACAGUGUAAGUCUCCUUUGAAGUACAAAGACCCUGGAAGUCCUACCAUUUCAGUCAUGAUUGGAGGAAAGGUAGUGGAGAAAGCCCUGUUAGAUUUGGGAGCAAGUGUGAAUUUGCUUCCAUAUUCCGUCUACAAGCAAUUGGGACUUGGAGAGUUGAAGCCAACAGCAAUCACUCUAUCUCUGGCAGAUAGAUCGGUGAAAAUUCCAAGAGGGGUAAUUGAGGAUGUAUUGGUUCAAGUGGAUAAUUUCUACUAUCCAGUAGAUUUUAUUGUUCUUGAUACAGAUCCUACUGUAAAGGAAGCUAAUUUAGUUCCUAUCAUCCUUGGAAGGCCAUUUCUUGCAACUUCAAAUGCAAUCAUCAACUGUAGAAAUGGGCUUAUGCAACUCACUUUUGGUAACAUGACACUGGAUCUCAAUAUUUUCUACAUGUCUAAAAAGCAAAUCACUCCGGAGGAAGAAGAAGGUCCAGAAGAGCUAUGUAUAAUUGAUACUUUGGUGGAGGAGCACUGCAAUCAACAUAUGCAAGAAAAGUUGAAUGAAAGUCUUGAGGAUAUUGAGGAAGGUUUUUCUGAAUCUCCUAUUGGGCUUGCUACUCUACAAAGUUGGAGAAAGAUAGAAGGAAUUCUACCUUUGUUCAAUAAGGAAGAGGAGGCAGCUGUUGAAAAAGAAAUUCCAAAACUCAAUCUGAAGCCUUUACCUGUGGAGCUGAAAUAUACAUAUCUUGAAGAAAAUAAUCAAUGUCCUGUUGUGAUAUCCUCAUCUCUGACCAGUCAACAAGAGAAUUGUUUAAUGGAAGUUCUCAAGAGGUGUAAGAAGGCAAUAGGAUGGCAAAUAUCUGACUUGAAAGGCAUUAGUCCUUUAGUUUGUACUCAUCAUAUAUAUAUGGAGGAGGAAGCAAAGCCAAUUCGUCAAUUUCAAAGAAGGUUGAAUCCUCAUCUACAAGAGGUGGUGCGAGCUGAAGUGCUGAAGCUACUUCAAGCAGGAAUCAUUUACCCUAUAUCUGAUAGCCCUUGGGUGAGUCCUACUCAAGUGGUACCAAAGAAGUCAGGGAUCACAGUGAUUCAAAAUGAAAAAGGGGAAGAAAUUACUACACGCCUCACUUCAGGUUGGAGGGUGUGUAUUGAUUAUAGAAAGCUGAAUGCUGUCACUAGGAAAGAUCAUUUUCCAUUGCCAUUUAUUGAUCAAGUGCUGGAGAGAGUCUCUGGACAUCCAUUCUAUUGUUUCUUGGAUGGGUAUUCAGGGUAUUUUCAGAUUGAAAUUGAUUUGGCAGAUCAAGUAAAGACCACUUUUACAUGUCCAUUUGGAACAUAUGCUUAUAGAAGAAUGCCUUUUGGUUUAUGCAAUGCACCUGCUACAUUUCAAAGAUGUAUGUUGAGUAUUUUCAGUGAUAUGGUGGAGCGAAUUAUGGAGGUUUUCAUGGAUGACAUCACCGUAUAUGGAGGUACAUUUGAGUAAUGCUUGGUUAAUUUGGAAGCAGUUCUUCAUAGAUGCAUUGAAAAAGAUCUGGUGCUCAACUGGGAGAAAUGCCAUUUUAUGGUACGUCAAGGAAUUGUCCUUGGCCAUAUCAUCUCUGAAAAAGGCAUUGAAGUUGAUAAAGCAAAGGUGGAGCUUAUUGUCAAAUUACCAUCUCCAACAACUGUAAAAGGAGUAAGGCAGUUCCUUGGCCAUGCAGGGUUCUAUAGGAGGUUUAUAAAAGGUUUUUCAAGUCUUUCAAAACCUCUUUGUGAGCUGUUAGCUAAGGAUGCUAAGUUUAUAUGGGAUGAAAGGUGUCAGAAUAGCUUUGAUCAACUGAAGAAAUUUUUAACAACUACUCCAAUAGUGAGAGCCCUUAACUGGCAAUUACCUUUUGAACUGAUGUGUGAUGCCAGUGACUUUGCUAUAGGAGCUGUGCUUGGCCAAAGAGAAGAUGGGAAGCCCUAUGUGAUUUACUAUGCAAGUAAAACACUGAAUGAAGCUCAAAGGAACUACACAACUACAGAGAAAGAAUUGUUAGCUGUGGUAUUUGCUUUGGACAAAUUUCGUGCUUAUUUAGUGGGGUCUUUCAUCAUUGUCUUCACUGACCAUUCAGCCUUGAAGUAUUUAUUGACAAAGCAAGAUGCAAAAGCAAGGUUGAUUAGAUGGAUUCUUCUGUUACAAGAAUUCGAUCUUCAAAUCAAAGAUAAGAAAGGAGUGGAGAAUGUAGUAGCUGACCACUUGUCAAGGUUAGUUAUAGCACAUAAUUCCCAUCCCUUGCCUAUCAAUGAUGAUUUUCCUGAAGAAUCACUCAUGUUUCUAGUGAAAACUCCUUGGUAUGCUCAUAUUGCCAAUUAUUUAGUAACUGGUGAAAUUCCAAGUGAGUGGAAUGCACAGGACAGGAAGCACUUCUUUGCCAAAAUUCAUUCUUAUUAUUGGGAAGAGCCCUUUCUCUUUAAGUAUUGUGCAGAUCAGAUUAUUAGGAAGUGUGUCCCCGAAGAUGAGCAGCAAGGGAUUCUAUCUCAUUGUCAUGAGAAUGCAUGUGGAGGCCACUUUGCCUCUCAGAAAACAGCCAUGAAGGUAUUGCAAUCAGGGUUUACUUGGCCAUCUCUUUUCAAAGAUGCCCACAUCAUGUGAAGAAAUUGUGAUAGAUGCCAAAGGCUUGGAAAGCUAACAAAAAGAAAUCAAAUGCCUAUGAACCCCAUUCUGAUAGUAGAGUUAUUUGAAGUAUGGGGCAUUGACUUCAUGGGACCUUUCCCAAUGUCUUUUGGUAAUCCAUAUAUCUUGGUGGGGGUAGAUUAUGUUUCUAAAUGGGUUGAGGCAAUCCCCUGUAAACAAAAUGAUCACAGGGUGGUUCUCAAGUUUCUUAAAGAGAACAUUUUCUCAAGAUUUGGGGUGCCCAAGGCCAUAAUCAGUGAUGGAGGUGCUCAUUUUUGCAACAAACCUUUUGAAGCUCUGUUAUCCAAGUAUGGAGUGAAGCAUAAGGUGGCUACACCUUAUCAUCCUCAGACUUCCGGGCAAGUUGAGCUAGCUAAUAGGGAAAUAAAGAACAUCUUGAUGAAAGUGGUGAAUUCCAACAGAAAAGAUUGGUCUAUUAGGCUUCAUGAUUCAUUGUGGGCAUAUAGAACAGCUUAUAAGACUAUUCUUGGGAUGUCUCCCUAUCGUCUUGUCUAUGGCAAAGCAUGUCAUCUCCCUGUGGAAGUUGAAUACAAAGCUUGGUGGGCAAUAAAGAAGCUGAACAUGGACUUGAUCAAGGCAGGAGAAAAGAGAUUUCUAGACCUUAAUGAGAUGGAGGAAUUAAGAAAUAAUGCUUAUAUCAAUUCCAAAGUUGUAAAACAGAGGAUGAAGAAAUGGCAUGACCAACUCAUCUCUAACAAGGAAUUUCAGGAAGGGCAAAGAGUUUUGAUGUAUGACACAAGACUCCAUAUCUUUCCUGGGAAGCACAAAUCGAGGUGGAUAGGCCCGUUUGUUAUUCACCGAGUAUGGUCCAAUGGAGUGGUGGAAUUAUUGAAUUCCAAUGGCAAGGAUAGCUUUAAAGUCAAUGGAUAUCGUCUCAAGCCAUUCAUGGAGCCAUUCAAAUCAGAAAAGGAGGCAAUCAACCUCCUUGAGCCUCAAAAAGUCUAAGCAAAGAAGGGUUUGCUAGACGUGGUUUUACCACAGUCCAAAAUUUUUGUAAAUUUUGUAAAUUUUCAAGUUGUUUCCAUAUUUUUGAUCUUAGUUUUUGAUCUUAAAUCAUGUUUUUAGGUGUGUUUUAAUUGUUUUGAAUGAUCCCAGGUGGAAGAAAUUUCAAGGAGAUUGAAAGAAAAAAAAAUCGGGUCGAAAUCAGAGCCAAAACAGAGGAAAAACAGAGGAAAAACAGGGGAAAAACAGAGCUCUGCGAAAUUUCGCAGAGUGAAGGAAACCUCUGCGAAAUCAGCACUAUGCUGCAAAUCCAUUCCGCAGCACUGUAGAAGUCUCUGCGAGGGUAUUUCGCAGCUACGAAAGCAAAUUUGGCACACGAGUGCCACUUCGCAGUACAGUAGCAUCCAUUUGGUAGCUGCGAAACACAUUGCGAAAUGGAAAAGCGUGAUUUCGCACCAAAAGUCCCAUUCCGCAGGGUAUUUCGCAAUUGCGAAAGUGGUUUUGGCACACGAGUGCCACUCCGCAGCACAGUAACAUCAAUUUCGCAGCUGCGAAACUCACUGCGAAGUUGCUGCGAAAAUGGCAUUUUGCUGCGAAAUUGGCGUUUUGUUGCGAAACUCAAACUGACACUUAGGCUUCCGUUUUUCCUAUUUAUACCGGUCAUUUGAGCUGCGAAAAGGGUUUCAAAAAUCAGAGCACCAUUCUCGCAGCCUCUUCGUCUUCUUCAGUGAGCCUCGCCGUCCAAACCCCCGGUCAUCCUCUCAGAUCAUCUACGUCAGCCAAAGUUCGGUAGCCUAAAAUGGCGCGAACACGAGGGGCUAAGUCUUCUUCUCCUUCGAACCGCAAGAAGAGUCUGCGAAAGGAGCCAAGUCCAGGUUCUGUUCCAGAACCUGCUCCAGAGCCCUCGCCGUCGAGACCAAUUCCUCCUCCGGUGAAGCCCGUGCCACCAAAGCCGCCGGCAAGACGAUAUCUAACCAGGUCAGGAGGUAGGCCAUUACAGAAGAGACCCAGGGUGGAGAGCUCAGAACCCAUCGAUUUGACUGAGCAAUCUCCAGAGCCUUCACCAAUCCCAUCACCGGUUCAAACUCCAGUGCCAUCUCCGGUUCCCUCGCCAAGUCCCCUGCCAGUUCCAUCGCCGGUACCAUCUCCAACGCCGCAAGAAAAAUCUCAGGAGCCCCAAGCGCCACUUCCCGAACCCCAAAUUCAAGCUGAAACAGCUCUGGAAGAAGUAAUUAGGAGGCCAAUGCUACCUCAGCCCCCAAUUGAAGGAAACUUGGAUUGUCGAACUCGAGCAUUCCAUUCCGAGCUUUGUUUCGACUUAGCAGCAUUCAGAGUGAGGCCGGAGCUUGCCCAAUCAUUCCAGCUGCUGAGGAGGUAUCAUAUGGAGCAUCUGCUAGCUCCAAGAGACUUUUUCUAUCCCCGAAUAGCCACGGAUUUCUACCAAUCCAUGACAACCAAAGAGGUCAGGAAUCCAACCUUGAUUCAUUUUACUAUCGAUGGGAGACAUGGUAUAUUGGGAGCACGACAUAUUGCUGAAGCCCUGCAAAUUCCCUUUGAGCCAACCCAAUUCGAUAAUUUUAGAGCUUGGGCAAAUCCUACUGAGCUAGAGAUGGUUCGCACCCUUUCUAAAGGAGCUGCAAAUCGAUCACAUCUGCUGAGGGGGGAGCUUCCUCCAGUUAUGUUUUUGAUUGAUGCCUUUUUGAGGCAUAAUAUCUAUCCAUUGCAGCAUUGGACCCAAAGAAGGGGAGUCCUCCUGGAAGCUCUUUACAAGAUGUCAGAAGGAUUUUUCUUUGGGCCUCAUCAUCUGAUCAUGGCAGCCCUUCUCUAUUUUGAAGAGAAGGUGGACAGAAAGAAGCUUCAAAGAGCUGAUUGCAUUCCCCUCCUCUUCCCAAGGCUGCUAUGCAAAAUUUUGGAGCAUAUGGGAUAUCCCUUUGAGCCUCAGCUGGAGAGAAAGCGAAUAUGCCGUGAGCCAUUCACUCUUGAUAAAUGGAACAAUAUGACGACCUACAAAAUUGAUCAGCCUGGGCAGCCUCAGCCAGCUGCAAGGAGAGCAUCCCCAAGACAUAUACCCGAAGGUAUAACAGUUGCUGCUCUUGCCAUUCCUAGAGCUCCUCCAGCUGCACCUGCUUCAUCUCAGCCAUCCACAUCAGCUGAGCCGAGGAUGGCUAUUCCUAUAUCUGAAUAUCGAGAGUUGUGCCGUGCAUUGGAGACUCUUACAGCUUCUCAGAGCAGUCUUGCUCAAGAGAUGGCAGCCAUCAGAGCAUGCCAAGAGAAGAUGUUAGCCACUCAGGCUCAACAAGCUGCCAUCUUAAGGCAGCUCUAAGUCCAUUUCGAUCUGCCACAAGCUGUAGAGCCCUCCACUGAUACUCCAGCAGAGCCACACUCUCAGCCUUCAGAAUCUCAUCCUCCAGAGCCAGAAGCCCCAGCUGAUCUACUAAAAAGGCAGCAGAUCCAUCUGCCUAAUUCUAGCCACAACCCCACUCAUCAGACUACUAUCUAUCUAAUAUUUCUAUGUAUUUCGUUUUUUUUAGUUGAAAAGAAGUCCCAGUAUUUUGGUACUAUAUAUGGGAUUCCUUGUGUUACUUGUCCUUGGCACUAUACUCGAAUGAAUUGAAAGUAAUACAAGUUGAAUAUUUCUUGUUUAAAGUUAGCAUUAAGUUAUUCUUAUUUCCUUUUCUCACAUAUUCUAUUCUUUUUGAAACAUGUGGUUUUCCCCAAUCAAUAUUCGAAUUUGAUAUCAGCAAGGAGGUACCACUUCCUCCCUUUAAUUACAGUCACUCAUAUCACAUUGAGGACAAUGCUCAGUUCGGUUGGGGGGAAUGAGGAAGGAAGUAUGCUAAAUCUUUUUGGUAUUGCAAGUAUAUUGGUUAAUUAGUUGUAGUUUUUGCUUUUUACUCUUGUUACUCUAUUCUCCAUGAAUUUUGAGGAAAAAUUUUCAAAUUAAACCAAGAGAAAUUGAACUGUUGUUUUUCACUUGACUUAGAGUAUGGAUUAUGCUUACUAAAGUGGUUCAAUUGUUGAAGCUUCUAUUGAAAUUGAAUUGAGUUCUUCCACUUUAAGCUAUCCACACAAUGUGCACAUUAGAUUCCGAUUAUAAGAUGAAAAGCUAUUUCCCUCCUGACUUAGGAUAAUUUUGGGACUUGGUAUAUUUGACCUCAUUUGAUAAAAAUUGAAACACCCUGCAAAAGGCCAAAGAGCCUUUGAAAUAAAGAAAGUUGUUUGCUUGCCUUGAAACCCGAGUAAGGUCUGAGGGGUAUAUGGUGAAAAUCUUUAAAGCCUGGUGCCCUAAGCCUUAAUUGGUUGGGAGUCACCGACCUCAAUGCUCAUUAUAAGGGUGAAUAGGUAAAGUUAGCAUAUGGUAGAUGCUUGGGUAUUAGAAAUUCAUUCUUAAAAGUCCGGGGAAAAAUCCGAGGAGUUAGUGGUUGAAAGAUCCUUAAAGCUUGGUGCCCUAAACCUUAAUUGGUUGGGAGUCAUCGAUGGACCCCCAUUACAUGGACAAGUCAGAAAGAGUACCCCAUAAAGCUACCUUGAAAAAAAAAAAAAAAAAAAAAAAAAGGUGUGUUCUUUUCUUAUUGAUUAUGGUCAGAUUAUUGCUAAAGUGUUAAAAAGAGAUAGGUUGGGGGGUGAGAUUAGUAGCAUAUUAUUCUCGGAAGCUAAGGAACUAAUACACAUAGAUUUGUGUGGAAGAUUAAAGUUUGAUUCUUAGGAAGUGGAAAUGAUUUUAAAACUUCAGUUUGCAUAAUGCACUCCCUUGAUUGAUAGUGUUUAGCAUAGUUUGUUAUGACUCUUGUUGAGAUUUGGGUUUGUAUUUCUUUAAUGCUUCAUGUGAGAAUUAGAUCAUCAUGCCACUUGAGAAUUAUUUUCUUUCAGCAUGAUGUUGUAAAUUUUAGAUUAGUUUGCUAUUUAUUUUCAUUUUUCUCUCCUAUAUUGCUAAGGGACUAGCAAUAUGUCGGUUGGGGGGAGUGAUUACUACUCAAAAAGUGCUAUUUGAUAGCCUAUAAUUAAUCCUUUUAAACACUUUUGAGUAGUAGUUUAGGCCUUUUAACUCAAUUGGCAUGUUAAGGAUCCUUUAAAGCAAUUUUAAUCACUUUGUGCAAGUUUUGGUGUUUUUGUUAGUAUUUUGAUCACCAAAGCAAGUCAAGACUGAGGAGAGCUAUGAGGAAUCUUGGGCAAAGCUUAGAAGUCAUUUUCCAAGAGUGAAUCCGGAUUGUAAGGAGAAAAAGCAAAGAGAAUCUGCCAUAGAGCAUAUUCUUGAUGACAGUCACAGAGGCCACUUUUGGAGCACUUUCUGAAGUCCAAAUGAUGCAUGCUAUAUACCAUUUCAAAGCUCAGGAAGUCAACAAUCCAAUGCUUCAAACGGUGUGCAAUUCGGAGUUGAAACGAAGAAGUUGCAGCCAUUACAAGCCAAUCACUCAGAGCUGAAGGAAGCAUUUUGCAAAGUGCUGCGAAAUCACCCUUUUGUUGCGAAGUGAUUUCGCAGCAUUUUUGUACAGUAAGUUGUUUCUCCUUCUGACGAUGCACGAUUUAUGCCGCGAGAAGGAAGCUAGGAACCUCAAGGUGGAAGCCAACUUCGCAGCCCUGUGAAGAUAGCUUGGUGUUGCGAAAAUAUUUCGCAGCCCUCUUGAGUGUCUGCGAAAUCUCGCAGACACCAUUUUUCUCCUGUGAAAUGGUUCCUGAAGCCUCCCGAUAUUUGCUACCGACAUUGGGAGAUAUUUUCCAUUAGAUUUUUGUUGUCUAAAUCCCAAAAUACUCCUUGUAAACCUCCAAUUACAAGAUUCCUUAGCUUUUAAGUUAGUAAAAAGACUAAAUAUCUUUGUAACAAUUAGUUUUAUAUUAUGUUCAUAUAUAUACCUCUCGGGAGCCUGUUCUCGGAGAGGAGUUCCUUCUGAAAAAGUUUGGGUAAGCAAGUAAAGUCUAUUUUCUUUCUACUGCCUUACCUUAUCACUUUGUAUUUUCAUUUCAUUUCUAAGUUAUGAAUUCUCUGAGGAGUUUUCCCCAGAGAAUGAGUAACUAAACCUCUAGUUCCUUGGAGCUAAGGUUGCCGGGGAAGGUUCCAAGUGCACGAAUGCAAAGCUUUGUGGUUUUAGCUUUUAAUGAAGAGGAAGUGAAAUCCUUUAAUGAUUUCUAUGUUUUUAGUUAACUUAAAACACCUUAGAGUCACCUGGGCCAACACUUGGUAAGGCAAGUGAUUUCCAACCAUGGAAAUGCACUAGUUUACCUCUUGCGAGCCUCUGGGAGGUGAUUUCAAGGUAGGAUUUUCUGGAAUUACCAACACUUGGUAAGCUUUUGGACUCCUAGGAGACAUCCAUUAGUUAUCUCUUGCGAGUUUGUGAAGGGAAGUCCAAGAUUAAAGAUCAUCUUGAAUGGUAAGUGCUCGUGAGAGGCAUGAACCAUUGCAAGUUGCAUCAGUGAGAGAAUUAAAGUGAAAUCUAAUUGAAGGAGUCUCUGUACAACACCGGUUAGAGAAUUGACUAUAUGUUGAAUCUCUAACGCGAGGAAAUGAACCAUCUGACCGGAGCUAUGUCUUUUGCAUGAGGAAUCACCCCAGUGAACCUAACUCUCCAGGGAAUGCUUUUCUUCCUAAAUUAUUCCAAACUUCUGUUAUGUUAGUUAGUUUAAGUAUAAACCUUUACCAAUCAAAGUUUGUGUUUUACUUCUUAAGCUAACCGUGAAAUGAAACAAGACCAAUUCACUUGGAAUUGGUAUCAUUGAUAGCUUGCUAAUCCUUCCCAGUGAACGAUCCUAGAGCCGCUAUACUAUAGUAGCUUUUUCUUUGCUACCCUAGUAUAUGGUGUAAUAGGUAUAAAUUUUGUUGAUUACUCCCUCAUCCAAGGAGCACCAGCUGGACAUGAAUCAGUUGAGACACCAAUUGGGCACGAAUCAACAACAACAUAAAGGAUGGUUGUUUCUUGAACCGGUAUAGAUUUAACAAUGAAGAUUUAAUCCAUAAAAAGUCAAUAGAAAUGGUAGUCAAGUUCCAUUAAUGGCUUUAGACACUAUGGGUCUUCACCUUGAGCCACUUUCCAAUGGCUCGUACAUGAUAACUAAUGGUCUUAUGUGGAUCUAGCAAUAAGUAUCCACAGAGACCUAAAAGCUUAUCAUGUAUUGGCCAUUCAAAGUGAUUCAAAGGGAUUUAAAGCAAAACUUUAGAUUUUAAAAACCAUUUAUGAACUCCAACUACCUGUAUUUAAAGCACUAGAAUUUUCCACUUUUGCAUCUGGACUUUUCACCUAGCUUCCUUCACUCCAAGAAACUAAAGGUUUAGCCUCUCAUCCUCUGGGAAAACAUCCUCAGAGGUUGUUUGGCUUCCAAGAAAAAGAAAAUACAAUAAAAAAGAGAAGGUAAAAGCAGAGCAAAGCUCUGUAUUUUUCUUCAUUUCAAAACUAUACAAAAGAUGUGUCGUCCUCCUUCCCCUGAGAACAGGCUCCCAAGAGAUAUUUAUAUAGAAAAUUACAAAACAAAAUAUCUUUUGGAUAUUCAUCCUUUUUCCAAACUUAAUAACUAAGGAAUCCUAUAAUUGGUGGAUUACAAGGAGAGUUUGGGAAUUUAGACAUCAAAUAUCUAAAGCAAAAUAUCUCACAAUGUCGGUCGCAAAGAUGGGAAGCUUUAGGAGAAAACCACGGCACUGCAAGAUGGCCGCAAAACUCUCCGGGUAAGCGUUAUCCUCGGAUCCGAAUAUGUAUAUCCGGAUAGUUGAAACGCCUUCUCUCCCAUCCGGAUAUGUCUACCGAAUAUGAGACAUCCGGAGAAGGUAGAACUUCGAUCGGACUGUGAUACAUCCGGGUAAGUGCUAUUAGAAAAGAGGAUCCGGAUAUGUCUGCUAGAGGAAGUUGAAACGCCUCUUUUCCCAUCCGGCUCCUGAAUUCCGGAUGUCAUCCGGAAUGAUGGCGGCGCUGGAUGUAAGUGGCAGUAGCCGGAUUCCGGAUGUGAUACAUCCUGGUGGUAAGUGGCGGUAGCCGGAUGGAAUUCUUACCCGGAUGGAAUGAGCUGGAUCCCAUACUCCUUGUAUUCUGGAUUUGCUUAAGGAUUCCAAAGAACUCUCCUCAAUCUCAUAUUGCUUUGGUGAUAAAAAAGCUAUCAAAACACCAAAACUUAACACAAUUUGAUUAGAAUUGAUUGCAAGGGUCCUUAACAUGCCAAAUGGGUUAAAAGGUAAUAACUACUACUCAAAAGUGUUUAAAAGAGUUAAUUACCAGUUAUGAAAUAACACUUUUUGAGUAGUAAUCACUCCCCCCAACCGACAUAUUGCUAGUCCCUUAGCAAUGAAGGAGAGAAAAAUAAAAAUAAACAAUACUAUAAUUUACAACAUCAUGCUGAUCAAAAAACAAUUUCCAAGUGGCAUGAUGAUCUAACUCUCACAUGGAACAUUAAAGAAAUAAAACUCAAACUUCAACAAGAGUUAUCAAAUAACUUGUCUAAUCACUAUUCUUAAAGAGAAGACAUUAUGCAAACUUAAGCUUUAAAAUCAUUUCCACUUCCAUAGGAUCAAACCUUACUCUUCCACAAAAAUCUAAGUGUUAUUUAUUAGCUUCUGAAUAUAGUAUGUUGAACUAAUCUCUCCCCCAAACCUAGUUCUUUUUCAAAGCUUCGCAAACUGGUCAACCUCCAAUAGGCUAAGAACGCACCUCUUUUUUUCACAAUUUUUUUCUUGUAGGAGUACAAGGCUAAAGGUAUUUUUUUUCUAAAUUGUCCAUGUAACGGGGGUCCAUCGAUGACUCCCAACCAAUUAAGGCUUAGGGCAUCAAGUUUUAAGGAUCUUUCAACUACUAACUCCUUGGAUUUUACCCCGGACUUUUAAGAAUGAAUUUUUAAUACCCAAGCACCUACAGUAUGUUAAACUCCACCUAUCCACCCUUGUAACGAGCAUUGAGGUCGGUGACUCCCAACCAAUGAAGGCUUAGGGCACCAGGUUUUAAAGAUUUUCACCAUAUACCCCUUAGACCUUGCUCGGGUUUCAAGGCAAGUAAACAUUUUUUCUUUCUUUUUUUUUUUUUUUCAAAGACUCAUUGGCCUUUUAUAAGGUGUCCCAACACUAUUAAAUGAGGUCAAAGGUACCAAGUCUAAAUUUUCCUAAGUUAAGAGGGAAAUAGUUUUUCAUCUUAUACUCGGAACCUAUUGUGCACAGUGUGUGAAUAGCUUAAAGUGGAAGAACUGAGGUUGAAUUCACUAAAAGUUUCAACAAUUCAUCAACUUUAGUAAGCAUAAUACAAAAUCUAAGUCAAGUAAAAAGACAAAAAUUCAAUUUCUCCCAUUUCAUUUUGAAAAUUUUUCCUUAAUAACCAUGGAGAGUAGAAAAAAACUUUAAAAAUUUUAAAAAUUAAGCAAAAAACAACUAAAUUACCAAAAUACUUAGCAUUAUUAACAAAAACUUCCUUCCUCAACUCUCCUCCCAACCAAGCUGAACAUUGUCCUCAAUGUGACAACAACGAUUGAACAAUAGGGAGGAAGUGGUGCCUCCUGAGUGGUAUGAAGUUCAAGUAGAAUAGGAGAACCCACAUGUUUCAAAAAACAAUAAAAGAUAUGAGUAGAGGAAUUAAAAAAAUAUAAUGCUAAGUGCUCACAAAUGAUAGAGAUUUGUAUUACUUGAUGGCAACACAAUUUUAUAUAAAAAACAAGCAAUACAACCAAUCCCACUAUAUAAUACCAAAAAUAUGGGAUUUCAUAAAGGAAAUACAUAAAGUAAAGUAUGUAAAUGAUCAGAAAUAGGGAGGAUGAUGAUGGUAAGCUGAUGGCUCAGGUAGAUGUCUCUGCAUCUUCAGUAGCCGGCUCAGGAGGGGCAUGGGGCUCCGUGGCCUCUGAGUGGGGCACUGCAGUGGUAGGGGUAAGAUGCUCAGUAGCUGAUGGAAGACCCAGAUGGUGCUGAAGCUGCCUCAGGAUGGCAGUGUGUUGAGUCUAGGUGGUCAAAAUCUGCUCCUAGUGAGCACGAAUAGCUGACAUCUCUUGAGCAAGGCUACUCUGAGUCGCAGUCAGUGUCUGCAAUGUGUGGCAUAGAUCUCUAUACUCUGAAACGGGUAUGGUCAUCCUAGGCUCGGCUGAAGUAGAGGGCUCUGAUGCAGUUGGAAUAACUAGAGGGGUACUAUGGGUGGCAGGAAAAGCAAAGGGUAUACCCUCAGGUAUGGGCUCUGGAGAUGCUCUCCUGGCAGCUGGUAUCUCAGCUGGCUGUGGGUCCUCUGGCUGCUGUGGCUGUGGAAGCUCUGGAUGCUCUGCUCUAUAUGCUGUCAUAUUGGUCCACUUGUCGAGAGUGAAUACCUCUUGGCAUAUACGUCUGCGCUCCAGCUGAGGGUCUGAUGGAUACCCCAGAUGCUCCAAAAUUUGACAUAGCAAUUGUGGGAAAAGAAGUGGAAUAGCAUCUGCUCUUAGCAGCUUCUUCCUAUGCACCUUCUCUUCAAAGUAGAGAAGGGCAGCCAUAAUCAGAUGGUGAGGGCCAAAGAAAUAUCCCUCUGAUAUCCUAAACAGGGCCUCUAGCAGAACUCCUCUCCUCUGCACCCAAUGCUGAAGUGGAUAAAUGUUGUGGCGCAGGAGUGCAUCAAUGAAGAACAUGCUCGGAGGAAGUUCCUUCCUCAACAGAUAUGGAUUUGUGGAUGUUCCUCUGGACAAAAUAUGAACCAUUUCAAGCUGGGAAGGAUUAGUCCAUACUCGGUAAUCCUUUAGACGGGCUGGCUCAUAUGGAAUAUGCAGGGCCUUUGCUAUGUGGCGAGCUCCUAAAAUACCAUGACGUCAUUCAAUGGUGAAGUGGAUAAGAGUAGGAUCUUUGAUCUGAUUAAUAGUCAUGGACUGAUAGAAGUCCAUUGCUACUCGGGGAUAGAAAAAAUCCCUGGGGGUCAGCAAUUGCUCCAUGUGAAAUCUGUGUAGUAGAUGGAAUGAGUCUGCGAGCUUCGGCUGAAACCUGAAGGUGGCUGUGUCAAAACACAGCUCAGAGUGAAAUGGUCGAGCCCGACAAUCUAAAUUCCCCUCAAUGGGCGGCUGAGCGACCAUCGGACGCUUGAUCAGCACCUCAGGAGCUAUCCCUGAGGGAAUUUGAGACUUUGCAAAUGGCGGUUGCGACGGCUGAGGCUCCACUGGAUUCUCUGAAGAUAGCGCCGGAGACAGCUCUGUAGAUGGGUCCGGAGAGGGCUCUGGAGAGGAGUCCAGAGACUGCUCCGUUAAGUCUAUUGGCUCUGAAUCUACUACCCUAGCUUUCUUUUGUGGGGGAUGCCCCCUUGACCUGGUCUGAUAACGCUUCACCUAAGGACUCAACGGCGCGGGUUCCGCCGGAGGUGGUGCGGCUACUUAUCGCGGAGGCUCUGAUGUGGAGCCUUGAACAGGCGCCUCUCGCUCGACUCUCUUGCGGCCGGACGAAAAUGAUGACUUUGCUCCUCUGGUUCGCGCCAUGGCGGACCGAAGAGAAUGGUCAGAGGUGAUGGCCGGUGGCUCGCUCGGCUUCGGGCUCAGGUGAGAGAGCGAACGAACGGUUGCUCUGGUGUUUUUUCUUUCUGAAACCUUUUGGCAGCUCAAAUGACCGGUUUUUAUAAAAAAUAAAGGAAUAUAAAGGGUCAUUUUGAUUUUCGCAGAGGAAGGCUGAUUUCGCAGCAAAAGGUUGUUUUCGCAACAAAAGGCCAUUUUCGUAGCCCAUUUCGCAGCUGCGAAAUGGGGGGAACUAUGCUGCGAAAUGGCACUCGUGUGCUUAAGUGUGGUUUCGCAGCUGCGAAAAUUUUCGCAGAGAGGGGCUUGAGGCUGCGAAAUGAUUUCGCAGCAAAAUAGCGAUUUUGCAGCGAAGUGGCGAUUUCGCAGAGGCUUUUUUUAGGCUGCGAAAUCUCGCAGACCCUUGUUUUUCCCCUGUUUUACACUCUUUCUUGCUCCAAACGACUUUCCUUCAAUUUCUUUGCAAUGACUCCUGAUUUUGAUCAUCCAAAAACCUAUAUUACAUCAAAACAAAUUAGAAUGAAAUUAAGGUCAAAAAUAAAAAUCAAAACAUGCAUAUACACAAGAAAAAACACUAGAUUAAACUAAAAUCAACGCAAAAGGAAACAAAAAGAGGGUGAACUUUUUAGUCUUUGAAGAGACUAAAUUCAACCACGAACUGAGUGUUUUCAUGUUAGAGGUGGAUCAAGGAGGAUGAAUUCCUCCUUGUCUCGGGAAAAUGAUUCCAUAUAGGGCUUGAGACGAUGCCCAUUCACUUUGAAAGUUCGAGUGCUCUUGAAGUUGAGUAGUUCCACUACUCCAUUUGAUUGCACGUCAUGAAUUAUAAAAGGACCCGUCCACCUUGAUUUCAAUUUUCCCGGAAAAAGAUGAAGUUUAGAGUCAUAAAGCAAGACUCUUUGUCCCUUAGUAAAAUUCUUCUGAUUUACCAACUGAUCAUGCCAUUUCUUCAGCCUCUCUUUUGCAAUUUUUGAAUUGAGGUAAGCAUCAUUCCUCAUUUCCUCCAAUUCGUUCAAAUCCAAACAUCUCUUUAACCCGGCUCUUGUCAAAUCCAUGUUGAGCUUCUUGAUUUCCCACCAUGCUUUAUAUUCAACCUCCACUGGGAGAUGGCAUGCUUUGCCAUAAACAAGGCGAUAAGGAGACAUUCCAAGAAUGGUCUUAUAAGCGGUCCUAUAAGCCCAUAAUGAAUCCAGGAGCUUAAUAGACCAAUCCUUCCUAUUCACAUUCACCACCUUCAUCAAUAUAUUCUUGAUCUCCCGGUUGGCUAACUCAACUUGGCCACUUGUUUGAGGGUGAUAAGGUGUAGCUACCUUGUGCUUGACCCCAUAUUUGGCUAGAAGAGUCUUAAAAGGCUUGUUGCAAAAGUGGUUUCCUCCAUCACUGAUAAUGGCCUUAGGCACUCCAAACCUUGAAAAGAUGUUCUCCUUGAGAAAUUUGAGAACCACCUUAUGAUCAUUGCUCCUACAUGGGACUGCUUCUACCCACUUAGAGACAUAAUCCACUCCCACCAAAAUGUAGGAGUGUCCAAAUGACAUUGGAAAUGGUCCCAUGAAGUCUAUCCCCCAAACAUCAAAGACAUCCACUAUCAAGAUGGGGUUCAAGGGCAUCAUAUUUCGGCGUGUUAGCUUCCCAAGCCUUUGACACCGAUCACAUCCCUUGCACAUAGAGUGGGCAUCCUUGAAAAGAGAGGGCCAUCAAAAACCUGAUUGGACCACUCUCAUGGCUGUUUUCUAGGAAGCAAAAUGACCUCCACAUGCACUAUCAUGACAAUGGGAUAGAAUUCCUGAUUGCUCUGGUUCAGGAACACAUUUCCUUAUGAUUUGAUCCGCACAAUAUUUGAAGAGAAAAGGCUCCUCCCAAUAAUAGGCAUGGAUCUUAGCAAAGAAAUGCUUCUUGUCUUGGGCACUUCACUCACUUGGAACUUUUCCAGUAACCAAGUAAUUUGCAAUGUGAGAAUACCAUGGAGCUACCUCUAUUGACAUGAGAGACUCCUCAGGGAAGUCAUCAUUAAUAGGUAGGCCAUGUGAGUCAUGUGCUAUCACAAGUCUUGACAAGUGGUCAGCUACCACAUUUUCUACUCCCUUUUUAUCCCGGAUUUGGAGAUUGAAUUCUUGAAGCAAAAGGAUCCAUCUUAUCAAUCUUGCCUUGGCAUCUUGCUUGGUUAGCAAGUACUUCAAAGCAGAAUGGUCAGUGAACACCACUAUACAGGACCCUACUAAAUAGGCACGAAACUUAUCCAAGGCAAAAACUACUGCCAACAACUCCUUCUCAGUAGUUGUGUAGUUCCUUUGAGCCUCAUUCAAAGUUUUGCUUGCAUAAUAAAUCACAUAGGGCUUUCCAUCUUCUCUUUGCCCCAAAACAGCCCCCAUAGCAAGAUCACUUGCAUCACACAUUACCUCAAAAGGUAAUUUCCAAUUUGAGGCUCUCACUAUUGGUGCAGUUGUGAGGAAUUGCUUCAGUUCCUCAAAACUCUUCUGACAUUUCUCAUCCCACACAAACUUGGCAUCCUUUACCAAGAGUUCACAAAGAGGUUUUGAGAUUUUUGAGAAAUCCUUAAUGAACCUCCUAUAGAACCCGGCAUGUCCUAGGAAUUGCCUAAUUCCUUUAACAUUUGUGGGAGGUGGCAACUUAACAAUUAGCUCCACCUUUGCCUUAUCUACCUCAAUGCCAUUCUUGGAGAUUAUAUGUCCUAAGACAAUUCCUUGUUGUACCAUAAAAUAGCACUUCUCCCAAUUUAGCACUAGGUCUUUCUCAAUACAUCUUUGGAGAACAGCUUCUAAAUGCAACAAACACUCCUUAUAAGAACCUCCAUAUACAGUGAUGUCAUCCAUGAAGACUUCCAUGAUGCGCUCCACCAUAUCACUGAAGAUGCUUAGCAUACAUCUUUGGAAAGUUGCAGGUGCAUUACAUAGACCAAAGGGCAUCCUCCUAUAGGUAAAAGUACCAAAGGGGCAAGUGAAGGUUGUCUUUUCUUGAUCUUCCAAAUCAAUCUCUAUUUGGAAGUACCCCGAGUAACCAUCCAAAAAACAGUAGAAAGGAUGCCCUGAGACUCUUUCAAGGACUUGGUCCAUGAAAGGCAAUGGGAAAUGGUCUUUCCCAGUCACUGAAUUCAACCUCCUGUAGUCUAUACACACCCUCCAUCCUGAGGUAAGACGUGUAGAGACUUCCUCCCCUUUCUCAUUUUGGAUCACAGUAAUUCCAGAUUUCUUUGGGACUACUUGGGUUGGGCUCACCCACAAGCUAUCUGAAAUGGGAUAUAUGAUCCCUGCUUGAAGUAGCUUCAGAACUUCACCCCUUACCACCUCUUGCAUGUGAGGAUUCAACCUCCUCUGGGGCUGCCUCACUGGUUUAGCAUCUUCCUCCAUGAAGAUAUGGUGGGUGCAUACCAAAGGGCUAAUCCCUUUCAAAUCAGAAAUGUGUCAUCCAAUGGCCUUUUGCAUUUUUUGAGGACUCCCAAAAGACUAUCCUCUUGAUCACUUGUGAGAGUUGAAGAAACCACCAUUGGACAUUUCUCAUCUUCCUCCAAAUAUGCAUACUUCAAAUCAACAGGAAGUGGCUUCAAAACUAGUUUUGGAGGGUCCUCCCUAGCUGCUCCUUGUGAGUCCUCCUUAUUGAACAAGGGUAAGAUCUCUUCCCUUCUCCUCCAAGGAGACAUGACGACUAACACAUCAGAGGGUUCAGGUAACCCUUCUUCAAGCACUCCAAGGCUUUCAUUCAAGCUCUUUUCUAAAUUCUUGUCACAAUGCUCUUCAACCAAAGUGUUGAUCAAGUACGCCUCCUCCAAUCCUUCCUCCUCUUCGGGGUGAAGAUGCCUCUUGCAUAGGUGGAAUAUGUUUAGUUCCAAGGUCAUGUUUCCAAAUGUGAACUGCAUCACCCCAUUCCUACAAUUGAUGAUGGCAUUGGAGGUAGCUAGGAAAGGUCUCCCUAGGAUGAUUGGCACAUGAUUUGUUUCCUUAAUAGUGAGAUCAGUAUCAAGCACCACAAAAUCCACGGGAUAGUAGAAUUUGUCCACUUGAACUAAAACAUCCUCUAUCACUCCCCUUGGGAUUUUGACUGACCUAUCAACUAAGGAGAGAGUGACGGUUGUGGGCUUCAAUUCUCCAAGUCCCAGUUGCUUAUACACAGAGUAUGGGAGCAAAUUCACACUUGCCCCCAAGUCUAGUAAAGCCUUCUCCACAUGUGUCCCUCCAAUGUUGACUGAAAUGGUGGGACACCCCGGAUCUUUGUACUUAACUGGAGACUUACACUGAAUGAUGGCACUUACUUGCUCAGUGAGGAAUGCCUUCUUUGUCACAAUUAACCCUCUCUUGACCGUGCACAAGUCCUUUAAAAUUUUUGCAUAUGUGAGGACUUGCUUGAUCAUAUCAAGGAAGGGUAUAUUCACCUUCACUUGUCUCAAAAUUUCAAGAAUUUCUGAUGAAUUCUUGAUUCCCUUCUUUCCAUGUAAAGCUUGAGGAAAAGGGGGAGGCAUAUGUUUCUUCAUCAUAUCCUCUUUAAUCACUAUCCUUGGCUCAUCUUCAAUGCUUGAAUCAGAUGCAUUUUUCUUCCCACUCUUCUCUUCUUGGUUAUUGCUCUCUUUAACCAAGGUUCUCCUUGACAUGAGUUCUUCAUCUUGCCUCACCUUAGGCAAGGGUUGGUCAACCUCCUUCCCACUCCUCAAGGUGAUCACAGCUUUAACCUCCCUCAACUUUGAAGACUCCCCAUCUUGGGUUUCAACUUCAUGAACACCCUUUGGAUUUUGGCUUGGUUGAGAGGGAAACUUUCCUUUCUCAAUCACUGUGUUGAGGUUGGUAAGCGUAGAGAUGGAGUAUUGAAUAUUAUCCAUCUUCUGAGAUAGAUCAUUUUGCAUCCCAUCCAUUCUCUUAAUUUGAGAACUUUCAACAUUUUCAAUCUUUUGGUGCAAUUGGGAGUUGAUUGCCUUUUGUUCACCCACAAAGUCACCCAUGACUUUACUUAGGUUCACAAUGGCUUGCUCCACUGAAGAGGUUUGUUGAGGUGCUUGGGUUUGGGCUUGUGGUUGGUAUGGAGGUGGCCUUGGUUUCCAAGAAAAAUUUGGAUGGUUUCUCCAGCUUGAAUUAUAGGUGUUUCCAUAAGGUGCAUUGUUGUUGGGCCUAAAUUGCCCCACAACAUUGGCUUGAUCACCUAACAUUUCCCUAACAGCUGGGAUGGUUGGGCACUCAUCUACCACAUGAUCACAUGAUUGGCAAAUGGUGCAUGGCAUGACAUGGGCUUGUGUCUCGGAAAUGGCUUAGACUUCAUGCAUUUUUUUCAACUCAAGUUCUUCCAACCUCCUUGCCAUUGUUGCUACCUUAGCUUUCAUGUCCAUGUCUUCACUUAACAUGUACAUUCCAACCUUUGGAUUUACAGGAGCUUUCAUCCUUCCCAUUUCUCUUGAGUUGGGUUCAUCCCAUCCUCUUGAUACCUCAGAUACAUAACUUAGAAAGUCCAUGGCUUCUUCCGGAUUCUUACUCAUAAAAUCUCCCCCACACAUGGUUUCAAAAAUUUGCUUCAUGCAGGAAGACAUCUCAUCAUAAAAAUAGCUCACCAAGAGCCAUGUAUCAAAGCCAUGAUGAGGACAAGCAUUGAUGGCCUCCAUAUACCUUUCCCAACAUUCAUAGAACUUCUCAUUUUCUUUUGCAGAAAAAUUUGAGAUUUGUCUCUUCAACCUAUUGGUCCUAUGAGUGGGGAAAAAUUUCUUCAAAAAUUCGGCCUGAAGAUCAACCCAAUUCCUUAUGCUCCUUGGCCUUAAAGAGUUAAGCCAUAUUUUUGCCUUGUCCUUCAAAGUAAAAGGGAAUAGCUUGAGUCUCAUCAAGUCUAUUGAAGCUCCUCCCCCUCCAAAAGUAUUGCACACCUCCUCAAACUCCUUGAUGUGGGCAUAUGGGUUCUCACUCUCCAUUCCAUGGAAAUUUGGUAGGAGGGGCACAAUAUGAGGCCUUAUAAUCAGCUGCUCAAGAGGAGGUACGAUGCAUGAGGGUGCACUCAUCCUUGGUGGGUGCAUUCUAUCCCUCAUGGAUAGAUAUGCAUUUGGAUUAUCCCCUUGAACGUGUUGAGAAUUCUGAUCCUAUUGUGGAGGGUCCAUGAUGUUUACACAGAUAUCCAACUCUGUGUCUUGAGGAUUCUCAAUCCUUACUAGUCUUCCCUCUUGGUUCCGAAUCCAAUAGGGCAUGCACAAGUUACAACUUCCCUGAAAACAAAACAAAGACAACAAAAACAAAAGAAAACUAGAAGAAAAUUAAGGUUAGAAAGAAAAUGAAAGUAAACUUAACAAAAGGAAUUCUACAAUAAAAAAAAAAUGAAGUUAGUGAAAAAGGAAUUCACCAAACUUGUGAUGGAAAUCACAAGUAGCCUCUAAAAAGUUGUAUCACUAUAUCGUGGCACCAUCCCCGGCAACGGCGCCAUUUUGAUUGUGCCCAGUAGGGUAUUUUAAUCAAAAAUAUUUAUAAAUCCUAUGACCUUAUACUAGCGUAGCAAAGCUACUAUAGUAUAGCAUCUAUAGGGUCGAACUCUGGGAUGGGUUUUCAUUCUACCAGUGAUAAACUCAAGAUUAGAAAUUGAAUCUGAUGAUUUCCUUUGUCAAAAACUUAAAGUUUAAAAGAAAAUAAAAUUUGUUUUGAAAGUGGUGUUUGAAACUAAACUAACAUAGAACUAGGUAAAAAUGGAAGAAAGAAAGUCUCCCGGAGCUAGAGGUUGCUAGAAUCAAGUUCAGAAUGCAAAGUGGGAAAUUCCGGAUUUUUCUCCUCGUAUUAGGGACAACAACAUAAAGGAUGGUUGUUUCCCGAACCGGUAUAGAUUUAACAAUGAAGAUUUAAUCCAUAAAAAGUCAAUAGAAAUGGUAGUCAAGUUCCAUUAAUGGCUUUAGACACUAUGGGUCUUCACCUUGAGCCGCUUUCCAAUGGCUCGUACAUGAUAACUAAUGGUCUUAUGUGGAUCUAGCAAUAAGUAUCCACAGAGACCUAAAAGCUUAUCAUGUAUUGGCCAUUCAAAGUGAUUCAAAGGGACUUAAAGCAAAACUUUAGAUUUUAAAAACCAUUUGUGAACUCCAACUACCUGUAUUUAAAGCACUAGAAUUUUCCACUUUUGCAUCUGGACUUUUCACCUAGCUUCUCUCACUCCAAGAAACUAAAGGUUUAGCCUCUCAUCCUCUGGGAAAACAUCCUCAGAGGUUGUUUGGCUUCCAAGAAAAAGAAAAUACAAUAAAAAAGAGAAGGUAAAAGCAGAGCAAAGCUCUGUAUUUUUCUUCAUUUCAAAACUAUACAAAAGAUGCGUCGUCCUCCCUCCCCUGAGAACAGGCUCCCAAGAGAUAUUUAUAUAGAAAAUUACAAAACAAAAUAUCUUUUGGAUAUUCAUCCUUUUUCCAAACUUAAUAACUAAGGAAUCCUGUAAUUGGUGGAUUACAAGGAGAGUUUGGGGAUUUAGACAUCAAAUAUCUAAAGCAAAAUAUCUCACAAUGUCGGUCGCAAAGAUGGGAAGCUUCAGGAGAAAACCACGGCACUGCAAGAUGGCUGCAAAACUCUCCGGGUAAGCGCUAUCCUCGGAUCUGGAUAUGUAUAUCCGGAUAGUUGAAACACCUCCUCUCCCAUCCGGAUAUGUUUACCGAAUGUGAGACAUCCGGAGAAGGUAGAACUUCGGUCGGACUGUGAUACAUCCGGGUAAGCGCUAUUAGAAAAGAGGAUCCGGAUAUGUCUGCUAGAGGAAGUUGAAACGCCUCUUUCCCCAUCCGGCAUGAUGACGGCGUUGGAUGUAAGUGGCGGUAGCCGGAUUCCGGAUGUGAUACAUCCUGGUGGUAAGUGGCGGCAGCCGGAUGGAAUUCUUACCUGGAUGGAAUGAGCUGGAUCCCAUACUCCUUGUAUUCUGGAUUUGCUUAAGGAUUCCAAAGAACUCUCCUCAAUCUCAGAUUGCUUUGGUGAUAAAAAAGCUAUCAAAACACCAAAACUUAACACAAUUUGAUUAGAAUUGAUUGCAAGGUCCUUAACAUGCCAAUUGGGUUAAAAGGUAAUAACUACUACUCAAAAGUGUUUAAAAGAGUUAAUUACCAGUUAUGAAAUAGCACUUUUUGAGUAGUAAUCAGUCUCUUUAUCGCUUAGUCUAUGGCAAAGCAUGCCAUCUCCCUAUGGAAUUGGAAUACAAAGCUUGGUGGGCAAUCAAGAAACUCAACAUGGAUUUGAGCAGAGUUGGGUUGAAGAGGUUCUUAGACCUCAAUGAGAUAGAGAAAUUGAGAAAUGAUGCCUACAUCAAUUCAAAAAUUGCAAAAGAGAAAUUGAAAAGGUGGCAUGAUUAGUUGAUUUCCCGUAAGGAUUUUCGAAAGGGACAAAGAGUCUUGCUCUAUGACUCUAAGCUCCACAUCUUUCCGGGUAAGCUGAAAUCAAGGUGGAUAGGUCCUUUUACCAUUCACCAAGUGCAUUCAAAUGGAGUAGUGGAACUACUCAACUCCAACAGCACCAGAAGCUUCAAAGUGAAUGGCCACCGUCUCAAGCCCUUUGUGGAGCAUUUUUCUCGCGACAAGGAGGAAUUCAUCCUCCUUGAUCCACAUCAAGCUUGACAAGACCAAUCCUUUUGAUGGACUUAGUCUUUCUAAAGACUAUCGAGUCUAUAUCUUUUUGUUUUAUUUUUUAUUUGAGAGUUUUCCUGUAUUAUUACUUAUUUUUAUUUUUAUUUCUCGUUUUUAUUUUAUCUUGGUUUGAUUUAACUUAGGUUUUUGAUGAUCAAUUGUAGGGGGACUUCAAAUAGAGGAAAAACCAAGUAAAUUCGCACACACUGCGAAAUUUUCAUAGGGCAUGCGAAAUUCAUGAAUCAUUUUGCAUGGGGUGCGAAAAUAAAAACACCUUGCGAACUCAUUUUGCACACUUCGUGAAAUUUUCAUAGAGCAUGCGAAAAAUUUCGCACACCUAACACCAUUUGGCACACUGUACGAAAACCUAAGGGGUUUGCGAAGUAAUUUCGCACCCCAUAUGCCAUUUCGCAUGCUGUGCAAAACUCAAGGGACGCUGUGCAAAAAUGAAAAGUCCCUACCAUUCCUUUUUAAACCCCUGAGCCCUAAUUUCUCCAUUUCGCAAACACCAAACACCCUAUGAAUUCCUCAUUUUCCUCUGCCACCUUGCGACCUCAUCCAUAUCCAUUCAAUAUCCUGCCCCGUGCACAUCACUUUGAAGACUCACACUCCAAGCCAUAUUGGAGCACGGACCCGAGGAGCUCUUCCCGCCCCUUCACCGAGUCGCACUUUGAGACAAAUGGCCUCCACUGCUCAGGUAUCUAGUGAUUCUCCAUCUCAGGCCAUGGAGGCCCCGCGGAUUCCACCUUCUGAGGGUGGAGCGCCCACUAGUCCUUCAUUUUCGGCUCCUCAGCGCAGAUAUGAGAUGAAGAGACCACCUACUACACCAGGGGCGACUAUUUUACGCCCUGAGAGUUCAGUACGACGCCCUCCUACCAAGAGGGCUAGGACUUUAGGCUCAGACGAGUCAUCCAAAGCUCCACAGCCUGAGCCUCCGGUAGCUACACAUGCUAGAGCUCCUGCAGAUUCUGAGCUCCUUUUUGACAUGUCACUAGAGUCUAUUAUCAGACGCCCGAUGGUCACAACACCGCCCAUUGAGGGUAACUCAAAUUGUAGAGCGAGACCGUUCCACUCGGAGUUAUAUUUUGAUCAAGAGGUCACGCAACAGUAGCCUGAGCUCUGAGACUCAUAUGGCCUACUACAAAGGUACCAUCUUGAGCACCUUAUGACUCCUCGUGAGUUCUUUUAUCCUAAAGUAGCACUAGACUUUUACCAAUCCAUGACUACUCGUGGCGUCUCAAGUCCUACCGUGAUACACUUCACCAUUGAUGGACGUCAUGGUGUCCUCGAGGCCAGACAUAUUACAGAGGCUCUAUAGAUUCCUUUCGAGCCAGUGGAUCCGUUUGUUUUCUGCCAGUGGUCCCCAAUAUCUCAAAGGGACAUGGUCCGUAUUUGAUCCAGAAAGACCUCUUCAGAUUCAAUCCUUCUACGAAAGGAGCUUCCACCUGGGAUGCUCCUCAUAGAUGUGGUGCUAUGCUCCAACCUCUUUCCCUUACAGCAUUCGGUAUAGAGGUAAGGAGAUAUUUUGGACACUUUAUUUCGUAUAUCAGAGGGCUUCUACUUUGGCCCGCACCACUUGAUCAUGGCCUUUCUUGCCCACUUUGAGGAGAAGGUCCAUAGGUGAUUCGUGCCCAGCUGGUGUACCUUGAUUUUGGUCCUCAGACGGGAGUAAUCAACAAAAUUUAUAACCUAUUAUACCAUGUACUAGGAUAGCCUCAGCUAGCAUAGCAUAGUGCCUCUAGGAUCGUUCACUGGGAUGGGUUUUCACUUUACAAUUGAUAUUAGUUCAAAGCUGAAUUUGUGCUUUUUCAUUUCAAGGUUAGCUCUAAAAGAAAACAUAAAGAUGUUUGAAAAGGUUGGUUUUUAAGUGAAACAAAAAAUAAAGUAACGGGAAUUACUUACUAAGAAAAGCGUUUCUUGGAGUUUUAGGAUCACUGGGGUCAGGCUCCUCAUGCAAAAACAGAGCUCCUGUCACUUGAGUCUUUUCCUCGUGUUGGGGAUUUAACAUAUAGUUAUUUCCCGAACUGGUGUGGUACAGAUGCUUCCCUUUAAUGGGUUCAAACACUAAAUCCCUCUCACUGAUACAUCUUGCAAUGGUUCAUACCUCUCACCUAGCAUUGGCCAUUCAAGAUGAUCCUUAACUUUGGAUUACCCGUCAAAAGCUCGCAAGAGAUAACUAAUGGAUGUCUCCUUAGAGUCCAAAAGCUUACCAAGUGUUGGCUAUUCUAGAAAAUCCUACCUUUAAACCACCUCCCAAAGGCUCGCAAGAGGUAAACUAGUGCAUCUCAAUGGACGGAGAUCACUUGCCUUACCAAGUGUUGGCCCCGGUGAUUUCAAGGCGUUUUAAGUUAACUAAAAAGAUAAAAACCAUUAACGGGUUACACUUUCUCUUCAUUAGUAGCUGAAACAACAAAACUUCCAAUUUUUGCAUUUGGAAACUUACCCGGCUUUCUUCACUCCAAGAGACAAAAAGCUUAGCCACUCAUCCUCUGAGGAAACAUCCUUAGAGUUUGAUUUGUUAGAAAUAAAAAUAACGAGAAAACAAAAAUAUGAAGGAAAAACAGAGCAAGUGCUCUGUAGAAUAUUUUUCUUACUAUCGUCGAUUACAUAUCUGAUAUAUGAUUCCUCUUCUCUUUACAUUGGUUCAAAGAUAUAUAUAGAGAAGAUAUUUUCUAAGAAAUAUCCCAAUAAUAUCUUCGACUGAUUACAAGGAGAAAAUAGAAAUUUACACAAAAUAUCUUGAGAAAAAAUCUAACUUAGUCGGUGGCAAAUAUCUAAGUUUACACAGGUGGAUUUCACAAGUUUGAAUUGUCCAUUUUGCAAGUUGAAUUUGUGAUUUCACAACUUGGAGGUGAUUCCGCAACUUGGAGAUGAUUUGCAACUUGUUUCGUAGCUUGGAGGUGAUUUCGCAACGUGGUUCGCAGCUGCGAAGAUGGAGUUUCAACUUGCGAAGUGGCACACGUGUGCUUGGAGGUGGUUUCGCAGCUGUGAAACACCUUACUAAAUUUCGCAAGUAGAUUUUAUUUCGCAGCUCAUUUCGCAGCUGCGAAAUGGGCUUUGGGCUGUGAAAUUUUCGCAUAGCUUGAUGCAGUUGUCUUCAAACGGCCAUAACUUCUUCAUUUCAACUCCAAUUGACACAUCGUUUGAAGUGUUGGACUCCUGACUUCCUGAGCUUCGAAAAGACAUAUAGUAUGAAUGAAAUGGACUCCAGGAAGUACUCGAAAUGUGUCCAACAGUUGCUGUCCUCUUAAAUUUCUUCAUGUUAGAUUUCUCUCAUUUUCCUCCUUGCAUUCUUGAUUGACUUUGGCAAAGGACUACGAAGCUCCAAAGCUUGGAUUCUUCAUGUAAAUGAGCUUCCAUUUUCUUUGCCAUGGAUUAUAUAAAGCUCUCCCUCAUCUUAGAUUGCUUUGGUGAUCAAAAAGCUAUCAAAAACACCAAAACUUAACACAAUUUGAUUAGAAAUGAUUGCAAGGGUCCUUAACAUGCCAGUUGAGUCAAAAGGUAAUAACUACUACUCAAAAGUGUUUAAAAGAGUUAAUUACAAGCUAUAAAAUAACACUUUUUGAGUAGUAAUCAAUAGGAAGAAGCUUCAGAGGGCGGACACCAUUCCAUUACUAUUCCUAAGGUUGUUGUGCCAGAUAUUGGAGUAUAUGGGCUUUCCUACUAAGCCUCGGCUCAAGCGUCGUCGCCUUUGUCGAGAGCGAUUCACUCUCGACAAAUGAAAUUAGUUGGCGGGAUAUUCUGCACCUCCAGGAGCCCGUCCCAUGGUAUCACCUCCAGUGCCCCCAUAGCCAGAGCAGGGCAAGCUUCUGGCAGAGACUACACCACCAGUGCCCACACCUGAGGCUAUUUCUGCUACUCCCCCUAUGACUCCUACUGUUCCAUCACCAGUCACUCCUACUACAUCCAAGCCUUCCAUCACCAUAUCGGCUUCGAAAUUUCACACCCUUGUGCAUACCUUUUAGACACUGACCACCACACAUGCGGCUCUCUUCCAGUAGAUGGCUGACAUGCGUGCACAUCAGGACCAACAGACUGCUAUACUUCGCCAGAUUCAGCAGCACCUCAGACUUCUACCUCUACCUCAGCCUGAUCUUCUUGCAUCAUCAAAGCCUUUAGCUCCAACUGAGGACACUACCACGGUAGAGGUCCAGAUCCCACCACCUCAAGAGCCCACCACAAAUGCCAUUGCUUCACAUGAUCCUCAGGAUAACCCUCAGACAGUUAACACAAUCACAGCUACACCUGAGAAUGCAUCAUCUCCACCUGAGGCUCCCACUACUUGAUCAUAGGACAUCUCUUUAUCUUAUUGUAUUUACAUAUUAUAUUAGUGGAGAUUUGUCAUUGUUUUGAUGCUUUAUAUUCUGAGACUGGAUGUAUUACCUGAUCAUAUCUCAUAUUGUACUUUCUCAUAUUAGUAUAUAGACAUCAUAUUUUUUAUAUUACUUGGCAUUUUUCUAUUUCCUCUACUCAUUACCUUUUUGUUUUCUGACUCAUGUGGUUUCUCUUAUACAACUUAGACUUCAUUUCACUCAGGAGGUACCACUUUCUCCCUUUAUUUUCAAUUGCUCUUGACACAUUGAGGACAAUGUUGAUCUUGGUUGGGGGAAGAGUUGAGGAAGGAAGUUUUGUUAAUAAUGCUAGGUUAAUUUGUUAAUUUAGUUACUUUUUGCUUAAUUUUAAAAGUUUUUUUACCCUACUCUCCAUGGUUAUUAAGGAAAAAUUCUCAAAAUGAAAUGGGAGAAAUUGAGUUCUUGCAUUUUUACUUGAAUCUUAGAGUUUGUAUUAUGCUUAUUGAAGUUGAUGAAUUAUUGAAAAUCCUAUUGAAUUCAACCUUAUUUCUUCCACUUUAAUCUUACCACACAUUGUGCACAUUAGGUUCCAAUUAUAAGAUGAAAAACUAUCUCACCCCCUGAACUUAGGAAAAUUUUGACUUGGUACCUUUGACCUAAUUUUAAUAGUGUUGGGACACCUUAUAAAAGGCCAAUGAGCCUUAAAAAAAAGAAGAAGAAGAACAAAGUGUUUCACUUGCCUUGAAACCCGAGCAAGGUCCAAGGGGUAUAUAGCGAAAAUCUUUAAAACCCGGUGCCCUAAGCCUUGAUUGGUUGGGAGUCACCGACCUCAAUGCUCGUUACAAGGGUGAAUAGGUGGAGUUUAACAUAUUGUAGGUGCUUAGGUAUUGAAUUUCAAUCUCAAAAGUCCGGGAAAAAAUCUGAGGAGUUAGUGGUCAAAAGAUCCUUAAAGCUUGAUGCCCUAAACUUUGAUUGGUUGGGAGUCAAUGAUAGAUCCCCGUUACAUGGACACUUUAGAAAACAAUUCCUUCAGCAUUGCACUCCUACAAGAAAAAAAUGUGAAAUAAAAGAGGUGCGUUCUUAGCCUAUUGGAGGUUGGUCAGUUUGCUAAAGUUUGAGAAAGAACUAGGUUGGGAGGAGAGAAUAGUUCGACAUACUAUAAUCGGAAACUAAUAAGCUUAACACUUAGAUUUUUGUGUGAGAGUAAGAAUUAGACCUUUGGGAGUGGAAAUUCUUUUGAUGCUUAAAUUUGCAUAAUGCCUACUCUUUAUAAAUUGUGAUUAGGCAAGAAAUUUGAUGACUCUUGUUGAAGGUUGGGUUUUGCCUCUUUGAUAUUCCAUGAGAGAGUAUAAUUCGCAUCAUGCCACUUAAAUUUUUUUUAGAGUAAUCAGCAUGAUAUUGUAAAUUAUUUCACUGUCUAUUUUUCUUUAUCUCUCCUUCAUUGCUAAGGGACUACCAAUGUGUCGGUUGGGGGGAGUGAUUACUACUCAAAAAGUACUCUUUUAUAGCUUGAAACUAACUGUUUUAAACACUUUUGAGUAGUAGUUAAUACAUUUUAACUCAAUUGGCACAUUAAGGAACCUAGCAAGGGUUACUAAUCAGUUUUGACAAGUUUUGGUGUUUUUGGUAGCUAUUUGAUCAUUGAAACAAGCCAAGAAUGAGGGAGAAUUUUGUGAAAUCCAUGGCAAUGCAAGUUGAAGCUCAAAUACAUGAAGAGUCCGAGCUUUGAAACAUUUCAUAGCCCUUUGCCAAGCUUGGCAAUAGGUUGCCAAGCCAAUCAGAGAUGCAAGGAAGAAAACUAAAGGAAAAAGUCCAACAACCAGCAUUUUAGCAUGGCUAUGCGAAAAUUUCGCAUAGCAUGCGAAAUCAAGAGAAAGAGCAGCUGCAGGACUGAGUGAAAGACAAUUUCGCACACCAUGCAAAACCACAAAAAGCAGCCAAAGAAUUUCGUACACCAUGAGAAAUUUCACAUGGUAUGCGAAAUCCUCUUGUGCACCAACUCCGUUAGAUUUUUAUUUCCAGAUAUUUUGUAUAAUUUCCUGUUUUCUCCUUAUAAUCAAGCUAGAUAUUUUCAUAUAUAUCUUUUCUAGUCAUGAAAGAAAUUUAUUCAUGAAACACUUGUAAAAUUCCCGUAGAAGAAAUAUAUAGAGCUUUUGCUCUGCCUUUCCUUCUCAUUUUGUUUUCACUUUUCUUUUUAGCCAAAUAACCUCUGAGGAUGAUUUCUCAGGGGAUGAGUGGCUAGGUUUUAUGUUUCUUGGAGUGAUGGAAGCUAGGUGAAGGACCUGAAUGCAAAGAUGGGAGUUGUCCUUGCUUUAAAUGAAAGUAGUUGUUAACCAUUAAUGGUUUUUAUUUUAAGGUUUAGCUUUAAAUCCCUUAAAAUCACCUUGAAUGGCCAAUACUUGGUAAGCUUUUCAGAUUCUAUGGAUGCUUAUUGCUAGAUCCAUGGAUGUCCAUUAGUUAUCAUUUACGAGCCAUUGGAAGGUGGUUCAAGGUGAGGGUCUUUAGUGUUUGAAGCCAUUAAUGGGAAGCAAUUACCAUUUUUCAUGAAUCCUUUCGAUCAAAUCUUAAUUGCUAAAAAACAAAACCGGUUCGGGAGAUAACCAUCCUUUAUGUUAUUGUCCCCAACGCGAGGAGAAGAUCCAGAAUCUCCCCCUUUGCCUGAGAAACCCGAUCCUAGUGACCUAAAGCUCCAAGAGACCUUUUCUUUAUAGUUAACUUCACUUAUUAUUUUUGCUUAACUUAAAAUCAAUCUUUGCAACCACAAUUCCAUUUUCUUUAAAAGCUAAUUUUCAUAAGGAAAAACACCAUUUUAUUUCCUUCACUAAAAUCAACUGUACGAUGAAAACCCAUCCCUGUGGAUGAUCCUAAAGCCACUAUACUAUGUUAGUUAUGCUACUCUAGUGUAAGGUGAUUUAGGUUUUAUAAUUUUUUUGUUGAUAACACCCGUCUGGGCCAGAAUCAAAUGGCACGACUGCAAUGGGGACAAAUCACAUUGCUGAAAGAAGUGCUUGAGCCGCUCAAGCGUAAACAUUACUUGAGCCACUCAAGCACUAACAUUGUUUGAGCAUUGCAUUUCUUACCUACACUCUCGAGGUUGCUUCUGCACUUUUUUCAACUACCUUAAGCUUUAAAAUCUUGCCUUUUUUUGGUUGAGGAAUAUCCAUUGAACCGCUAUGAUUGGCGAAAUGCUUCCAUGCUCUCUUUGGGUUACAAGAUUGAUUAAAAACCAAAAUUUUACAUAAUCACAAGUCAUAUACUCCUCAAAAUGAGAGUUUAUAGUCAAUCUAGCCAAAAGGAAAAAAACUUUUAUAUCCAAAAAGAAAAUCCUAUGCUCUUAAUCACAAAGCUUACAACCUAAACUAGAAAACAAUAGAUUAAACCAAUAACAAUCAACUAAUCUGAACAUAAUAAUGAUAUUCAUUCAUCCAUUUAGGCCAUGGGAUGAAUAACCAAACUUAAAAAAAAAAAACAAAAAAAAAAACCAUGAGCACCCUCUAGAAUAGAUCUAGCUAACAAGAACAUAACCUGAGGCUCUAAUACCAAUUACCAGGAAUACUAGAUUUCUCUAUUCCCUGUCCCUGGAUCUAGUAGGGUGCAUGCAUCUAUGCUAAGCACCUCUAAAUCUAUUACAAUGGAAACAUAUGGCUACAAAACCAUAUAAAGAUAAAAAUCUAGAGAAAACAAAGCUCAUACCGAAUCUAGAUGUUCCUAGAUCAAUUCCAGAUGGUGAAGAACAUGCUUAAAGGUCUCAUACACUCAAGAUCUUCCACCUGAUGACUCGAACCACAAUCUUGGUACUCCAAAGUGUGGGCUUUGGAAGAGAUGAAGAUAUGACUCUCUCUAUCUUUCUUUAGAGAUGAAAGAUGGAUCUCAUCAAAAAGUGGUGGAAACAUUAACCCCUAAGGGGGUAUUUAUAGGGUUCCCCUACUAAGCUUAAGUGACUUAAGCUCACCAAAGCUUGGGUCACUUAAUCUAACCUAAAACUAGUUCUAAUUGAUUAAUUAACCACAUAGAGUCAUCUAAUUAAUCAAUUAGCCCAAUCUAGAGACCUUGUUCACUAUCUCCUGUGCAACCAUGAAUCAUUACCAAAACAACCUUAUACACAAAAGUGAAUAUUGGCUCUCUUAGAAUUCAAUUCUAAAAUUGAUUCAACAUUCCACUAAAGAUAAUCAAUUGCACUCCAGUACCCUAUGUAAAUAACAACAAAAUGAAGUUUGAGUUCAUGACCUACUAUCCAUUACAUGCAGACUCCCCAUGAAUCGGUAUUUGUAAUUUAACAAGGUAGUAGUAUCACUUAUCAAGAUUACCUCUCCAAUCCUUGAGUUAAAAAUCUCAUUUGGAUCACCCAAGAAGACACAUUGUCUCCAUGAGAUGUCAUGAUGUCUCUAUUGAGAAUACUUGUUGUCACCAGCCUCCAUCAAUAGUGACCCAAUCCAUAAAGAUAUAUAACCACUUUAGGAUCUCACCCACCCACAUGUCCAAUCCUCAUGUUGAUUUUGAGACAGGCUCAAUAUGCUCUCAAGUUUGCAAGUCAAUCCAAUAUAGUAGUUUGUUGAAUCAUGACAAUUAAUAGUCUUGUGUCAUGAUUCAUCAUAGCUCUUUUCUAGUAGGCAUGACAUACACUAGUGCAAACAUCAUAGGAAACUCAUCCCAACAAUCAAGACAAGUAAUCCAUUCCAUUAGGAGAUGGUGUACUACAAUCUCUAAUGGAUUGCACAAAUCUAUGAACCAAUUAUGGACAACUUAUAUAUCUACUUACAAGAAACCCUUGACUUGUAUCUUUUGUGCAACUCCUAAGGCACUCAAGUCAUGUACAAUUUAAGAGAUAUAAACUAAAUGCUCAAAUCAAUGUCAAUACACCAAAGGGAUAACGAUGGGAUAGUCAAGUCUAAUUUUGUUACAUCAUGUCUUACUUUUAGGAUCUCAAUCCCAACAGUAUCACAUGGUAGUAGAAGAUAUAUGUUGAACUUUAUUGAUUAUUACUCUAGAAAGGUCUGGGUAUAUAUAUUCAAACACAAGAAUGAUGUCUUUGGGUAGUUCAAACAAUGGAAAGCUAUGUUCAAGAAGCAAACUAGAAAAUAAAUCAAGCACUUGAGAAUUGACAAUGGUAUGAAAUUUAUAUGGGAAGAGUUUAAUGAGUUUUGCAAGAAUGAAAGUAUUGUGAGACAUUACAUAGUUAGGCAUACUCCACAUAAAAAUGGUGUUGCAAAACAAAUGAAUGGAACUCUUUUAGAGAAAGCAUGAUGCACGCUUUCAAAUGCAGUGUUGUCAAAUGGAAUUUUAGGCUGAAGUGAUAAAUUCUACUUGUUAUCUUGUGAAUAGAUCUCCUUCAAUUCCUAUUAAUUAUAGGACUCCUGAAAAGAGAUGGUCUGGUUCUCUUUCUAAUUAUGGUAAUUUAAGAUUUUUUUUUUUCUUGUCCUACUUAUACUCAUGUAAAUGAAGGUAAGUUGGAACCAAGGAGAAGGAAGUGCAUAUUGUUAGGAUAUGCAGAUGAAGUGAAAGGGUACAAGUUAUGGUGACUAGAGUCAAAAUUCUCUAAAUUUAUAAUUAACAGGGAUGAGACUUUUAAUGAGUUUGAAAUGUUGUAUCCUAGGAAUGAGUAACUUGAUGUAGGAAACAACCCUAGUAUGAGAGAAAAUGUGGAGUUUGUGUCUAAAGCUUUAGAAACCAUAGAAAAAAAAAAUUAAAUAAGGCCAAAAGAGGAAGAAAUGCAACAUCUUAAUGAUAAAGAAAACGCACCAUAAGAGCAACAAUAUUAUUUAGCCAAAGAUAGAACAAAGAGGCAAAUUAAACCACCACAAAGGCAUGCUUAUGUAGAUUUGGUUGUUUAUGCACUUAGUAUGGUAAAGAACAUUAUUGAAAAUGAGGAACCACACACUUAUCAUGAAGUCAUCACUAGUAGAUGGUCUACACAAUGGAAUGUUGCUAUGAAUUAGGAGAUUAAAUCUCUUCAAAAGAACUAUACUUAACAACUAGUUGAGAAACCUAAAAACUCAAAAGAUUGUUGGUUGCAAAUGAUUCUUCAAAGAAAUGAAGGAAUUUCGGGAGUGGAGGAUGCUAGGUUCAAAGCACACUUAGUGGCAAAGGGUCACACACAAAAGGAGGGGGUGGGUUUCAAUGAAGUGUUUUCCCUAGUUGUGAAGCAUAACUCAAUUGGAGUGUUACUUGUUAUGGUUGUUUUAUUUAAUUUAGAAUUGGAGCAACUUGAUGUCAAGACUACUUUUUUACAUGAUAAGUUAGAAGAACAAAUUUAUAUGCAUCAACCUAAGGGAUUCAUUAUUUCGAGAAAAGAAAACCAUGUUUGUUUGCCGAAGAAAUCUCUUUAUGGUUUGAAGCAAUCUCCUAGGCAAUGGUAUAAAAGGUUUGAUACUUUUAUUAUUUGUAAUGGCCACCACAAGAGUGAGUAUGAUAAUUGUGUUCAUCAUAAGGAAUUGUUUGAUUAUUCUUUCAUUUAUUUAUUGUUAUAUGUUGAUGAUAUGUUAAUUUUCUACAAGAAUAUGUGAUAACCCGACUCUUGGUAGCUUGGCAUGUAAGGGUAUCAACAAAAUUUACACCUAAGGUCCUUACACUAAAGUAGCAAAGCUACUAUAGCAUAGUGGCUCUAGGAUCGAACACUGGGAAGGGUUUUUACUUUAACUGGUGAAGUUCGGAGGAUGGAGUGAACUUUUCUUAAUAAAAAUUAGGUUAAGAUGAAAACAUAAAAAGAUGAAGGCGUUGUAAACUAAACUAACAUGAAAAUAGGUUAAAAGAUGGAAAAAGAAGUUUCUCAAAGCUUUGGAUAGCCAUGCUUAACUCACUGUGUAAAAAUGGAGAUUUUGGGACUCUUCACCUCGAGUUGGGGAAGCAACUAAGGUGAUGCUUACUUCCCGAACCGGUAUGAGUUUAACAACUGAGUUUUAGUCCUUGAAAACUUACAAAAAGGGUAGCUGAACCUCAUAAAUGCUCUUUUAUUAGUAUAGGUCAUCUCCUCGACUUGCAAUACAAUGGCUCGUAGGAGAUAAUUAAUGAACGUCAGUGGAUCUAACAAUAAGAAUCCACUGAGACCAAAAGGUUAUCAAGUAUUGGCCAUUCAAAGCAAGUUAGAGGGAUUAAAAGCUUUACUUUGAAUGAAAACAUUUAUGACGCUUAGCUACUUACAUUUAUGGCUUGGAAAUCUUCAUCGUGACACGGGAGCUUCACAUGGCAUCCAUUACUUCAAGAAACUAAAAGGAUUUAGCCUUUCAUCCUUGGGGAUUUCAUCCUCCAAGGAUGUUUGGCUACUAAGAAAAUGAGAAAGAAAAGAGAAAAGAAGCGUAUGAACAGAAGUGCUCUUAUAACUUAUAAAGUUACAGGUUACAAGAUGAUCGUGUCUGAGGCUCUUCACCUCUAUUUAAAGACAAUAAAAAGCUAAAUUACAAGAGCUAUUACAAAAGCAACCUUUUCAUUGGUUGAUUACAAGGGUAAAAUAGAUUUUUACAAAGCUAAAAGUCAAGCAAAAUAUCUUGGAGAACCGGCAGUGGAAUAUCAUCAACAGCGUCUCAAAACAGGGGAUUUCAAAGGCAUUUCGCAAAGGGGGGGAGGGGGAGGGGAAGAUGAAAGGUCCAAAUUUUGCAAGGUGCCUAAAUCCAGCUUGCGAAAUUUCGCAAGGUGGUUUCUUCAUGGUGCGAAAUGGCCAAAUUUCGCACCAUGAGGAAAAUCCCCUUGCGAAAUUUUGGCAAGGCGAAAUUCACCUUGCGAAAUGGUGUUCCCAUUGCUUGUGCUCGUGUUUCCACUUGAAAUUCAAGCCUGUAAACGUCCAAAAUCCUUGCUUAACUCACCCAAGUAGCUCCUCCAUCAAUUGGUAUGCUUGAAUUGGUUCAUAAGCUGAUGAAAAACAUGUAAACUUGCCACUAAAAAUGGUUAGAACUAAUUACUAAGGAGCUUAAUGAAUUAAUUGGGUUAAAUGAAUAUGAUUACUACACAAAGGUGCUUAAAACCCUUAUAAUUAGGUCUACAAAAUAGCACUUUUUGGUAGUAAUCACACCCCCCAACCGACUCAUUGCUAGUCCCUUAGCAAUGGAGGAGAUAAAAACUAAGCAAACAUAAUAAUAUACAUAAAAGAGGUCAUGCAAAUCACUCCAAAAAAUAAUUGAGUGGCAUGACUGAUAUCAAAACACAUCUCACAUGGUGAACUAAAGAUAUGAAGAUUCAAAAUGCAAUAGGAGUUGUCAAAGCUAAAACUUAAACAAAAAGUACAAAGAGUGGAGAUUAUGCAAUUAAGUAUCAAAAGAAUCUCUACUCUCAAGGUUCCGAAUCAAACUCUUCCAUAAUGAGCUAAGUGUUAAUGAGAUUAGCUUCCAGAUAUAGUAUGUACAACUAUCCUCUCCCCCCAACCUAAGCUUUUCUCGAACUUUGGCAAAAUUAACCAACUCUUAAUAGGUUAGGAACGCACCUUCUUAUUCACAAUUCUUUUUAUUCACUAAACUUAACCAAUUCACCUAUGUAGCAAGCAGAGGAUCGAUGACUCCCAACCAAUCAGGGUUUAGGGCAUCGGGUUUUAAAGGCUUUCGCCACCCAUUCGGAUCAUGCUUAGGUUUCAAGGAAAGAAUAGAAGCUUAUUCUCUUUUUUUUUUUUUUUUUUUUUUUUUUUUAAGACUCAUUGGUCUUUUUGAGGUGUCCCAACACUAUUAAAAAGAGGUUAAGUAAUGAACCAAGUCAAAAUUUUCCUAAGCUUAAAGGGUGAGAAAGUUUUACAUCAUAUAUCCGAGAUCUAAUGUGCACGGUGUGUGUAAAGCUUGAAAUGGAAGAAAAAAGUUCGAAAUCAAAGAGGGUUUCAAUAGAUUAUCAACUUUGAAAGCAUAAAACAAACUCUAAGACUUAAGUAAUUAAGUUAAAACUCGACUUAUCCUAUUUUAUUUUGAGAAAUUAUCUUUAACAACCAUAGAGAAUGAAACAAAAAUUUUUGAAAAAGGUCAAAAACUACUAAAUCAACAAAAUAACUAACUAAAAUAGGAAAUACUUACUUCCUCAACUCUCCCCCCAACCGAGAUGAACAUUGUCCCCAAUGUUUCUAUCGAAAAAGACGAGGAAGGAAUGAUAUACCUUAUGGUGAUGUGGUAUUCAAGGCGUGUGAGUGCAUCCACAUGAUUCAAAAACCAUAAGAAACGUGAGAGAGGAAAUAAGAUACAAAAAAUGAUGCUUAUAUAAACUGAGAGAGUUGAGUACAAGAUAUAAGCAUGAGGUACAUACAAUCUCAGAAUAUAAAACAUGUAUCAUAUACAAAAUGGAGAUAGAAAUAUCCAAUCAUGGAUGUGGCUCCUGAGGUGGAGGAGGUGAUAUGCCCAGGUGAUGGUGGAUCUGAGAGAGCAUGGCGGAGUGCUGGUCCAGGAUAGCUGUAUGCUGAGCCUGAAUAGAUGUAUGCUGAGCCUGAUGUGUCUGUAUGGUAUCCAUCUGUCGUCUGAUGGCCUGCAUCUCACGGACUAAGGUGGCCUGAGAGGUGCUCAAUGAGUGAAAGGACGACAUGAGAGCUCUGAACUCUGUAGCGGAGACAGCAAUGGAUGGCCCGGCUGAAGACUCAGCAUAGGCUGGAGCAGGAGUGACUGGUGGUGUGGGAGUAUCAGUAGUGCAAGUCACUAGAGCAGGUACUGAAGAAGAAGGCUCUGUGGUAUGUGGGUCCUGCUCUGGUGAUGUCUGUGCUGUAGGUGCUGAGGUUGCUGGAGAAUCGGGAGGCGCUGGAGAAGCUGGAGGCGCGGGAGCUAAUGGUCUAGGGAUACCCUAGUCCAUGGGUGAGAGGUCUAAGAAAUGGGUCCAACUCUCACUGGUAAAGAGCUCUCGACAAUGAUGACGACGCUCUAGAUGGGGCUGAGAAGGGUAUCCCAUAUCCUCUAAGACCUGAGAGAUCAGCCUUGGAAAUAAGAGUGGAAUAGUACCAGCUCUGUGUAGGCGCUUCCUAUGCACCUUCUCCUCAAAAUAGGUAAGAGUAGCCAUGACUAGAUGGUGGGGUCCAAAGUAGAAUCCCUCAGAGAUGCGGUAAAGCGCAUCUAAGAUAGCACCUCUCCUCUGGACGACAUGCUGGAGGGGAAAAAGAUUGGUGCGGAGCACCAAAUCGAUAAGUAACAUCUGUGGAGGAAGCUCCCUCCUCAAAAUGGUCCUACCAGUGACUCUACCUCCUGAUAAGGUAGACACCAUGUCGGGCUCUGAAUACUGAGACCAAUGCCGGAAGGAACCAAGGUCCUCAAGGAUAGGCGGAAAAUGCAUAGCGGCGGCUAUAUCUCGGGCCUCUAAAAUACCAUGCUGGCCAUCAAUAAAAAAAUGAAUGGCUAUGGGGUCCGGACGCCUCUAGUAGUCAUAGUCUGGUAGAAAUCUAAGACUACCCUAGGGUAAUAGAAGGACCUAGGAGUCAUAAAUGGCUCGAUGUGGUACCUCUACAGAAGGCGGUAUGACUCCUCUAGCUCUGGUAAUAGGCGGAGAGUCUCAUGCUCCAUACAGAUCUCGUAGUGAAAUGGCCUAUCUCUGAUAUCCGUGUUGCCUGGGAGGGGUGGCCCUACUAUCAUAGGCCGCUUGAGGACCUCUGCUAGGUGUGAAGGGCCUGGGAUAGUAGAUAUUGGAGGUGAUGGAGGGGCUCUGGAGGACUCGCCUGGUCCUGAAAUCCUAGUCCUCUUAGGUGAAAGACUGCUCACAAGGGGUGGCAUUGGUGCCCUGGAAGACCCAGAUGAUCGUCUGGUCCCGUACCCGUGCUGAGUAGAGGGAACUGGGGUCUGGGCAGGCUGAGAUGGUGUAGAACGACCACCUCUCUGUGAGUGGGCCCCACGCUGACUAGCUGAAGAGGAUGCCCCCCGUGUCUGUGCCAUGGUAUAAAUACUGAAAUAAGACUGAAAAGCACGAAAAAUAGAGCAUCCCUGAUUACUACCAAAAAGUGCUAUUUUGUAGACCUAAUCAUAAUGGUUUUAAGCACCUUUGAGUAGUAAUCAUAUUCAUUUAACCCAAUUAAUUCAUUAAGGUCCUUAGUAAUUGGUUCUAACCAUUUUGUGGUAAGUUUUGGUGCUUUUUGAUAGCUUUUUGCUCACCAAAGCAAUCCAAGAAUGAGGGAGAGCUGUAUAUAGUUCAUGGCAAAGCUUUUGAAAGCUCAAAUUCAUGAAGAAACCAAGCUUUGGAGCUCAAUAACCCUUUUCCAAAGUCGUUCAAAGUAUGCAAGGAAAGAACAAACGGAGAGAGGAAAACAGAGUAAGGAAAAUAGGGGACAGCAACUGCAGCCUUCCUUCGCACUUUUAGAGCACUUUCCGAAGUUCAUUUUCUACAUGCUAUAUACCAUUUCAAAGCUCAGGAAGUCAAGAAUCUAAAGCUUCAAACCGUGUACGAUUUGGAGCUGAAAUGAGGAAGAUAUGGCCUUAGGAAGACAACUGCAUCAAGCUAAAGGACAAUUUCGCACCUUGCGAAAUUGGAACUCCAACGUGCGAAAUUUAAAGUGGAUGGCAGCUGUGUAGUUGCGGUGAAGCCCAGCAUGCGAAGUUGAUUUUGCAACUUGUGGACUUGGAUCUCAACAUGAGAAAGUGAAUUCUAAGUUGCGAAAUCAACUUGCGAAAUUUUCGCAAGUCACCAUGCAACGUGCGAAACUGGGAUAUUUAUGCCGACUCUUUUUCUUCUGAUAUUUUUGUGUCUAAAUUUCCAUUUUCUCCUUGUAUUCAGCCACUCAUGUAAUUCCUUAGCUAUGAAGUAUCCAAGGAAGGGUAAAUUACCUUCCUAUAUAAACUCUCUUGUAAACACUGAAAAAAGGACUCUCGGGGAGCUUUUUCCAAGAGACCAACUUAUGUAAAUUUUACACUUAGUGAAAUACAGAGAUCUCUUUUGCUUUCUUUUUCUCUCUACUAUUUUCUUUUUCUUGGAAGCCAAACAGCCUCUGAGGAUGUUUUCCCAGGGGAUGAGAGGCUAAACUUAUAGUUUCUUGGAGUGAAGGAAGCUAGGUGAAAAGUCCAGAUGAAAAGGUGGAAAGCUUCCGUGCAUUAAAUUCAGGUAGUUGGAGUUCAUAAAUGGCUUCUAAAUCCAAAGUUUUGCUUUAAAUCCCUUAGAAUCACUUUGAACGGCCAAUACAUGGUAAGCUUCAGGUCUCUGUGGAUGCUUAUUGCUAGAUCCAUAUCAGUCCAUUAGUUAUCAUGUACGAGCCAUUGGAAAGUGGUUCAAGGUGAAGACCCAUAGUGUCUUAAGCCAUUAAUGGACCUUGACUAUCAUUUCUAUUGACUUUUUAUAGAUUAAAUCUUCAUUGUUAAACCUAUACCGGUUCGGGAAAUAACUAUAGGUUAAAUCCCCAAUGCGAGGAGAAAAAUCCGGAAUUUCCACUUUGCAUUCUGAACUUGAUCCUAGCAACCCUUAGCUCCGGGAGACUUUCUUUCUUCCAUUUUUACUUAGUUCUAUGUUAGUUUAAUUUCAGUCACCACUUGCAAAACAAAUUUUAUUUUCUUUUAAACUUCAAGUUUAUGAUAAAGGAAAUCAUCAGACUCAAUUUCUAAUCUAGAGUCUGUCACUGAUAGAGUGAAAACCCAUCCCUGAGUUCGACCCUAGAGCUGCUAUACUAUAGUAGCUUUGCUACGCCAGUAUAAGGUCAUAGGAUUUAUAAAUAUUUUUUUAUUAAAAGACCCGACGGGGUAUGAAUAAAUCCCAGGGGUAAAGUGUCAAAAAUAUAGUUGAAAUGGUAACCAGUGCAAAAUUUGCAAGGCAUGAAUAGUGGUUGCUAAAUUUGGCAACGGGCACUAUUCACGCAACACUAAUCACAGGCACUAUUCAUCUUCUUUUCCAAUGCUUACUUUGAAUUUGAGUUUUCAUUUUUAACGGUUUAAAGUUCAGAAAAAGGGUAUGGUUUUAAUGGAAACAUGAUUCUAAAUGCAAUGGAGUAAGUUUGGGAGCCUAAAACACAUUGCAAGAUAGAGAUUUUUGCAAAAAUGGUGGCCGGCCAUGUGGGUCUUUGAUUUGAAAAAAUGGAUUUUUGAAAUGGUUUUAAUGGAUGAAAAUGCAUGUUUAUGGUCCCUUAAACAUUGAAAUGACAUAAACAAGCAAUUUAAGGAGCCAAAAAUGGAGAAAAAUGAAAAAUUAUUCACCUUGGAACAAUGAAGCACGCGGCCUAGAGAGGAAAUGCAAGGGGAAUAGUGUUUUAUGCAUGAAAAAUGAAGUUGAGAAGGCUUUAAAAAGGGUUUUUGGCCAUGAAUUUUUUUUUGAAAAUUUGUCUAAGUACGGGGAUGAACUGAGGAGUGUUAAAACUACAAAAUUGAAGUUUGAAAAUGAAUUUAAAAAGAAUCAAAUCCUUGGUAAGCAUGAAGAAAAAAUUUCGCAAGGUGAAAAUUCACCUUGCCAAAUUUUCGCACUGGCUACUCCCCUUAAAAACCAAUUCCGAGAGGUUGUAAAUUGCAUCUUGCCAAAAUGUGCAUUUCGCAAGGUGAAAAUUGACUUGCGAAAAUUUUCGCACUGGUUACUCCUUGCGAAAGUGCAAUCCCAGCGAAAGUGCAAUCCCGAGAGGUCGUAAAUUGCAUCUUGCCAAAAUGUGCAUUUUGCAAGGUGAAAUUCACCUUGCCAAAUUUUCGCAACUCACUUUUUGAGUUGCGAAAUGGGCUUUUAAGCUUGGACUUAGAUAUAUUUCUCCCCUAUUUCACCUUUCUCUCCACAUUUAUGAGCUUGUGAGCUUUUGUACCUGCUAUUGGACAUCAAAGCUCCAUUAAAAACAUUAAAAAAUCAAAAUCAAAACUAAGAAACCUAAACAAAAUAUGUGCAAAAGUAUUAAAAAUGCAAAGUAAACAAGAAUGUAAUACUAAAAUUAAAACAAAAAGAGAUGAGCACUUAACUUUUCAUGCUAAGCUCAUCAACUUACCACACUUUCUCAAGGAUGUGAUGGGUCAUGGAGGAUGAGUACCUCCUUGUCACGGGAAAAUGGCUCGAUGUAGGGUUUGAGUCUUUGCCCAUUUACCUUGAAGAUCUUUGCACUUUUUGAAUUGAGUAACUCAAUUACUCCAUGUGAGUGUACUUGGUGGAUGACAAAAGGCCCUACCCACCUUGAUUUGAGCUUUCCCGGAAAUAUGUGAAGCUUAGAGUCAUAUAGCAAGACUCUUUGUCCCUUGAAAAAUUCUUUCUUGGUCACCAACUGAUCAUGCCAUCUCUUUAGCUUUUCCUUAGCUAUUUUUGAGUUGAGAUAGGCAUCAUUUCUCAAUUCCUCAAGCUCAUUCAAAUCCAAACUCCUCUUUAGCCUAGCCUUUGUUAAAUCCAUGUUGAGCUUUUUAAUGGCCCACCAUGCCUUGAACUCAAUCUCAACGGGAAGAUGGCAAGCUUUGCCAUAAACAAGACAGUACGGUGACAUCCCAAGGAUAGUCUUAUAAGUCGUCCUAUACGCCCAUAGGGAAUCAAGGAGCUUAAACAAACCAAUCUUUCUUAUUGGUGUUCACCACCUUCAUCAAGAUGUUCUUAAUUUCCCGGUUGGCUAGCUCUACUUGGCCACUCGUCUGAGGAUGAUAAGGUGUAGCUACCUUAUGCUUAAUUCCGUACUUGGCCAAAAGAGCUUCAAAGGGCUUGUUGCACAAGUGAGUGCCUCCAUCACUGAUGAUUGCUUUAGGCACUCCAAACCUCGAGAAGAUGUUUUCUUUUAGGAACUUGAGAACCACUUUGUGAUCAUUGGUUCCACAGGGUAUAGCUUCAACCCACUUUGAAACAUAAUCAACUCCUACCAAGAUGUAGGAGUGGCCAAAAGACAUAGGGAAAGGUCCCAUGAAGUCUAUGCCCCAAACAUAAAAAAGAUCCACUAUCAAGAUGGGGUUCAAAGGCAUCAUGUUUCUCCUUGAAAGCUUGCCUAGUCUUUGGCACUUAUCACAUCCUUUACUUACCUCAUGGGCAUCCUUAAAAAGUGAGGGCCACCAAAAGCCCGAUUGAAGAACUCUCAUUGCCGUCUUUUGAGAGGCAAAGUGGCCUCCACAUGCAUUCCCAUGGCAAUGAGAUAGGAUCCCAUGCUUCUCUUUUUCAGGCACACACUUCCUUAUAAUUUGGUCUGCACAAUACUUGAAGAGAAAAGGCUCCUCCCAAUAAUAUGCAUGGACCUUGGCAAAGAAAUUCUUCUUGUCCUGAGAGCUCCAUUCACUUGGUAUUUCUCCCGUGACCAAGUAAUUGGCAAUGUGUGCAAACCAUGGCACUUCCUCCACAAGCAUCAAGGAUUCCUCAGGGAAAUCAUCAUUUAUGGGAAGUCCAUGGGUGUCAUGAGCGAUGUUGAGCCUUAACAAGUGGUCAGCUACCACAUUCUCAAUACCUUUCUUAUCUCUGAUCUGGAGGUUGAACUCUUGAAGCAAAAGUAUCCACCUAAUCAACCUAGCCUUGGCAUCUUGCUUGGUUAGCAAAUACUUCAAAGCUGAAUGAUCCGUGAAUACCACAAUGGAAGACCCUAUCAAAUAAGCUCUGAACUUAUCCAAAGCAUACACCACAGCAAGUAAUUCCUUCUCAGUGGUGGUGUAAUUCCUUUGAGCAUCAUUCAAAGACUUGCUUGCAUAGUAGAUCACAUAAGGUUUACCAUCUUCUCUUUGUCCCAAAACAGCCCCAAUGGCAUAAUCACUUGAGUCACACAUCACUUCAAAUGGCAACUCCCAAUUUGGUGCUCUCAUAAUGGGCGCUGAUGUCAAGAAUUGCUUAAGAAGCUCAAAACUCCUUUGACAUUUAUCAUCCCACUCAAACUUGGCAUCCUUCACCAAUAAUUCACAAAGAGGUUUGGCAAUCUUGGAAAAAUCCUUUAUAAACCUCCUAUAGAACCCGGCAUGCCCAAGGAAUUGCCUUAUUCCUUUUACAUUGGUGGGAGGUGGCAACUUCACAAUUAGUUCCGCCUUAGCUCUAUCUACCUCUAUACCCUUCUUUGAGAUUACGUGCCCAAGAACAAUACCUUGAUUUACCAUAAAAUGGCACUUCUCCCAAUUGAGUACUAGGUCUUUCUCUAUGCAUCUUUUCAAAACAUCUUCAAGAUGUGACAAACAAUCCUCAAAAGAAGUCCCAUACACAGUUAUGUCAUCCAUGAAGACUUCCAUGAUUCGUUCAACCAUGUCACUGAAGAUGCUAAGCAUGCAUCUUUUGAAGGUAGCAGGAGCGUUGCAUAAUCCAAAAGGCAUCCGCCUAUAAGCAUAGGUGUCGAAUGGACAAGUGAAGGUAGUCUUCUCCUGGUCCUCCACAUCAAUCUCUAUUUGAAAAUACCCGGAAUACCCAUCCAAGAAGCAAUAAAAAGGAUGCCCAGAUACUCUCUCAAGGACUUGAUCCAUGAAAGGUAAAGGGAAGUGAUCCUUUCUCGUUACUGUGUUCAACUUCCUGUAGUCAAUGCACACCCUCCAACCAGUUGUGAGGUGUGUGGACACUUCAUCUCCAUUUUCCCCCUUGACUACGGUUAUCCCGGACUUCUUUGGAACAACUUGGGUUGGACUCACCCAAGUGCUAUCUGAAAUGGGGUAAAUGAUGCCCGCUUGAAGAAGCUUCAACACUUCAGCCCUUACUACCUCUUGCAUAUGAGGAUUCAAUCUCCUCUGUGGCUGACGAGUUGGCUUAGCUCCCUCCUCCAUAUAAAUAUGGUGCGUGCAAAUCAAUGGGCUUAUCCCCUUCAAAUCAGAAAUUUGCCAUCCGAUGGCCUUCUUGUGCUUUCUAAGGAUUCUUAGAAGAUUGUCCUCUUGUGAAACGGUUAAAGAAGAAGAAAUUACCACUGGGGCUUUAUUGCCUUCCUCCAAGUAAGCAUACUUCAACUCGGCAGGAAGGGUCUUCAAUUCAAGCUUAAGGAUUGCAUCCUUAGCUUCUUUCAUCUCUUCCUCAUCCUUGAACAAAGGGAGGAUCACUGGCUUUUGUCUCCAGUUUGACAUAACAGCAUUCAUUCCCAUGGGUUCAGCUAACCCAUCAUUAAGAUCUUCAUGGAUUUCAUCUGGAUUCUCUUCAAACUAAUCAAGCAUACUCUGAUUACAAUGCUCCUCCACCAGGGUAUCUAUCAUACACACUUCUUCUAGGCCCUCAUCUUCUUCAGGAUGGAUGUGCUUUUGACAUAGAUGGAAGAUGUUGAGUUCCAAUGUCAUAUUCCCAAAAGUGAGUUGCAUGACCCCGUUCCUACAAUUGAUGAUUGCAUUGGAUGUUGCAAGGAAUGGUCUUCCAAGGAUGAUUGGAACAUAGUUGAUCCCUUUGACAAUGGGAUCCGUAUCAAGCACCACAAAAUCUACUGGAUAGUAGAAUUUGUCAACUUGAACCAAUACAUCCUCUAUUACCCCCCUGGGGAUUUUCACUGAUCGGUCAGCUAAGGAUAGGGUGAUCGAUGUUGGCUUGAGUUCUCCCAACCCCAGGUCCUUGUAUAUAGAGUAUGGAAGCAAGUUAACACUUGCCCCCAAAUCAAGCAAUGCCUUCUCCACUUGGGUUCCUCCAAUAUUGACUGAGAUUGUAGGACACCCCGGAUCUUUGUAUUUGAUUGGAGAGUUGCAUUAGAUUAUAGCACUCACUUGCUCGGUUAGGAAGGCUUGCUUUGUAACAUUGAGUCCUCUUUUCACAGUGCACAAGUCCUUCAAAAACUUUGCAUAUGUGGGUACUUGCUUGAUCAUAUCAAGUAAAGGAAUAUUCACCUUCACUUGUCUUAGCACAUCAAGAAUCUCAGAAGCAUUCUUGAUUGGUUUCUUCCCACGCAAGGCUUGAGGAAAUGGAGGAGGCAUGUGCUUCUUCAUCAUGCCUUCCUUUAAAAGAAUUUGAGGUUCCUCAUCCAUGCUAGGAAUGAUGCUUUCUUUCAUCUGAACUUCCUUACCCUUUUGUUCUUUCUUCUUUUCUUCUUUUCUAUCAGCCUUGUCUUCGUUGGCUUUCCUCUGAUCAUGCUCCGGCUGAUGCACUUCCUUACCACUUCUCAAAGUGAUAAUAGCUUGCACGUCCCUCACCUUUGAAGAAUCCUCAUCUUUAGAUUCCACUUCAUGUAUCCCCUUAGGAUUUUGGUGAGGCUGAGAGGGAAACUUCCCUUUCUCAUUGACAGUGUUCAAAUUUGUAAGCCUUGAGAUGGAAUAUUGGAUGUUGUCAAUUUUCUGAGACAACUCAUUAUGCAUCCCAUCUAUCUUCUUGUUCAAUGUACUCUCUACGUUGUCAAUCUUCUGAUUUAGUUGAGAGUUGAUGGAUUUUUGGUCACUCACAAAGUCACCCAUAACCUUGCUAAGGCUUAUGAGUGCUUGCUCAACUGAGGAUUGACCUUGACUCUGUUGGCUUGAUUGGGCUGGUGACUGAUAUGGGUUUGGCCUUGGCUUCCAUGCAAAUUUUGGGUGGUUCCUCCAGCUAGAGUUGUACGUGUUGCCAUAGGGAGCAUUUGAAUUUGGCUUCCAUUGGCCAAUCAGGUUAGCUUGUUCCUCGAACAUUUCUCUUGCUGCUGGAAUGGUGGGACAUUCUUCCACCAUAUGUUCAAAUGACUAACAGAUGGAGCAAGGAUUGGCUUGUUGUUGAGGUUCUGAAAUAGCUUGGACUUCGUGAACUUUUCUCAACUCCAUUUCCUCCAUUUUUCUAGCCAUGGCAGCUACCUUGGCUUUCAUCUCCAUGUCUUCACUCAGAUUGUACAUCCCCCCUCUUGACAUUUGCUGAACUGGCCUCUUCCCCAUUUCUCUGUUAUUGGGCUCAUCCCAUCCACGGGAAACCUCUGAGACAUAACUUAGGAAAUCCAUAGCCUCCUCAGGGUUCUUGCUCAUGAAAUCACCCCCACACAUUGUCUCCAAUAUCUGCUUCAUUGAAGAUGACAUGCCAUCAUAAAAAUAGCUCACCAACAGCCAUGUAUCAAAGCCGUGGUGAGGACAUGCAUUGAUGGCCUCCAUAUACCUCUCCCAGUAUUCAUAAAAUUUUUCAUUCUCACGUGCUGAGAAGUUGGAGAUUUGUCUCUUCAAUCCAUUUGUUCUAUGAGUAGGGAAAAACUUCUUCAAAAAAUCAGCUUGAAGUUCUGUCCAUGUUCUUAUGCUUCUCGGCCUCAAGGAAUUGAGCCAUAUCUGGGCUUUGUCCUUUAAUGUGAAUGGAAAGAGCUUCAACCUCAUAAGCUCAAUAGCUGUUCCCCCUUCUUGAAAAGUAUUGCACACAUCUUCGAAUUCCUUUAUGUGCGCAUAUGGAUUUUCACUUUCCAUCCCAUGGAAAGUAGGAAGCAGAGGCACGAUGUGUGGCCUGAUAAUCAAUUGCUUUGUAGGAGGAAUGAUGCAAGAUGGUGCACUCAUCCUCGGAGGGUGCAUCCUGUCCCUCAUGGACCUAUACAAGUUCGGAUCAUUCUACUGCCCGUGUUGUGAAUGUUGAUCCUCUGGCUGAUUCUCCAUGACUUCCAAAAUAAUCUCUAAUUCAGUAGCUCGUGGAGUCUCUAUCCGCACUAACCUUCCCUCUUGGUCUCUAAUCCAAUAGGGCAUGCACGGAUUCAGCUGGAACAAAACAAAUAAACAAAACAAAGAAAAAGAAAAAAAAAACAGAGCAUGCGGAAGGAAAAACAAAGUAUGAAAAAUAAACUAAAAAUGAAAGUUAAAAGCUAAAAGAAACUUAUCUAAACUAAGUUAAAAAUGUUCUAAAACUAAAAUAAAAAGUUAGUAAAUGAAAAAUGAGAUAGAAUUCACCUCACUCAUGAGAAGUCUCACAAGUUACCUCCGGCUGAUCUAUUCACAGUGAAGUAGCACCCCUCCUCGGCAACGGCGCUAUUUGAUAACCCGACUCUUGGUAGCUUGGCAUGUAAGGGUAUCAACAAAAUUUAUACCUAAGGUCCUUACACUAAAGUAGCAAAGCUAUUAUAGCAUAGUGGCUCUAGGAUCGAACACUGGGAAGGGUUUUUACUUUAACUGGUGAAGUUCGGAGGAUGGAGUGAACUUUUCUUAAUAAAAAUUAGGUUAAGAUGAAAACAUAAAAAGAUGAAGGCGUUGUAAACUAAACUAACAUGAAACUAGGUUAAAAGAUGGAAAAAGAAGUUUCUCAGAGCUUUGGAUAGCCAUGCUUAACUCAUUGUGUAAAAAUGGAGAUUUUGGGACUCUUCACCUUGAGUUGGGGAAGCAACUAAGGUGAUGCUUACUUCCCGAACCGGUAUGAGUUUAACAACUGAGUUUUAGUCCUUGAAAACUUACAAAAAGGGUAGCUGAACCUCAUAAAUGCUCUUUUAUUGGUAUAGGUCAUCUCCUCGACUUGCAAUACAAUGGCUUGUAGGAGAUAAUUAAUGAACGUCAGUGGAUCUAACAAUAAGAAUCCACUGAGACCAAAAGGUUAUCAAGUAUUGGCCAUUCAAAGCAAGUCAGAGGGAUUAAAAGCUUUACUUUGAAUGAAACAUUUAUGACGCUCAGCUACUUACAUUUAUGGCUUGGAAAUCUCCAUCCUGACACGGGAGCUUCACAUGGCAUCCAUUACUUCAAGAAACUAAAAGGUUUUAGCCUUUCAUCCUUGGGGAUUUCAUCCUCCAAGGAUGUUUGGCUACUAAGAAAAUGAGAAAGAAAAGAGAAAAGAAGCGUAUGAACAAAAGUGCUCUUAUAACUUAUAAAGUUACAGGUUACAAGAUGAUCGUGUCUGAGGCUCUUCACCUCUAUUUAAAGACAAUAAAAAGCUAAAUUACAAGAGCUAUUACAAAAACAACCUUUUCAUUGGUUGAUUACAAGGGUAAAAUAGGUAUUUACAAAGCUAAAAGUCAAGCAAAAUAUCUUGGAGAACCGACAGUGGAAUAUCAUCAACAGCGUCUCAAAACAAGGGAUUUCAAAGGCAUUUCGCAAAGGGGGGGAAGAUGAAAGGUCCAAAUUUCGCAAGGUGCCUAAGUCCACCUUGCGAAAUUUCGCAAGGUAGUUCUUCAUGGUGCGAAAUGGCCAAAUUUCGCACCAUGAGGAAAAUCCCCUUGCGAAAUUUUGGCAAGGCGAAAUUCACCUUGCGAAAUGGUGUUCCCAUUGCUUGUGCUCGUGUUUCCACUUGAAAUUCAAGCCUGUAAACGUCCAAAAUCCUUGCUUGACUCGCCCAAGUAGCUCCUCCAUCAAUUGGUAUGCUUGAAUUGGUUCAUAAGCUGAUGAAAAACAUGUAAACUUGCCACUAAAAAUGGUUAGAACUAAUUACUAAGCAGCUUAAUGAAUUAAUUGGGUUAAAUGAAUGUGAUUACUACACAAAGGUGCUUAAAACCCUUAUAAUUAGGUCUACAAAAUAGCACUUUUCGGUAGUAAUCAAUAUGUCUGAGAUUAACAAGUUGAAAACUCAACUUCAAGGAGAGUUUGAAAUAAAAGACCUUGGAGUUGGGAAGAAAAUAUUAGGUAUGAAGAUUCAUAGAGACCGAGAAGUAUGGCAAUUGUACUUAUCAUAGAAAAAGUAUAUUGAGAUAGUGUUGGAACAGUUUGGAAUGCAAGGGUAAAAACCAAUGAGUACUCAACCAGCAACUCACUUCAAACUUUCAAGUUCUUUAUUACCAUAGACCAAAGAAGAAAUGGAGUACAUGUCACAUGUUCCAUAUGCUAGUGCAAUUGAUAGCAUUAUGUAUGUCAUGGUUUGCACUAGGCCAAACAUUUCACAUGUAGUUAGUGUGGUAAGUAGAUAUAUGGAUCACCUUAGAAAGAUCCAUUGGGAAGCAAUGAAUGGAUACCUUGGUACUUGAGAGGAACAUCACAUAUUGACUUAGUAUAUGAUAAAAGUAGUGACAUCUCUGAGGAAAUCGGUGGUUAUGUUGAUUCUGAUUAUUCUAGAGAUUUGGAUAGAAGAAGAUUUUUAAUAGGGUAUGUAUUCACUUUAUGUGGUAGUGUUAGUAGUUGUAAAGCAACUUUGUAAUCUACAAUUGUUUUAUCAACCACUAACGUAGAAUACAUGGUGGUCACAGAAGCAGUGAAAGAAAUUAUUUGCCUUAAGGGUUUGGUUGGUGAUUUAAGCUUACAAUAGGAGUUGAUUGUUAUGUAUUGUGAUAACCAAAGUACCAUAUUUGACUAAAAAUCAAAUGUUCCAUGAGAUGAGCAACCAUAUUGAUGUCAAUGCAUUUUAUUAUGGAUGUGAUCGCAUAGGGUGCUAUUAUAGUGAAAAAAAAAUCCUUAUAGUGGAUAAUCUCAUAGAUAUGAUGACUAAGUCCAUUUCUAUAGUUAAGUUUAUGCAUUGCUUAGACUUGGUGUUAAUAGUAUCUAAAGGCCCUUUUCAGGUGUGAGGUCGAAGUAACAUGGAAGACUUUUGAGUUUUUUUUUUUUUUUUUUUUUUUUUAAUCUUGAGAAUUUGAGCCAAGGUGGAGAUUGUUGAAAAAUAUUUCAAAUUCUAUUUUUGAGUCAAUUGGACAAUUGUAGAUAGUUUUCUAAUAGAAAAUAUUCUUGUAAGUGAGUUUCCUAUUAUUAUAAAAGAAAUAUUCUUUUAGUAAAAGACAUCUUUGACAAUUAUACACUUAGUGUUUUAUAUGGAAUAUUUCUAUGUAAUUAGGAAAAUAUAUGUAUAGGAAGAGAUUUUGACCAAAAUAGUGGAAGUCUCUUUUUAGGUGUAAUUGGGACUUUGGGAUUUGAAAGCUCUAAGGUUGUAAUCUCCUUCAACAAUAGUGGAAAUUCUUCUUUGUCAUCACCUAUGGAUGUAGGCUUGAGGCUAAACCACAUAAAUUGUUAUGUACUUUGUGUGUUUUGUUUUCAUUUUCUUAUUCUUUUAUCCCUAUUAUUAUUCUUUGUCAUGAUUUUUCCCAAUAGAAGUAUAUAUAUACCAUGAGACUUGCAUGGUGGGAAGGGUAUAUUUCAUAUUAGUGACAAGAAGCAGAGCUUACUCAAUUGUGCUUUUUCUUUCAGAAUAUGGAAGGGGUUUCCUUAUGCUCAAGAAAUGCAUAGAUUCAAUUGAAUAAAUUGAGGAAUGCUUUACUCAAUUGUGUUUUUCCUUUCAGAAUAUGGAAUGGGUUUCUUUAUGCUCAAGAAAUGCAUAGAUUCAAUUGAAUAAAUUGAGAAAUGCUUACUCAAUUGUAUUUUUCCUUUCAAAAUAUGGAAGGUGUUUCCUUAUGCCCAAGAAAUGCAUAGAUUCAAUUGAAUAAAUUGAGGAAUAUGAUUGUUCUUUUUCUUUUUCUUUUUAUUUUUUAAAUAAUAGAUGAGCCAAGAUGGAACUUACGUGGAACACAUUGAUUCCAGUCAUUUUCUUGGACAAAGAUAUGCCCAAAAUAUGGGAAAAAGGCAUUUUAAAAUUAAAAAUGAUUUUAAAUUUAAGAGUUUCUUUUUUAUAUGUUUAAAAACUUUUUAAUGGGUAGAUUUGAAUUGUAACUUGCAAUUUAAUCUAAAGAACAUUCGAAAAUUAAAAAUUACAAUAAUGAGAUUCUCAAUCCUUCAAAAUGAAAUUAAUUUAAUCCUCUUUCUUUGUAAAUUAUCCCUCAAUUAAAUCAAUCUUUUAAAAAUUGAAUCUACUAAAUGAUAAUAUUCAUAUUUAAUCAAUUUAUUGUUGGAAUUUAUAUAGGUGAAUGGAAAUUAGGACUUCUUUUUUUUUUUCCCCCUUGGAAAACAUGCUAUUUCUUAACAGACACAACUUGUUUUAAAGAAUAUGUCUUGUAUUUAAAAGACAUCUUAAGAUACAAUCCUUCAAAGGAUACUAGACACAUCUUUUCUAAUAAGUCACCUUCAAAUCUUUAAAUAGGGACCCCACAUAGCAUUUUCAUUCAUUCAUCCAUUCUCUCCACUCUUUCUCAUUUCUUGUCAUUCAAGUUCUCUUUAACUUCUAGUCUAGUCAUUUAUCUUUUCUACCAAAUAUUUGGUAUACAAGAGAGUACAAAUCACCAAGUGAUUCAUUGUUUCUUGUGAUUUGAAGUACUACUAUCACAAGAAAGUGAUCGUUGUAUCCUGGGAGACGAUUGUCAAUAAACCGUAAGCACCUAAGCGGGACAAAUUCGUCUUAAGAACACAGAGUCAAACUCUUGUUUCGAUCAACCUUAUUUGUAAGUUCCAAUUUUCUAAUUACUUCAUUUUAUUUGAAUAUUUAUUACACACACUUAUUAUCCAUAUAUUUUGAGUGAUAUGGAUAACAUUUAUCUUUUUGUAUAAAUUCCUAAAUUUAUAUAACAUAAUUUAAACUUAAUUUCAUUUUGAUUCAAUUUUGUUUCAUGUUUUAUAAUUCUAUAAGGUUGAAUUUAGGGAUGGCAAUGGGCGGGUUUUUUCGGGUACCCACCCCGUCCCGCCCCUAAUGAGACGGGGUUUAAAUUUAAUAAACGGGUUUGGGACGGGUAUGAGAUUUUUUUUUAAACCCGGGGCGGGUUCGGGUAUUGCUCCAUCCCACCCCGCCCCACCCCGUUUACAUAUAAAAUUAAUUUUAAUUCAACGAGCUUAAUUCCACCCAAGAAUCCCUCUUCCCAAACCCAGAAACCCCACCAUUUUUCCUUCACGAAAGCUCUCAAAACUCCACCUAAUCAGAUCUGUUCAAGAACAAUUUGAUCACCAGCCUCUUACUCGGUCAACACCCAGAUGGGAAAACAUGCUUUCCACUGCAGCAAGCUUGUACCCUCUCUAUGUCACUGCUGGAGGGGUUGUUGCAUGUGUGAAGCCAUCUGUUUUUGCUUGGUUUGUGGCGAGAGGCCCAGCUUCUUAUAGCUUAUCACUUGGGUUAAUCAUGUUGUCCAUGGGUAUCACAUUGAAGCUCAGGGACUUCUUCAAUUUAUUGAUCCAGAGGCCUUUUUCUGUGAGUUUUUUAUGGUUUGGAGUUUUUGGGUGUUUUGGUAUUUGAUUGUUUUUGAGACAUGGNNNNNNNNNNNNNNNNNNNNNNNNNNNNNNNNNNNNNNNNNNNNNNNNNNNNNNNNNNNNNNNNNNNNNNNNNNNNNNNNNNNNNNNNNNNNNNNNNNNNGUUGAAUUCCAAUCAUAAUUAAAAAUUAAAUUGAUUUGUUAUAAUAUUAAAUAAGAUAUCUUUUGAAAAAAUUAUUAUAAUCAUUUAACAUAAUACAAAUUUCACCAAGUUUUUCUAACUAUGGUUCUCUAAUAAUUACCUUGUAAUAAUAAAAUUAAUUCUAACAAUAUAUGUCAUAAUCAAAUUUCAAAAAUCCAAUCUCAAAUAAUUUAAUAGCUGAGUUUAAAUUUAAUUUUUGAAAUUCUUAAUUUCCAAAUGUGACUUGACAAGAAUUUAAACUAUUGACUUUCGACUAAGGUUUUACACAUUUUGCCUAAUUAAAUAAAAUAUUGACACGUGAAUGUUCACUAACAUCACGUGAUUCAUUGAUUUAGACGAUUCAUUUUGGUUGAUGUUGAGGAUAGUCAUCGGCAGUAGACUAACAUCUUCUGGACCAAUUAACAUACCAGUAGUGAUUAGGCCAAGGUGGUGAUCCAAUUCCAUGGAAGAGCAGCAAGAAAGGAGGAACGUUGGAGAGAUAGAACCAGAAGGCGGCCAACCAAGCAGGAACAGUGGCCAAACUGGCCUCGAGCCUGAGGAGCAUAGGAUUGACAUUGUUGAAAUCAGUCAUAGGGAUUGGAUUGAGUCUCUCAGAACGGCAGAAGAAAG